rnacentral:lncRNA from 1 species
GUUUAUAAUCAUUUUUUAUAACAGCGAAUGUCAUAAAAACUUAAGCUCAUCACAUUAUUUUAUUGAUGAUUCGAUCAGUAAUCUGCUCGAUCUGAAACAAGGACAACAGAUGGAGGUGGAACACAUGCAGAAAACAACAAUGAACAGACGCAGAGAGCAGCAACAGUAGACACCGAGUCGGCUAGCUAAGCCUGGUGUGAUGAUGAUGCUCGUAGAUAACUUAAUGAAGGCUGCAAACACACAGACACAAAAGCUCAACGAUUAGUCUUACUAUUUAUACUUACAAAUUAAGAUUAAAUGGCUAACGAGUACUUAGAAUAUAAUCUUUCAAGUUAGGAGUGGAGGAUGUACUUGUUGCAGUUGACGUUGUUGUUGAUGGGGAAAGAGACGGAGACGCCGCACUUGCCGGGGAUGUUGGCGGCGUUACCCAUGCUGAUGCCAUUGAACGACCCCGCCAGGUUCUUGAGGCAGCGGCACGCCGCCUGCCGGUCUGCCGAGGUGGACGCCUUACCGUUCAGGGUCCUCACCCCGCUGCAGCACCCCGCCGAGGGUGACGAUGCUUGCCCCGUCGCGUAGGACAUGCACGGCGCGAUGGCGGACGUCACGUCGCUGCAGGUCACCGCCCCAGACGCCAUUUCCGCCACCGCCAGUGCGGCGAGCACGCUGAACACGGCGAGCAGUGCCACGCGAGCCAUCGAGGAUCUAGUGCUUCAGCUUCCUUGCUGGAAAUGGAGCUGGGAAGGAGCAGAGAGCUUGAUUGGCUUGUGUGGUGGUGGUGGAGAUGGAAUGGAACUCCGUGGAGCGGGGUAUAAAUAGCCGGCUGGUGAGAGCUGGCAAGAAGAAGAAGAAAAAGAUAAGGUGUUCCUGCAGCAUUGCACUGCUGGGUGGCGGACGGUGGUGCGUGCAUGCGCAGUACUACGUAGCUAGCGGGGCAUGCAUGCAUGCAUGUGCAUGAGGGUGGUUGGGCGCUGGGGACCGUACGAUGAAUCGACCGGUCGCGUCCACUGCACGCAUGUGACACUUUUUAUUUACACACAAUACGUUAUAUAAAAUCUCCCUAGUUUAGAAUUUGGGUCAGUCGAUUUUCACGUGAAGAAAGAAGCCCAAUGAUGACGUCAAGGACUCGGAUGCGAGCGCGUGUCCGAGUCCUUGGAUGUCAGGCAGGGGCGAAUGCACGUACAAGCUUGUGGGGGCGAAUGCCCCCACUCCUUUUUUUCAGCUUACGUGUACCAGGCCAGAAUAUACAGAGCUGCCCCCACUCAGCCCAAGCUAUUUGCCCCCACUUCCUUUUUUCCCCCUGCUGUAUGUUGAAAGCCCGUCUAUGAAAAUUACACAGGGUUAUAAGCCCAGGAGCCCAUCCUCGAUUUGCUAGAAACGUACGAGGUCUUUCGGAGUUUCAGAUGUGUUCGUCGCCUGUGCUCGCGUGACGCCUUUACAAGCUGUAACCGCCGCGCCGCCGCCUGUGGCUCUAGGCUGCACAUACACCUCGCCCCUUUGGCGAUCAGCCUCGAUCUGCACUGCGCACGCCAGCCAGCCGGCCCGCCAUGCGCCAUCCCCAAGGUAGAAGCCGUACUAAUCAAUCAUUCAAUCAAGGUAAGCCCAAGGUUUAGCUCUCUUCUUUUCUUUCUAAUUUCCCCAUUAUUAUUUUAUUCUGAUUUCCAUGUCAAAGAGGUAGUGAAUUGUAUCAAAUAUCCAUAUGUAUAAAUUAUAAUGUACAAAUUGGUAAUUAGGUUGAUUGAAUCUAGGUUCCCGUGAUAAUUCCAUAUGGAUAAGUUUGAACACAUGGGAGUAAAAUAAAAUCUAUAGUAAUAUUCUUCCUUCACGGUCUCAAUUUAUUUAACCUUAAACUAUUCGGCAUUGACAGGAAAGCUAAUGGAGAGGUGUUUAUCUGUCAAUGUUUAUAUGCUCUCUAUAUUCAAACAUAUUUCUUCUUCAUGCGGCUUGAAGGCUAGAAAUGAGGGGCAUACCAACAAAAAGGAAAGACAUAUUCAAGUUAUUGUGCCUCAAGUGGUUAGUUUACUCUUACUUUGGCAAUGAACUUAUCAUAAUUAAUUAAUUAUGUGUGUGAUAACAUUAUCUUAUAAGAAAGUAUGUGAUUUUGCUUCUUACACAUUAAAUGCAUGGUUGUGUGGUUUUUUUUAAUUAUUUAGCCAUUAGUUUGAUAUAUAUUUCGGAAAAAAUUACAUAUACAUCUUUGCCCCCUCUUGGUUUUCAUCCUGGCUCCGCCCCUGAUGUCAGGGAACUAGCGGUUGAAGGCAGCGUAGGAGUCGGAACUAGCAGUUGAAGGCAGCGUAGGAGUUGGACCGUGCUGCACCGCGAAGAACAGGGCGUGGGGGAAGCCCAUGCCCACAUCCUCGUGAAGCAACAAACUUGGGCCGCCCGUGCCCUCGCCGGCAUGCCUCCAGAAUCGGACGAGAUGUUUGUUGUCUUUGUUGUAGUAUAUGACGCCGUUGUUGAACUUUUGUUGUCCUAUGUCAUCCGAUGUUUGAACUAUGUCCUAUGUAUGCUACAUAUAUGUUGAUCGAUGUUCCAUAACUUUGUAUGGAUUUGAGGGUUCGUAAAUGAGGAGCAUUGUUACCCGAGCGGACAAAUGGGGGUUGAGCCGCGGAAUUCCCUAUCCGCCGCAUUUUGCGGCAAAAUGCCGACCUGCCGCACACCCUUUGACCGUUCGUGGGCCGGCCCGUGUCGGAUGCAUCAUACAGAUGAAAAUCGCUACAGAAUUCCCUAUCCGCCGGAUUUUGCGGCAAAAUGCCGACCUGCCGCACACCCCUUGACCGUUCGUGGGCCGGCCCAUGUCGGAUGCAUCAUAUAGAUGAAAAUUGCUAAAAAAAGUGAAGAGAGGGAGGAUUUGGACCUCAAACCUCCCACUUCUAGAGAUUUGAGUAUAACCACUCGACCAUAACAACACUAGUGUUCUAUAAGUGCAAAGAGGUCUGCUAUUAUAUGUUUCUUUCUUUCACGUUUUUUCAUUUUUUGUUUUCCUUUUUCUUUCUUUCUUUUAUUUUUGUUUUAGAAAUAUCGCAACUUCAAAAAAGUUCAAUAUAUUUCAUACUUUAUUCGGCUUUUUAUAAAACAUGUUUGAUUUUUUUGUUCAGGUUUCAAAUAACAUUCCGUGCUUUUCAAAAAAUGUACAAAAUUUGUUCAUGUUUCAAAAUGUGUCCGGUGUUUCAAAAUUUGUUCAUGAUUUUCAGAAAAUGUUCGUGUUUUCAAAUUUGUUCAGAUUUUCAAAAAGUUUUGGAAUUUCACAUUUGUUCCCUUUUUCAAAAUUUGCUCGUAAUUUUCAAAAAAUGUUCGUGUUUUCAAAUUUGUUCAAAUUUUCAAAAUAGUUUUGGAUUUCACAUUUGUUCCCAAUUUUCGAAAAUUGUUCGUGUUUUUCAAAAAAUUAUUCGCAUUUUCAAAAAAUGUUCACGUUUCAAAAUUUGGAUAGACAUUUCAAAAAUGUUCAAGAAUUUUGAAAAAUGUUUGUGGUUAUAAACUUGUGUUCAUACUUUCACGAAAUUUUCCAUUUUUAUUUUUUUGUUCACCAGUUCAAAAAAUGUUCCCUGUUUGAAUUUUUCUUCAGAAUAUCACGAAAUGUUCACCAGUUCAAAAAAUGUUCAUACUUUCACGAAAUUUUCCAUUUUUAUUUUUUUGUUCACCAGUUCCAAAAAUGUUCCCUGUUUGAAUUUUUCUUCAGAAUAUCACGAAAUGUUCCAUUUUUCAAUUUUUUGUUCACAAAUUCAAAAAAUGUUCGUGGUUUCAAAUUUGUUUGGAAUUUCAUAAUUUGUUCACAAAUUCAAAAAAUGUUCAUGGUUACAAAUUUCUUUAGAAUUUCAUAAUUUGUUCACACGGUUUCAAAUUUGUUCGGAAUUUCAUAAUUUGUUCACAAAUUCAAAAAAUUGUUCACGUUAUCACAAAAACAAUUUCUGACUUUUCAAUUUUUUUGUUCACAUAUUCGAAAAACUUUCUUGUCUCUAUUUUUUCAUGAAUUCAAAAAAUGUGCGCACUUUUUUAAAGAGACACAUUCGAAGAAACUAUACUUUAAAACAAAUCAAUACAACAAGUAAUUUUGGGUUCACUACAUCAAUCGUUUCCUGUUCGCUACAGUGCACAAGUCAGGUUUAGUUCUUUAAAACAUGCGCUGCACUUUAACCAACUGUGCUAGUCUAGUCUGCUGGCGACGUGUCCGCGGUCGCUCCCACUUGGUCGCAAGUUCGAAUCCUCGUUGCGCCUGACUUCUGUUUUUGCCAUUUUUCGUCCCGCGGUGAAGCUUUAUGGGCCGGCCCAGUCGAGCUGCACCUGUGCGUCUGGCCACCAAUUUGACGCAAAGAGCGUCCAAUAGGAGCUCUCUUGAGCCGCUCCUAUCCACCGAUGCGUCCUCAGUUUGCGUCCAAUAGGAGCUCUCUUGAGCCGCUCCUAUCCACCGAUGCGUCCUCAGACAUACAUGGGGUAAAAUUAAGUAAGUCUGGUUGGAGAUGUUCUAAGCUAGCGUGAUAAGGCCCCUGGGUGGGGGCAUUAUCUAUAAGAGCAUAAUCUAUAUAUGCAGCAGAAUAUGUUGUGUCUGACUAUAUGUCUCAACAAUGUAAUGAGUUAUAUAUAUAUAUAUAUAUAUAUAUAUAUAUAUAUAUAUAUAUAUAUAUAUAUAUAUAUAUAUAUAUAGACACGCUAAACUAAGCCAGAGCGCAUUAUAGGCUAUCGUACGCGCCGGCUGCCCGACCGAGUCUCUCAACUACUCUAAUUAGUCCGCUCCGCGCGCCUCCUUACCGGUUGGAAAUUCACCGUAAAAAACUAAUGGGACAUGGUAAUGGACUUUAAUCAUUACUACGGCUCUCCACUGUUGGAUAGUAAAAUUUGCUAUGUCUUCACUGUAAUAAACUAAUGGAACACAGUAGCGGACCCUAAUCAUUACGACUCUCCACCAUUGGAUGGUAAAAUUUUCUAUGCCUGUUCAGGCCUAUUUGCACGUAGUAAUGUGUUCAUAAAACGUAGUUGCAAUUUGUGAAGGGAACAUAGUAAUCAGGUUAUUAAAUUCUUUGGCCAAUUUUGCGCAAAAAAUAAUAAACCAAAGUAGAUCAGUCGUAAGCUUAAAAUAUUUUAUGUUUAUUUAGACUUCUUUAAUUCUCACUAGUACGUGAUUUUCCGCCAUACCACAUCGUAAUGCAAUUACUAGCACCUACUGUAGCUAGUAGGAUUCAUGCAUAGAGUGGUAACGCUGUUACCAUAGGUACAUUUUCCAUUUAAAUAAAACAAAACUAAUAUUCAAUGUCAGCCGUUAGCCACGUACAUGGUAAUUGUAUUUCUGACAUACAGUAAACCAAUUACUAGAGGAACCGUUCACCGGCGCUUACUUUUUCCAAGCGUUGGCUAGAAUCGUACAUUCUUUUAACAUAGUAAACCAACUAAUCUCAAAAAAAAACAUAGUAAACCAACUACUAUGUGUUCACCUUAUUUUACGAUCAGAGGACUGACUGCUGCACGGCCUCGUAAUGGAUUUACUGCUGCAAUGCCUCGUAAUGUACUAGUACUUCCGUUACCAUGUACGCUGAUAUGAUUACCGUCAUUAGUAGAUGGUGGGUUCAAGCGUCUAGUGUUGCGGGGCGGAGAUGGGGCGCUGACUACGGUAAAAGAAUUUAAUCAAUUACUAUUUUUUGUAUUGCUUGUUACUUCCAUUUCCUAAUCCCUAUAGGGACAGGAACAAGCGGCCCGUCGGGUGGGUCAUUAGCGACCAGCGCGUACGAUUAGGCGUUUUGCGCUCUCGCGCAGUUUAGCGCNNNNNNNNNNNNNNNNNNNNNNNNNNNNNNNNNNNNNNNNNNNNNNNNNNNNNNNNNNNNNNNNNNNNNNNNNNNNNNNNNNNNNNNNNNNNNNNNNNNNNNNNNNNNNNNNNNNNNNNNNNNNNNNNNNNNNNNNNNNNNNNNNNNNNNNNNNNNNNNNNNNNNNNNNNNNNNNNNNNNNNNNNNNNNNNNNNNNNNNNNNNNNNNNNNNNNNNNNNNNNNNNNNNNNNNNNNNNNNNNNNNNNNNNNNNNNNNNNNNNNNNNNNNNNNNNNNNNNNNNNNNNNGGGCAAGUUGGAGAAAGGCCAAAUUUUUGGUAUUGCUAAAGUUGUUAUAGAGUUUUUUUUGCGGAAUAAAGCUGUUAUAGAGUUAGGCAUGACACACUCUUCAUUAGCCAUAAUCAGUUUAAAUUUUAGAUAAACAAUAUCCUUCCUACUUAUAAAAUUCGACUUGGUGGUCAUUUGUUCAUUUCCUUCUCAACAUUUCUCUUUUAAACCAUGCCAAGUGGUCACUACUGGAAUCAGCUUCUUUGCCGUCCGUCAUGGCAGACGGCAAAGGCACAGAUCCCGGAUGGCAAACUCCUUUGCCGUCAGCCAGCGGACGACAAACUGUCCGUCUGAACACGUGCCAGCAAAGGCCUUCUUUGCCGUCCGCCAUCCGAGGCAAGCAGACGACAAAGAGAACGAACGACAGUGGGGUGGGGUGAGAGCCGUUAGGGGGUUAACGGCGCUCUUUGCCGUCCGCUGACAGACGACAAAAAGCUCAGCUAGGCCAUCACUGGGAAGCUGCCACGUGGCCAGCUAUGCCGUCUGCCAGCGGACGGCAAAGUGACCAAAUAGGCAGCCAGUGUUCCCAGUUUAUACAGGUGGCUGCCACGUGUCCUCUUUGCCAUCCGCUAGCAGACGUCAAAGAAGCUAUAUAUCCCCUGUUUUUAUUUAUAUCUUUUUAAUUUCACAGGAAUUCACACACAGAUAUACAUUUUUUUCACAGGCACAACAGACAUAUGAUGUAUCCAACACAUAGCUCCACCCAUGACAACAUACAUACAUAAGAAACACAGUUCCAUCCAUACAUAUUAUAGUAAUAUCACAAUGUUCAUCCAACACAUUGCUCCAUGCAUCCAUAUAACAAGUUCCACAUUUUUCAUCGAUACAAACGAAAAGAAGAACAGGGAGACAAGCAAUCAAUCCAUGCAAGCUUCCAUAUAGUGAAUUAAAUCUGCAAAAUGGAAAACAAGAAAGUUAGAAGAAGAAGACUAGAAUCAGAAGAAGAAGAAGAAAAUGAAGAAGAAGAAGAGGAAGAAGGAGAAGUUAGCAUACUUAGGUAAAAUGGAGCUAACCUAGCUAAUUAUGCUAUUUUUGAGUGAACUAACCUAGGUAACUAAGCAUAUUAGAGCUAACUUAGAGCUAACUUCAUUUUGGAGAAGAAGAAGAAAACUAGAAGAAGAAGAAGAAGAAGAAGACUUUCUUCUUCUUCUUCCUAUUCCUUGAUUUUCUUCAUCUUAUUAUGUCAUUUGUGGACUAAAUAGGCUAAAUUAUGUCAUAAAUGGACUAAAUAGGCUAAAUAAGAAGAAAAAUGCCAUUUUUGAGCUUAAGUAGCUAAUUAUGCCAUUUUUGACCUAACUAAGCUUAUUGUGUCAUUUUAGAGGACAACAAGCUAAGUAUAUGACAUUUAUGAGGUUAGCAAGGUUAUUAUGCAAACCUAGGAAACUAAGCAUAUAAGAGAUAACUUAGCAUAUUAGAGCUAACUUAUGUCAUUUCGGAGGAAACAAAGCUAAGUAUAUAUAGAUCAUUUUGGAGAUCUGACAUACCUGACAUAGUUCACUCCUCCUUCCUCUUCUCCUGCUCCUUCCUCAUCCUGAUGCGCCAAGAGCGGCGAGGCGGUGGAGGCAGUGGGAUGUAGUCUUCUACCACAAUUGGCAUGGUCAUGUCGCCUGGAUGUGGGAUCACCGGUGCCACCACCAUUGCGAGCUCAUUGUCAGGCACCACCACCAUCGCGAAGCCAUCUUCAGGCAGCACCAUCGCUAGGUCAUCCUCAGCCACCACCAUCUGUUGCCCAUCGUCAGCCUGCACCUCCUCAUCCCCACUAUGCUCCUCUUCUUCCCCACUCCAUUUUGGAUCAUCCUCGCUGCUACUUUUGCUGCAGCCCAUUGCCUGACCAAAUGCAAUAAUGACCGUUAAAAUCGAUGUGAGACAAAGCCAAAUGUAGAGUAAGAAGAGGCAGAAGGCAUCAUCGUCGUCCUGGUAGCGCAUGCGACACAUAGUCGUGUUGAACACCUUCACGGUGACAUGGCGUCGCCGUCGUACCUGAAGAGAAGGAAGUACCCGUGCCACAGGUCGUAGGCAUGGUAGAACUGCUCCCAGCCACAACACAGGUACAUGUGGCCGUUCCUGAUCACCAACUCCACGUCCCAAUGCCUGUGAAGCCCGCUGCUGGCCUAUCGUAGCUUCACAUUCUUUAGCCGAUGGCCGUCCAGCAUCUUCAUAAAAGUGUCAGGCAGCCUCUAUAGUGUGGGUCAAGGAGUGAUGUAGCAAAUAUCAGAGUUAUCAUAAAGAGAUGGGUGAAGGGGAGAUCUCUCCUUUUAUAUACCUGCCUCCUGGAGGAAUUCUCAAGUAUGAUAGUGAAGGACUCAAAAGCAUCCAACUCGUACUCCAGUGUGGCAGAGCGCAACCUUCCGGUGGCGGCCUCCCCCCAUCUCUGAUAAGCAGCAGAAGAGACCAAUUAGUAAUGCUCAUGUUUCAAAUUGAUCAUAGACAAAUUGAUGAUAGGUACAUUAGCAGUAAUAUUAUGGUCAUCACCAAUAAAUCAUUAGAGGAUAAAUGCAUUAAUAUUGACCAAGAAUUAUAAAGUUCCAAAUUGUGCAUAUUUACUUGAAUGUUCCACAAAAUGGCAACCUUUGCAUGUGCAUAAUUCUAAAUUGUACUGAAUGGCAGCUGUUGCCCCUAACUGAACUAAACCAAAUUGCAAAAUCUUGCCCAGAACUGAACUUGAAGACAACUAAAUGGUAACUAUUGCCUACAACUGAACUGGCCUUGAGAGAAGAUGGCAAAAUAGAUCAAUUUGUGAGCAUGUCAUUGCAAGAAGGUGCUGGUGGCGAAGCAGAUCAACUAAACUAAACUGAACUACGGCCCAGAACUAAACACUUGAGCAGAAAUCAACAAUACAAAGUGGCAAAUUAUUUCAUUUGCUUGCUUCUUUAGACUCUCACUAAAAUUAGGCAUGGAAUUUCACUAAAACAAAAAGUGUAUCACCAUAACCCAGUAAAAUUAUCAUCUGGGACUAGUCUCUGUAGUUUAAACAAGGAAGCAAGAUCUUUCUUUCAAAUUAUCAUCAUAGUUGUAAACUAACUAUAUGAUCAAGAUUACCAUGCUACAAUGAUCACAGUACGAAAAACACAAGUGAUUCGCACUCAAUAUUCUGUAACAAUCCCAGUUCACACAAUAUAAAACCUGAAUUUAAUAGCUAGUCACUUUGUCCUUAUUCACUUAAUAGAAUCUGAAUUCAAACUUUGUUGUUUCUGCCUAACUGAUACUAAAAACACUAGUACAACUCCAUUCCUAAGCAUCUUCUACACCACAUAUGAACCACCGACAAACCUAAACCACCAGCAAAUUCGCACCAAGAAUAGGAACAAAUCAUGCUGGAAAGAAAUGGAGGAAGGGGGAAUUUUUCGCUGUACCUUGCUUCGACAUCUUGGAAGAGGGGGCUGUACCCGGCGGCGGCGGCGGAGGGGGAAGGACGAUGCUGGGGUGGAGGAGGGGGGCGCUGCGGCUCGGGCACGGGAGCGGNNNNNNNNNNNNNNNNNNNNNNNNNNNNNNNNNNNNNNNNNNNNNNNNNNNNNNNNNNNNNNNNNNNNNNNNNNNNNNNNNNNNNNNNNNNNNNNNNNNNNNNNNNNNNNNNNNNNNNNNNNNNNNNNNNNNNNNNNNNNNNNNNNNNNNNNNNNNNNNNNNNNNNNNNNNNNNNNNNNNNNNNNNNNNNNNNNNNNNNNNNNNNNNNNNNNNNNNNNNNNNNNNNNNNNNNNNNNNNNNNNNNNNNNNNNNNNNNNNNNNNNNNNNNNNNNNNNNNNNNNNNNNNNNNNNNNNNNNNNNNNNNNNNNNNNNNNNNNNNNNNNNNNNNNNNNNNNNNNNNNNNNNNNNNNNNNNNNNNNNNNNNNNNNNNNNNNNNNNNNNNNNNNNNNNNNNNNNNNNNNNNNNNNNNNNNNNNNNNNNNNNNNNNNNNNNNNNNNNNNNNNNNNNNNNNNNNNNNNNNNNNNNNNNNNNNNNNNNNNNNNNNNNNNNNNNNNNNNNNNNNNNNNNNNNNNNNNAGGUCGGGGCUCCGUAGGGGAGGGGUGCGGGGCGGCCGGCUACGGCAGACGGGGUCGGCGGCGGCGGCGUGGGUGUGGUGGGGAGGGAAUGAGAGAGUGAGAGAAGAGAGAGAGGACGUGGGAGGGACGGCCGUUAACGUACCCGCCUCUUUGUCGUCCGCCAACGGUCGACAAAGAGGUGGGGCCGGUGGGCUGUAGUUGGUUAAACAAUAACUGGACCCACCCAAUUCUUUGCCGUCUGCUAACAGACGGCAAAGAAUUGGCUGAUGGCAAAGACCUUGUUUGCCAUCAGCCAAUUUUUUGCCGUCCGUUUUCUUGUGGCUGACGGUAAAGACCUUCUUUGCCGUCAGCCAACAGACGACAAAGAGUUGGCAGACGGCAAAUAAGCUAAUUCCAGUAGUGGGUGAUGGUUCCCCCAAACAAUCCUCAAUUCCACCAGGAUAGAAUUUGGAGAGAGAUGGGACAUACCCAGUGUGCCAUGGAGCGCAACGACAACAAUUGUUUGACAUGCAAAGCAAUACAAUUUGUUGAUCCAUAGCUAAGCAUGGGUAUUUAGCUAGUAAAUUCUAAGUACUCAUGCAUGGACUCCAUGGUUUCGGUACAAAAUGAAAAUUAAGCAUGAACCGAUGGCCACCAAUUUACCCCUCAAUAACAACAUUAAAAUUUGGAGAAAAAGAGCACCCCCAACAAUCGAGAGCGGAAGAGACGAGUUGACACUUUAUGUUGUCUAGAAUUAUCUAUUAGUUACACCCAACAUAAAAUCAUGUACUCAAGUAUUUAUGGAAGUUAUUUGCUAGAUAUCUAAAACACUCUUCAAAGUUAUGUAUACAUAAGGAUAUUAUGGAAAAGAAUGCAUACAUACAUAGAGUGCAUCAAUAAAUUUAUGAAAUAAUGUGAAAAUAUUGAUUUUAUCAUAUUUAUGGUGAAAUAUAUUGUCAUGAAAGAUUUUUCUCAAAACCCCAAACUGAAUAAUAAAACCAACUGCAACAAAUACUGUUCCAAUUUACACUAGAAACAUAUUUGUAAUGACAAAUAUUAUAAUUACGUCUCAAUAGAAAUGAAUUUGGUACAUUGUUAGUGCUACUAGUUAUGAAAUAGUUCCGGCAUGUUAUAUGGAAAGAUAUGUCAAAACAUCAUAAAUAUAGAGAAAAACCUAAAAUAUUACAAAGUAAAAAACCUCAAUAUAAACUAGGUAAUAUACAUUUUUAUCUCGCAUUGGCCCCAUGAAUCAGAUGGCACGGGUUUUGGCACGCUCAUCCUACUUCAUCAUAAAAUCGAACAUGACAUCGCCCAUAGUAAAUUAUUAUCCACGAGGGAGGCAAUAGUCACCAUAGAAAUUCAGAAAGCUCAUAGGUCUCAAGUUCAUGUCUAACAUCUAUAAAAAAAACCUCUGGAAGAGUGAUGUGCCUCCCAAAGAGCAAUUCUUCACAUGACUGGUUAUGUGAAACGUUGUUGGAUGGAUGACCGUCUUUCAAGGCGUGGCAUGCAACACGCUUCCUCAUGCACGUUCUAUGACCAGAUACCUGAAUUGAUUGCUCAUACAUAUUGAUCCAGUGUCCCUUCACGAGGCAUUUUUGGUUGCUCUUUCGUCGUAGUUUCAAGCUCCGUCAUCUGACCCGAAUGCAGAUGUCAGGGUCAGAGAUUGGUGGUGCUCUAUGGAUAGGAAGAUGUCCUAGAUUAGUGCCAAGGAGAUGGCUACAUCAUGAUAGUGGGUCUUCAUAAGCUAUGCUUGGAACAUAACACCCGAGUUUUUGAUGAUAUAGCGCCGACUGCAUAGUGGGUCGCCCAGAUGGCGGUGAAUGAGUACAAGCUUUGGAUUCGAGCAAAGCGGAGAGAGAUAGAAGUUGAUGAGGAAUAUGCUUAGUUGUGGUUUAGGUGGAGGAGGUUUUGGCCGAUCUUUCCCUUUGGUGUAACAAAAUCUUGUUCUUGUUUCUUCACCAUUUGCUUGUAGUUCACUCUCCCCCUUCCUAAUGAAAUUGAUAGUCAACUAUUGUUUCUUGUUCUUAUUUUUUUUAUAAAAACUUGCAUUAUCUGUUUUGUACAAAAACAAGUUGUACAUAAGAAAAUUAUCCCAAAGCACACAACAAAUUCAAAAUCAACAAAACAAUACCGAAGUCACCAUCCUUGUGAAAUACUUCAAUGUUAUGAGCUACCGUAACACAGAAUUGUGAAAUGAUGUAAAUCCUUGUCCGUGUAAAUGAUUGGCAUGUUUACAAAAUAAGGACUUGUCUAAAAAAUAACCAUCCAUCCUUCUAUCACAACUCGUGUUAUGGGGCUCUAUAGCCCACCAGUUGAUAUAGUCCUUUCUAUUUUUUUAGCACCAAGUUUUGGUUCCCCAAACUCGGCCUGAGGACAACUCUAAUCCACCCCCAAGAAAAUAACUCCAAGAAAACUACCAUUUUUGGGGAAUUAGACAUAUCUGACACAACCCCAAAAGUCUAUAACUCCCAAAUAGUUGUCGAUCAAAUCAAGCCCCCUCCCAAUAUUAUCGGGGCUAAGUGAGCUAUCCAAUCAAUCUUCUAAUGGACCAAAUUCAUGCGGGAGGCAACUUACAUUUCGAAUUGCCACACACACUACCACUGCGAUUCACCGCACCGGGCUUGUCUCUAGCCACGCCACUGGCUAACGCACCCCAAUCCGCCCCACUGACCUUGCCCUGCCUUCCCUUGUUGCUCGCCACAAAUGGAAUCGCCUCCCAACCUGGCCCGCAACCACUGCCUUGUCAUAGUAUGGAUCCGAGAACCAGACCGACGAUGGUCACCGCUUGAGCUACAUGUUGCAUAAUGUUCGUGCCCCACCUAUAAAUAGACGUCGCCAAUGACCUCAAUUUACCCUGAUGUCCUCCGUUGUUGUGCCGCUCUCUCCACCACCGCCUUUUGACCCAAGAAAUAACAAGUUCCCAUGUCGUGUCGAUCAGGGAGCACAUGAUAGGGUGACAACUUCCUCCGGGUGAACACAAGUUGAGAUGACUCACUGAACCAGCCACCACAUGACCUCCUCUGUCAUGCCCUCAACCUAUUCGACAAGUGGUCCACAAGGUGAGUUGGCUUGAGCCAGUGGUGGAUCUUGAGCCAAAAACAUGGGGGGGGGGGGCAAACAUAAUUGUCUUGAACCUACUUUUGGUGAAAAAUAUGCCUAAUACAAAGGGAUAUAGGCUUGUUUUCUUGUGAGCUAGGGGGCCAUGGCCUAGGUUAGCCCCCAUGAAGCUCCGCCACUGGCUUGCGCAAGAGUUCUUUGACGAAUCAUCAUCAUCGGAGGAGGAAAGAUGAUGAUUAAUUUGAUAUGGUCUUGAUGAUGAUCGUGGAGGAAGAAGGAAGCAGUUCUUAGAUCGGUCAUAGGUACAUUCGUCAUAAUAGGGAAUAUGCAUAUGCCAAAAUCAUGAGAUACUAUUUCAUGGAAAGUUUAGUGUAUCAGGAAAACUUGUUCACACGAUGUCUAUGAAUGCCGACGAUGCUCUUUCUAGGACUACGGUCGAAGUACAUGAUUAUUGCCUCUUGCAAAGGGUGGAUGCAGUGAGAAAACUGUUGGGGAACGUAGCAGAAAUUCAAAAUUUUCCUACGAGUCACCAAGAUCUAUCUAUGGAGAAACCAGCAACGAGGGGAAGGAGAGUGCAUCUACAUACCCUUGUAGAUCGCUAAGCGGAAGCGUUCAAGUGAACGGGGUUGAUGGAGUCGUACUCGUCGUGAUCCAAAUCACCGAAGAUCCUAGUGUCGAACGGACGGCACCUCCGCGUUCAACACACGUACAGCCCGGUGACUUCUCCCAUGCCUUGAUCCAGCAAGGAGAGAGGGAGAGGUUGAGGAAGACUCCAUCCAGCAGCAGCACAACGGCGUGGUGGUGAUGGAGGAGCGUGGCAAUCCUGCAGGGCUUCGCCAAGCACCGCGGGAGAGGAGGAGGACUUGGGAGAGGGGGAGGGCUGCGUCAGAACUUGGGUGAAGCUCCCAUGCGCCUCCCCACUAUAUAUAGGGGUGGAGGGGGCUGGUUUCUUGCCCUCCAAGUCCAUUGGGGCGUUGGCAAAGGUGGGAGGAAAGAAAUCCCAUCAUUUCCUUCCCCACCGAUUGUUAUCCCCCCUUUUUAGGGAUCUUGAUCUUAUCCCUUCGGGAUAUGAUCUUAUUCCUUCUAAGGGGGAUCUUGGUGCGCCUUGACCAGGGAUGUGGGGCCUUGCCCCCACUACCCACGUUCAUGUGGGUCCCCCCAUGCAGGUGGGCCCCACUCCGGAACCUUCUAGAACCUUCCCGGUACAAUACCGAAAAAUCCCGAACAUUUUCCGGUGGCCAAAAUAGGACUUCCCAUAUAUAAAUAUUUACCUCCGGACCAUUCCGGAACUCCUCGUGAUGUCCGGGAUCUCAUCCGGGACUCCGAACAACAUUCGUUAACCACAUACAAACUUCCUUUAUAACCCUAGCGUCAUCGAACCUUAAGUGUGUAGACCCUACGGGUUCGAGAACCAUGCAGACAUGACCUAGACGUUCUCCGGCCAAUAACCAACAGCGGGAUCUGGAUACCCAUGUUGGCUCCCAAAUGUUCCACAAUGAUCUCAUCGGAUGAGCCACGAUGUCAAGGACUCAAUCGAUCCCGUAUACAAUUCCCUUUGUCUAGCGGUAUUGUACUUGCCCGAGAUUCGAUCGUCGGUAUACCGAUACCUUGUUCAAUCUCGUUACCGGCAAGUCUCUUUACUCGUUCCAUAACACAUCAUCCCGUGAUCAACCCCCUGGUCACAUUGUGCACAUUAUGAUGAUGUCCUACCGAGUGGGCCCAGAGAUACCUCUCUGUCACACGGAGUGACAAAUCCCAGUCUCGAUUCGUGCCAACCCAACAGACACUUUCGGAGAUACCUGUAGUGCACCUUUAUAGCCACCCAGUUACGUUGUGACGUUUGGUACACCCAAAGCAUUCCUACGGUAUCCGGGAGUUGCACAAUCUCAUGGUCUAAGGAAAUGAUACUUGACAUUAGAAAAGCUUUAGCAUACGAACUACGAUCUUUGUGCUAGGCUUAGGAUUGGGUCUUGUCCAUCACAUCAUUCUUCUAAUGAUGUGAUCCCGUUAUCAACGACAUCCAAUGUCCAUGGUCAGGAAACCGUAACCAUCUGUUGAUCAACGAGCUAGUCAACUAGAGGCUUACUAGGGACAUGGUGUUGUCUAUGUACUCACACAUGUAUCUGAGUUUCCUAUCAAUACAAUUAUAGCAUGGAUAAUAAAUGAUUAUCAUGAACAAGGAAAUAUAAUAAUAACUAAUUUAUUAUUGCCUCUAGGGCAUAUUUCCAACAAAAACUUAGUACAACUGCAAUUUAGAAGUGUUGUGCAACAAUGCAUGUGUUGGCAUAUGCAGUCCCAAGUGACUUGGCAUAUGAAUAUGUCCAAAUUUGCAAAGAUCUUAUCAUUACUUGUAUAAAGAGGUUUGCAAAGCAUGUGGUUGAGAUGUUCGGAGAAUAGUACCUAAUAGCAUCCAAUGAAAAUGGCACAACAAGGCUACUGAAUAUUGGUGCAAUGAGAGGGUUCCCUAGGACGCUUGGAAACAUCGAUUGCUUGCACUAGACAUCGAACAAUUGUCCUUCGAGAUGGAGUGGGCAGUUUACUAGGAUUUUGCAUGAUCUAACCAUCAUACUCAAAGUUGUUGCCUCCGAUGAUCAAUGGAUUUGGCAUUGAUACUUUGGUAUGCCUAGAUCUCACAAUAAAAACAAUGUCCUGCAAAGAACAAGUCUUUUUGUAAGGCUUGUUGCAGGGGAAACUUCAUCUUGCAACGUGGAAGUUACCGGUCACUAGUGUGAUAAGUGAUAUGACCUAGCAGAUGGUACCUACCCUUCAUGGUCCACAUUUGUCAAGAAAAAUUGAAAUACGGAAGGCAACAAGCACUACUAGGGAAAUGCUUAUAGGUAGGACAUCAGUAGUAGCACUGGAAAAUAACAAGCACUGCUGCUAGAGCAACGCUGCUCCGGGGCAGCGCUACAAGUGAUGCCUUAGUAGCAGCGUUGGAAAUGAAAAGAGCGCUACUCAUAAGUGGGACCCAAUGAGCCCACCGACGCUAGCUGUAGUAGCGCUUGUCUACCAACCAAUGCUACUACUAUGGGCACCUUAUCCAUCCUGCGUCCUCACUCUCCGCUCACACUCUCUCACUCGCUCUCUCUGCCACCACGUGCCAUCCCCGCCAUUGCCCGCCGUCACUCCUCUCUCCUCCCUCCGGCGGAGGCUAGGUAUCUGCCUCCCUCCUCCUCUCGCCGUCGUCCUCUCUCCUCCCUCUGGUGGCCCUCCUCUCUCCUCCCGCCGCCGCCGCCGGAUGCCCUCCUCCCACCUCCUCCGACCGCCCUGUGCCCUAAAUGUAGGUUUUUUGAAUAAAAUAGACGAAAAUCAGUAAAUGUACUUCAUUUGAAUAGAAUAGGAAAUUUUUAGUAAAUUUUCUUCUUUUGAAUACAAUAGAAAAUUAGUAAAUGUAGAAUAGAACAGAAAAUUAGAAACAAUUCAGUAAAUGUAGGUCUUUUGAGUACAAUUGAAUUUUUAUUCGUUUGAUCUUGGUCUUUUGAACCCAUUAUCUUUAAGUAUUAUAGGUAUCAAAUUAAAUAUGAAAAUGCCCAUGUCGAUGAUUAGAACUAUGUUUUACAAAUUUUUAGGGUUAGAACUUGGUUUUACAAAUUUUUGUUUUUGUUUUAGACAUAUGGUUUUAAUAAUGUUUUUGUGUAUAUUUUGUUUUUGUAGAAAUCAAGGAGCCCCUGCAUCAUCCCGGCCGCCGUCAUCCCCGUAACCGACCCCCUCCGACCUCGAGGUGAGACCAGCCAAAUCCCCAUAUAGAUAGAUGGAUGGAUGGAUAGCUAUGACAAUGUGAUGACCAGCCAAACACCUCCAAGUGGCCUAUGUUUUGACGAAGUGUCGACUAAUUUCCAUUCCGGCAAAUUUCAGGCGCUCGAUAUGUCCUUUCUAGCAAAGGUCAUGCCGGAUUAUUCCUUGAAUUUUGGAAUGACUUAUGCUAGAAUAUGUAGGAAAUAUCAAGGCGCUCGGAUUUUCUACAAAGAUAAUUAAACAACAUUUCGGAUUGACUUUAGGUCUGUCAAGGCUCCAUACAUGACGGUCAGAAAAUGAGUGAGGAAGAAUCCCGACUGUUGUCGUGGGGGUCAUUUCUCCUUCUUCUCCUUGUGCUAGACCUUUGUUAUGCACUAGGGGAAGGAGGAGUAACGACCAUCACUGACGGUCGAAAAAUCAGUGAGGGAGUGUCCACCAUAUAUGAGAGCGGACGAAGAAUCCCGACUGUUGUCGUGGGGGUCGUUUAUCCUUCUUCUCCUUGUGCUAGACCUUUGUUAUGCACUUGGGGAAGGAGGAGUAACGACCAUCACCGACGGUCGAAAUUCAAGAAAAGACUCGACAGACCAACAACCAAACCGUGAUGAAUAAUAAUGAUCUAAUUUAGUUUUUGGUGUACAUAUAUUGAAUUUUACAAGUUUAAUCUUUGAAUUAUGGACAUAGGAAAUGUCUGACGACGAUGAUAGGAUCCCGGAGUGCGACUACUGCGGCGACGACCAGGGUCUGUGCGAUAGGCCUCACCUGGUAGACGGUCGACACUUCAGUGUUAAUCUCGACGAGACGUUCGAUGUUGAAACAGUACACAAUGACAAGUCUUUUUUCGUAAUUAAGCAUGACUUAUGCUUCUUCAAUGUGUAAUUUUUGUCUUUUACAAUUCGACUAGCUUAUCCCAUGCCAUGCAAGACGCUAUGUCUUGGAGCAUCUGGAUUUCGAAGAUCAUAACAAUAUGGAGACAAAGAUAGUUCAUCUCAGGACCCAUCAUGGUUAUGAUUUUGCUGUAAGCUAUACAAUUCGGAGAGUGUACCCCAUUUUGGUUGCUCGAAUUGGGAAGCACUGUGCAAGGCAUAUGAUUUUCAGGAGGGUAUGUAUGUCACCUUCGUUCUUGGUGAUCAUGACGAUGGCAUUUGGGUCCUUGUUGACACGCUUCCGCUUCUACCUCUAUGUGAGUUUCUCAAACAUAUUUAUUAAGUAAUUUAUAUUUUUUAUUUCAAAAUAGUUGAGAACUUAUUUCAGAAUAGUUGACAGCUUAUUUUCAAUGACAACUUAUUUUCAUUCUUCAAAAAAUAUACGGAAGAUGGUAGACAGAACCUACUACAUUAAUGGCGCUGAUUUAACUUAUGAGGAGAAAGAUCAUCUUAUCUCAUUUAUUAUUGAUGUUGAGAAUUAUAAUAUCAAUUAUGAAACUCCUGCACAUUAUGGUCAAUAUGUGCCACUAGUGCGCGUGUUGAACUACAGUAACAUCCAUGGAGAUGGCAUGGUAAGAUUUUUACUAUGUCGACACCCAUGCAUUUUGCAUCUAUUCUUCUAAAGCUAAACUACAUUGCUAACCAUAAUGUUAUUAUUAUGUUUUUUCAACAAAAAAUCCUGAAGGAUUGUGUGUCUAAUCUGAUGUUUUUGAAAGGCCGGCUUGAUGUUAUUAGCUUAUGGCCAGGUCAUCCUAGGCUUCACCGUUGUUCAUACCGGAUUUCUAAAACCGAUGAAGACAUGACAAUCAAAGAAUGGAAAAAAUGUGUGGACAAUCAUAGGGAGCUACUUGGAAGCAACAUUGUGCGAAGCGCAAGAAUUGAAGACAGGAUAAUCUCCAUUCUCCAUAAUGGAGCGUCAGGGCCACUCUUGUUUUAUGCUAUUUUACCUUAAAGAGGGUAGUAGGUCCUAGCUAAUACUCAUGAUCAUGUGCUAAGAACAAUUAAAUGGGGUUGGUUAGAUGACUAAGAUGAUGAUGAGUAUGACUUGUUAUUAUGAUAACGAGUAGAAGUUGUAUGGUGAUGAUGAUGAGUAGGACUUGUUAUUAUGAUAACAAUGAUGAGUUAUAUAUUAUGAUGAUGAUGCAUGAUGCUAAGUUGUCAUAUGAGCAUAAUGAGUUAUUAUAUACAUCAGUGGGUGAAAUGAACUAUGUUGUGCAGGCAACAUGUUGUGCACAUAUCGAAAGUACUAAGCAGUAGUACUUUUGAUAUGUGCACCACAUGUUGCCUCCACUUGAAUCUAAUCCACAUUCAUUUCACCCACUGAUAUAUAUAAUAACUAAUCAUGGUCAUAAAAUCAUAUGAUGAAAGUACUUUAUAUAAAACCUAUACAAAUAUAGAGACAAUAAGCUGCAUUUUAAAAAAUAUAGGAAAAUUAAGUAGUAGCGCUUUUCAUAAGAAACGCUACUGCUACUUACUAUCAUCAGUAGCGCUAUUCCAGACCGAGCGCUACUGCUAACUAGGUAUAGCAGUAGCGCUGGAAAACCAGCACUACUACUAUCAGUUAGCUGUAGCGCCUUAGUGAUAGUGCUUGUAUAAGUGCUACUGAUAGCUAUAAAUCCAGCGCUACUGCUAGGAUUAUCCCUAGUAGUGAAGAGACCUCACCUUGCCUUCGCUCAAGAAUCUGUGAGAAAAGAUGUUGCGAGGGAUUUUUGUGUGUUGCAAGCUUGCUUUGUCACUAUUCUCAUGACAUGUUGUGUGAUCUUUCACAACAUGAUCAUAGAAAAUGAGAGAUGACAACCACACAACUUGGAUUUUGAUCCCAAUCAAGAUCAUUUCACACCUCUGUGUAAUGCAUCUAGACUCAUAGGUUUGAAGUGCAUCAACAAAUCAAAGAUAAGCAAACUCAUGUGAAACUACGGGAAGACCUUAUGAAGCACCACGGGCAAUGUCUUGGACAAUAAAUCUAUCAUGAAUCAUCCUGUGUAUUUAGAACAUUUGCUUCAUUUAGACCCCACGUGUUUAAAUUUGAAUUUGUAAGUCUGAAAACAAUGAGUUGGAAAUAUUGUUCAAAUAUUUGCAUCAUUGACAUCAAUAUUUGAACUACUAUGUUGUAGAAAUUAGUUCAAAUGGGGUCUAAAGUUUACAAAACAAAUUAAGAAAUGGCAAAGAAAGUUUUAUGAACUAAGUUUUGAGGAUAGGUUAGAUGUCACCCUCCCAAUACCUAGGAAUUUUUGGAGUUAAGUUUUAGGGAUUGAUUUUUGGGCACUAACUUCUAGGGAUGGAUUAGAAUUGGCCUGAUGAUGCUAGAUGCCGAGCUUUCGUUGAUGGUGGGGUGAUGCGAUGGCACCCAUAGGUCAUCGUUGUUUUUACUUGCUGGCUUCAAAGGCUUCCUAGAGUAUUUUGGUGGAGGUGUAGCUAUUGAACCACAGAGUUCAUCGUCCUCACUGGGCAAUGUUGAGGUCUUGAAGUUUGCAACCCUCAAUGUAUUUUUUGGCACCGGAACAACGAUAGAACCCCAUAGAGCAUCAUCUUCCAAUUUUGGUAGGGUGGAUUUGAUCUUGUUGAGUUUGAAACUACAUUUCACAAAAUGCAAUAGCAAAAGCAUAUAGAUUAUUAAGACUUAUGGUAGACCUACACAUGGUCUUACAUUGGAUAGAACAAAUGCACCAAGGCAACUGAAUAAAACUCACGGGCUUGCUUUGCUUGCACCACUCAACGGUAUUCAUAUUUGGAUAUGUCUUUUUUUUUGUUUCUCUAUGUGGUGAUUGAAUUUGGAUUUGAAAAUUUUAGAGAUGGUAGACACAUGUGAACAUUCACAGUUUUUUUCAUUUUUUAAUCUUUUGAAUUUGAAUUUUGUGUGUUGGUAUUAUGGCAUCACUGGAUACUCAUGCGAGAGCUCGGAACUGUUGACCACAUACUUUCUAGUAUGCACAUUUUUAUUACACAACAAGCAUAUGUAUGUAGUAAGAAAUAGUAAGAUCACAGUGAUUGCCAUGGCAACUGAGCAUACAUUUUUUUCUCUCCGUAGUUUCCUUUUGUUUUAAGCGAGAUGCCAUCAAUUUUCUUUUUCCCUAUCCACUCUUGGGAGCUUAGUCAUAGAUUGUUUUGGAAGGGGUAGACACCCAAUCUUCAUUUAGUGUCGUAAAGAUAUAUGCAAGCUAAUUGUGUUGUCUCUGCCGGUGUAAAGAACAUCGGCAUCAUCAAGUUUUCUACGUUGCAUUUAGUCAGUACAAAAUCACUUCAGAAAUGUGCCAUAUGCUGGUCUCAAAGACGUUAAUAACAUUUGCUAAAAUUGCCGGCAGCAACAUGCGUGCAUGAAACUAGUUUAUUAUUAUUAUUAUUGAUAACAGUGAAUUUCAUACAAAAUAAAGCUCAACACAUUAUUUUAUUGAUGAUUCGAUCAAUAAUCUGCUCCAGCGAGGCCGGUAUACCAAAGUGGUCGAGCUCGCGGCCGAGGAUGACGCGGCGGAGGAGCUCUAGUCCUCGUCGGAGCUGGCGAGGCCGAUGAACUUCUCCCUCUGCUCCUCACGGAUGCGCCGCCACUCGUCGUCCUUGUCCUUCGCUGCAAGGUUGGCCGCGACCGCCUACUUGAAGAUGAGGUCUUCGAGCCCCUCGUCGUGGCGCCGGCGCUCCGCCUCCUCACGCAAGCUCUAUUUGGCAAUGGCGGCCGCGGCCGCGUUGACAUUGGCCACGAAAUCUUCGGGCCCGACGACCGCGGGACCCCGCGGCACCCGAUCUCCCCCGGCUCCUGCUUGACGGCCACGACCUCGAUCUCCUCCGGCUCCUCCGACCACUCCCUCUUCACGGGGAGAAGCCCCGCGCCGGAAGAGGAAGAGCUCGCGGUGUGGGAAGAUCUCGCAGCGGAGGAGGAUCCCGCGGCCGAGGAGGGCGUACUAGUAGAAAACAGGGCUUUCGUUCGGGCCAGAUAAGCCCAUUAGUCCCGGUUCAGUCACAAACCGGGGCUGAUGUGAGCAUUGGUCCCGGUUCGUGCGGCUAAAGGCAUUAGUCCCGGUUCAAAUGAGCCCUUUAGUCCCGGCUUGAGACACAAAUCAGGACUAAAGGGUGUGAUGCCCUUUAGUCCCGGUUCGUGUCUCAAACUGGGACUAAAGAUUAGAGCUUUAGUACCGGUUCGUGCCUCAAACCAGUACUAAAGGUCCCAUUUUCAAACUCUACCCCCCCUCCCCCACUCCGUGGUUCACCUUUUCAGUUUUGUAAAAAGCAAAAGAAAAUGAUAAAAACUUCAAAAAUUAAAAUCCUUCGAGAUGUAGUUAUGUUACUACAUCUAUUAGUUAGGAAAAUUUAAAACUUAAAUUUGGACAUGUUUUGCAAAAAAAAUGUUAUGAAAAAGUAAAACGGCCCUAUCUUUUGCAUACGAUGUUGAAAAAAACCCGCAUAAUAUAUCAAAAAUAUCAGCACGAAAAUUCGCAUCCGAUUUUGACAGCCAUAGGCUUGUUUGCAAUUUUUUAGAAUCCUCAAAUUCUAAAAGGAAAAAAAAAUAUGCUCAAAUUUCAGUUUUUUUAAAUUUUGGUCAAACUAUGGUCAAACUACUUAUUGAAGGAGUAUUAGUGGUACUAAAUAAUUAUUCAAUAAUAUUAUUGUUACUAAAUAAAUAUUUCGGUACUUUGAAUUUUGGUCAAAUCUGGUCAAACUCUCGUCAAACUGUGGUCAAACUACUUAUUCAAGAAAUAUUAGUCUUACUAAAUAAUUAUUGUUUUUUAGAAUAAUUGUUUCAAACUCAAACAGUGAAACGUGUGACUUCAUGCUCAAGCUAAACUCCUGAGAGUUAAUAGGAUUGACAUCUUACUAUUGUGAGGAAAACAACAAGUGCAGACUUGGAAACGAGGGGGAAUAGAACCCGGAAGUUAAGCAUGCUCAGGCUGGAGUAGUGAGAGAAUGGGUGACCGGCCAGGAAGUUAGAUGAUUUGGAAUGAUGAGGGGUCAUUAGAGAAUAGAGGUUAAAUUGAGCAGUGAUGAGGGGUGAUUAGAGAGUAGAGGUUAAAUAAUUCGGAAAUUUGAAAAUCGAGAAAAAAAUUCAAAAAAAAAACCUUUAGUCCCGGUUUGUGUUACCAACCGGGACUAAAGGUGGAGCUCCAGACAGCGGCCACGUGGAGGGCCUUUAAUCCCGGUUCGUAUAAGAACCGGGACUAAAGGGGGGGCCUUUAGUGACGACCCUUUAGUCCCGGUUUCAGAACCGGGACCAAAGGCCCUCUAGAACCGGGUCGAAUGACCCUUUUUCUACUAGUGGCUUACGCCCAUGCCGAUGGUCGUACUCCUCCGUCUCGAGAAGGAGGAGGCUCGGCGGCGGCUCGAGGCCCUUGUUCGCCCACUUCCUCGCUGCGCGCUUCCUCGCGUCGUCCGAGCGGACAUGCCGCUUGUGCUCGGGGUCGCCGCCCCCGCCGGAGCUGCCACCGGAGCUGCGGCCGGAGCUCCACAUGCGGCCCCACAUGGCGGCUGGAGGAGGAAGGGGGCUCACCGGUGGCGAGAAAUGUGAGGAGGGGGGAGUGGGGAAUUGUGGCGAGACGCGGCGGUGGGGGGAUAGGGUUUCGACCCGCAUAUGCCCCGCGAACCCGUAGAUAUACUGCUUCGGGGGGAGGGGAGAGCGGUUUGUGGGCCGAGUAAAAGAAUUUACGGGCCGGGCGAGUAUACAGGCUCUGUUCUGUCCAGAAAAUUGGGCCGAGUCCAUAUACUCACCAGAAUUUUGCGGGUUUGCGACAUAUACAGGGUCUGCUAGAGUUACUCUCUGAUGUCCUUGAAGUUCCCCACCAGGUUCUCGAGGCAGCGACACGCCGCCUGCCGGUCGGCCGCGUCGGACGCCUUGCCGCUCAGGAUCUUCACCCCGCCGUAGCACCCCGCCGACGGUGCCGUCGCUUGCCCCGUCCCGUAGGACAUGCACGACGCGAUGGCGGACGUCACGUCUGUUGAGCAUACGAUUAUUAUGAAGUACAAGAUAGACUGGAUUUGGUCCUGCCUUAUCUUCUACUUCAAGUUUUGUACUUCUAUAUAUAUGCCCAUAAGGCUUAAGCAAUACGUCAACUAUUUCACCAAUCCCUCUCUAUCCAUUCUCAUGGUAUGAGCCUAACCGAUCCAACACUAGCCGUCGCCCGUCCCUUCCCCUCCGUGCCGCCGCCGGUGGUUGAUCUUCAUGACCGCCGCCGGGGCCACUGCCCGUACCAAGGGUUCGUCCGCCGGUCGUGUUGACCGGUUGCCCUAAAGAGUCUUUUUCCAGAGCCCUUACUCCGGGUUUUUCUCUCUCCCGCCGAUCAUCUUGAUCGGCGUUUUAUUUUUGCUUUUCCAAUUUAAGAUCAGUUUGCGUCGCCUGCCGCCGUCGACCACUGUGUGCCUCUACUCCAACACCGGCGCGACUGGCCGGCUCCUACACCGACCCGGCGGCCUCGCGUGACAGGCGGCCCUUCACGGCCGUGGUCCGCGCGUCUGUCCGCCCGUCACCCUGCGCCGGCCGUCGCGGCCCAGCUCCGACCAGGACCUCUCCAUUGCCACCCGCCUCCGCCGCGUCUACACGGCGGCCCUGUGGUCUGCCUCGCCGGCCUCGUCCCCGGGUGCGUCAAUGACCCACCGUGUUUGUACUCCUGUAUAUAUGUUCGAAAAGUAAUUAAAUCCACCAUGUUUGUAUGAAAGUUGUCAUGUUUGUAUGAAAUCCAACUGUGUUUGCAUGAAUUUCAUCUGGUUUGUUGAAAAAGAAUUUGAAAUGUAUGUGGCUAACUUUGGAUGGCAUCCUCCUGCAUCGGUGUCCGCGGACUGGUCCCCUCUCCCCCCGUCUGCGGACGGAUGCGGGAGGAAAUUUACUGGUUGCCAUUGGAGAUGCCCUAAGUAGGUGGACCGUCGUUGGGAAAUACACUUUGGAACCUGGUUGUAUAUACACCCAUAUAUAGAGUUUUUUCAAUAAUUAAAAAAAGUGAAAAUAGUUUAGAAGUUUUUUUUAGAAUAAACUUGACUUCCUUUCCUACUAGUAUAUAAAUUUUCAGAAAAAAACCAACAUUGACUUGAGGGCAAAAAAGACAAAAUUUAUUUGCUAUUAUAGGUCACUAUUCGCACUAGUAUCACCGGAGUACUAUUUUAGCUAAAAAAUUAUCUUUUUUCGAAAAGAAGUCAAAGAGAGAUUUUCUAUUUAUGGAAUUUUUCUCACGAGUACAAUGAAAGGUCAUGUUCAUUAAAAAAAAUAUUUUCAUUUUUUUGACUUUUUAUGAAUUACUAAUUUUCUUUCCUAUAGGGUUUAGAUACACCCAGAAACCAAACCUCCCCAUCCGACCGUCGUUGUCAAACGCAAAAUGGGACGGACAUCCUUUAAAAUAAAACUCCAAGCUCCCUGGGAAUAAAUAGCUGGGAGCGCUCAGGUUGUCACCAUCACAAUAGGGCCACUGGUCAGAUGAAUUGUUUCUGUACGUUGGCUGUAUAGCUGUUUGCAUGCAUACACCAUGCUUGUGACUCACACGAGGCUGGACGGUGGGUGGUGAGGAGCAUUGCAUCCGCACAUGCACCUUAGAUUAAACGAAGCGACCUAAUUUUCCCGGCCAGUUUAUGGGUCUACCUAAUUAACAAAUAUUUUGGUGAUUAAUCCCUUAUGCUGUACGUGGCAGCACAAAGAAGGCUCAGCUGCGUAUAUAUAAGUGCAUGUGAAUAAUUAAUACUCAUGGCCAGUUAAAUCCUAGCAUGCAUAUAUUGCCAUAAUCCACUAUACAUCAUAUUGGUACAAAAUCUCAUGCUUAUAGGAAUGUAAAAAUGAACAAUGCCAAGCAUCACAUCGUUUAUCUGUGUGAAGAUAAGAUGCAGAAGUCCAUACAAAAACUAGCAAAAUUCAGUGGUCUAUCCACAACACCAUUAACCAAAAUGAUCAAGUGACCGUUCACCCGGUGCAGCAAAGCGCACCUAUCCAUCUAGUUAACAUGAUAUGAAGUAAAUUAUGUGUACGAUCGAUCUAUCCACCUACCAUGCCAUGCAUUGAGAAAAGCAAAGCUAGGAUCUAUGACUAAUGAAGUGUACAUAUUAAUUUCCACCGGCAAAUGUACUGAUCAGGCGGUGCAGAGUGAUCAAUGCCACCAACAUGGGUGCUUUAUUUCUUAACUCCAACUAGUAAGUGGAGUGUAUAUCAAGCAUAUACUUCUACGUAGAAUAUCAUAAGAAAACCAACAUUUAAAGAAAACUUCAUGCAAACCAUCAUUAAAAGUUUUGAAAAAGUAUGGAAAAAAAUAUGGGAAGUUAAGAGGGUGAUAUUCUAUUGCUAUGCAAAAUUCCAAGUUGCAAAACAUUGCGGGAUGCGAGCUAUGGAAAAACAAAUUUCACAGUGAAUAGUUAUGUUAUGUGCUACACUAUUCAAUGUUGAUUUUGUUAUUUUUAUGGGUAACAUCCAAUAAUAUGUUUGAACUUGGAAUUCCACAUCUCAAUAGGACGUCACCCUCUUACAUUCCAUAUUUGUUUUGAGAUUUUCCCAAAACUUCAAACCAUCAUUUUUGUGUGGUUUUCAUUGGUUUCCAUCAAAUUUAGUUUUCAUGGGAGAAUAUCACAUGAAAACCAACAUUCAAAGAAAACUUCGUAGAAACGACCUUUGAAAGUUUCGAAAAAAUCUGAAAAAAAUGGGAUGUUAAGAUGGUGAUGUUCUAUUGCUAUGCGAAAUUCCAAGUUGAAAAACAUUUGUAGUUAAGUCAUGAUUUUCUCUUAAUUAUAUAAAAAUAGGAUCUAUUAUUUAUAUUUCCUUUUAAUUGUAGCAAAAGUAGGAUCUAUGAUUUAUCUUUUCUUUUAAUUAUAGCAAUAUUCCCUACCUAUCAAACAAGUGGUGUAUUCGAUAUGUCUUAAGUUACACUUUUAAAACUUUGAAUAAAAUAUUGUUUCAAAUGUUUUGAUUGAGAACAAGUAAAUAAUAUUACAUUUAAAUUUGUCUCGAAAUGCAUAUUCAUAACAUAAUUUGAGUGAAUUCCAUUUUCACCCGUUACUUUGGCAUUUUUUACACUAAUUAGCCAUUCACACUUUUCAUCCGAACUAGAUGAUCCAUUAAGUCCUUGGCACAAAAACCAAAUGCAACCAAGAAGUUAGGUGAACUAUUAGAUUAUUUUUUUGCUGAAAUACAUGCAAAAUACGAUGAUCUGUUGCGUCCUUGGCGCACAAAUCAAAUGCAAUUGAAAAGUUAGGUGAACUAUUUUUUAUUAUUUUUGGCUGCCCAUAAGAAGGUUUGAAUUGAAUGUUAACCAUCCUGCGCAGGUUUUCAAGAAGAUGUGCCGAGUACACUCAACCGGGUUCGAUAGAUAGUCAAGUUUGACAUACUGGCCGGUACCUAGUCUGUUGCCCUCUCCAACUUAAAGCCGCCCUCGGCCUUGAGGACGAAUAACGACCCAGUCGGCCGUUCCCAGGGAGUCAGCGCUGAGAGGGCGCAACGCAGCAUGGGGUUCCCCGCGAAUGUUGUGGAAAAUUAGUUCAAAUGUGAUAUAAGUUUGCAAAAUGAAGUGAUAAAUAGUGAAGGUUUUGUUUUACGGAACUAAGUUCAUGGGAUGUGUUAGAUGUCAACCCCCCAAUGCCUAAGAUUUUUUGGGAAUUAAGUUUGGGAUCUGUUAGAUGCCAAUCUCCCAAUGCCUAUGAAUUUUUAAGAAUUAUGUUUGGGAUGGGCUUUUGGCCACUAAGUUUGAGGAUGAAUCACUGUUGCCAGAUGCCCAACAUUCGUUCCCGGUGGGGGUGCUGCGAUGGCACCCCAUAGGUCGUCGUUCUUUGUAGAACCUCAUAGAGCAUCAUCUUCUGCUUUGCACCUUUGGUGCACUUGAUGUUGAUAAUUUUAAAACUACAGUUGACAAAAUUGAAUAGCAAAAGCAUAUAAAUUAUUAAGACUUAUGGUAGACCUGCACAUGGGAGAUAGAACAAAUGCAGCAAGACAAUGGAAUAAAACUCACGGUGUUGCGUUGGUUGCACCACUGGACACAAUUCACGCCUAGAUUUAUCGUUUCAUUCUAUUAAGAUAGAAUUUGGAUUUGGAAUUUUUAGAGAUUGUAGAUAUGUGGGCACUCACAAUUUUUCAGAUUUUUUUAAACUUCCUAAUUUUAAUUUUAUGCAGUGGGAUCAUGGUAUCACCAAUAGUGUGGUAUCAUAUCAUACUUUCCCCAGAGGGCAGGAUGAUAGACCACAUACUCCCUCCGUCUCGUUUUAUAGGGAGUGCAUGUAGUUCUAGGUCAUCGAUUUGACUAACUAAAUAUGAGUUAUAUGUCACCAAAAGUACAUCAUUGGAUUCUUAAGCGGAUGUAGUUUCCAAAAAUAUAUUUUUCAUCAAAUAUAAUACAGAUUUAGUUAGCUAAAUUGUCAACCUAGAACGAUGCGCAUGCCUUAUAAACCGACGCGGAGGACGUACAUUGUCCUCUGCACAAUUUUCACCCCACAACAAACAUAUUUAUGAGAAGUAGUAAGAUCCCGAUGGUUAACAUCACAACCCAGAACAAGUCUCUUUUCUCCAUUGUUUCCCUUUGUUUUAAGUGAGAUGUCAUCAAUUUUCCUUUCCAUAUCCACUCUUGGGAGCCUAACCAUAGAUUUUUUUUUGGAGGGGAUGAACAUCACAUCUUUAUUUGGUCUCGUAUAAGAAUCAUAUGUAAGUUAGUUAUGUUGUCUUUGCCAGCGGUUAGAAAAUCAUCGCUUGAUUUAUCAAGUUGACACGUUUUCCCCCCUUGCAUUUAGUUACAAAAUUACAAAUGUGCCGUGUUGGUAUCAAAGACGUUAACAACACUUGCUAAGAUUUCCAGCAGCAACAUGCGGGCAAGAAACUAGUUUAUAAACAGCGAAUGUUAAAAACUUCCGCUCAACACAUUAUUUUAUUGAUGAUUCGAUCAGUAAUCUGCUCGAUCUGUAACAAGGACAACAGAUGGAGGUGGAACACAUGCAGAAAACAACAACGAAUACACGCAGAGAGCAGCAACAGUAGACACCGAGUGGGCUAGCUAGCCUGGUGUGAUGAUGAUGCUCGUAGAUAACUUAAUGAAGGCUGCAAACACACAGACACAAAAGCUCAACGAUUAGUCUUACUAUUUAUACUUACAAAUUAAGAUUAAAUGGCUAACGAGUACUUAGAAUAUAAUCUUUCAAGUUAGGAGUGGAGGAUGUACUUGUUGCAGUUGACGCUGUUGUUGAUGGGGAAAGAGACGGAGACGCCGCACUUGCCGGGGAUGUUGGCGGCGUUACCCAUGCUGAUGCCAUUGAACGACCCCGCCAGGUUCUUGAGGCAGCGGCACGCCGCCUGCCGGUCGGCCGAGGUGGACGCCUUGCCGUUCAGGGUCCUCACCCCGCUGCAGCACCCCGCCGAGGGUGACGACGCUUGCCCCGUUGCGUAGGACAUGCACGGCGCGAUGGCGGACGUCACGUCGCUGCAGGUCACCGCCCCAGACGCCAUCUCCGCCACUGCCAGUGCGGCGAGCACGGUGAACACGGCGAGCAGUGCCACGCGAGCCAUCGAGGAUCUAGUGCUUCGGCUUGCUUGCUGGAAAUGUAGCUGGGAAGGAGCAGAGAGCUUGAUUGGCUUGUGUGGUGGUGGUGGAGAUGGAAUGGAACUCCGUGGAGCGGGCUAUAAAUAGCCGGCUGGCAAGAAGAAGAAGAAAAAGAUAAGGUGUUCCUGUAGCAUUGCACUGCUGGGUGGCGGACGGUGGUGCGCGCAUGCGCAGUAAUACGUAGCUAGUGGGACGUGCAUGCAUGCAUGCAGUGGCGGAGGCCCCCGGUGGGCAAGAUAUGGCGGCUGCCAUACCUUAAUUGGGUGCAAAACAUGUUUUAUAUGUAUGCAUCUCGUCUCGCCGGACACUGGCUAAGCUAAUUCGCUGGCUAUGCUAAUUAGAGUCUCUAGGAAAAUCGCUAAAGAAGCUGAGAAAAGGCCUGUUCGGGACUAAUUAAUGGGCCAUUGAGGCAGUUGGGCCAAGAGCGGUUGAGCCAGAGCCCAACACAACGAACGACGCAUUGUACCUCUCGCAGGCACAGGAUGCACACGCCCCACUCGACACUCCCAAACCUAUCGCGGCGGCGUCGGCUGGCCAGGAGGAUGCGGACCGGCGGCGGCGUCGAGCAAGCGGGUGGGUGGGCGCUGCCGCGCAGGGCGCACUGUCUAGCGAGCGGCGGCUGAGGGUGAGGGCUAGCGGGCGGCAGCAGCGACAAAAUUGCCCCCAACAUUAGAGAUGAUGUUAUGUUUACUUAUAUAUGAGUGGCUCCAACUGGCCAAUUAGUCACAAUUGCUACUACUGGUGCCAACAGUUAGAAGGGCCCUCUCAUCAAUGAAAAUCAUUAAGACUGAAUUGCGUAGCAAGAUGUUUGAUGGAUGUCUUAAUGACUUAAUGGUGUGUUACAUUAAGCGAGGGAUCUUCAAAAGCAUUCAUCUUGGUAAAAUUAAGAAAGAUUUUCAGAAGGAGGGUAGGGCACUGCCAUUUAAUUCCUGGGUCUUCUAGACGCCACUGAAAGCUUCAUUACUGGUAUGUUUUAGGUUGUUUUUCUAUUGAAACAUGUCUAAAUUUUCAUUGUAUUUGUCUAUUCGUUUGUAGUGUGCAUUGUUAGUGUGUAUUGACUCUUUUGGUUUGCAUAAAAAAUUCUUUGCUUGAGACUUCGCCACACCUUAAUUUUUUUUCAUCCUCCGCCUAUGCAUGCAUGUGCAUGAGGGUGGUUGGGCGCUGGGACCGUACGAUGAAUCGACCGGUCGCGUCCACUUCACGCAUGUGACACUUUUUAUUUACACACAAUACGUAUAUAUGAAAAUCGCCAUAAUUUAGAAUUUGGGUCAGUCGAUUUCCGCGUGAAGAAAGGAAAAGCCCGAGGAAAGGAAGGACCUCGUCGGAGGAAAGGAAGCCCAUUAGGUCUAUCUUAAAGUAGCAGGCGACCCUGGUGUCUACCUUAGGAUGCAGGCGACUUCAUUUUCUAUCUUAGGGGUGUGGGGUGAUGCAAAUUCAUCGGGAAAAAACUGAUAAUUGUCGGGGUUAAAGGGAUGGCAGGCGGCGGUUGAGCGAGGCCGGGGUGCGAGUUUGUCGUGGGAGCGCCAACAUUUACAGGCGGCGAAGGCAGUCGGUUAGGCCUAGACUGGAUCGGCGGGGUGAGAGAAGAAUAAGAAAAAUUAUAUCGUUUGGAGGUUGAAGAUGAGCAGUGCCCAUUAAAACUUGAUCCAAUGGUUGAGAUAAGUGGAGGGAGAAUCGACUGACCAUUUCCUUAUUUCAACGACUGGCGCCAAACCAUUUCCUUAUUUUAUCCUAAAUGAUAAGUGAAGGAAUUAUGCCCUAGAGGUAAUAAUAAAGUUGUUAUUUUAUAUUUUCUUAUUCAUGAUAAAUGUUUAUCAUUCAUGCUAGAAUUAUAUUAACCGGAAACUUGAUACAUGUGUGAGUACAUAGACAAAACACCGUGUCCCUAUUAUGCCUCUACUUGACUAGCUCGUUGAUCAAAGAUCGUUAAGUUUCCUAACCAUGGACAUGCUUGUCAUUUGAUGAACGGGAUCACAUCAUUAGGAGAAUGAUGUGAUGGACAAGACCCAUCCGUUAGCUUAGCAUAAUGGUCGUUCAGUUUUAUUGCUACUGCUUUCUUCAUGUCAAAUAUAUAUUCCUCUGACUAUGAGAUUAUGCAACUCCCAGACACUGGAGAAAUGCCUUGUUUGCUAUCAAACGUCACAACAUAUCUGGGUGAUUAUAAAGAUGCUCUACAGGUAUCUCCAAGGUGUUUGUUGGGUUGGCAUAGAUCAUGAUUAGGAUUUGUCACUCCGAGCAUCGGAGAGGUGUCUCUGGGCCCUCUCGGUAGUGCACAUCAUAUGAAGCCUUGCAAAUAAUGUGACUAAUGAUUUAGUUGCGGGAUGAUGCAUUACGGAACGAGUAAAGAGACUUGCCGGUAACGAGAUUGAACUAGGUAUGAAGAUAGCGACAAUCGAAUCUCGGGCAAGUAACAUACCGAUGAAAAAGGGAAUAACGUAUGUUGACAUAGCGGUUCGACCGAUAAAGAUCUUCGUAGAAUAUGUGGGAACCAAUAUGAGCAUCCAGGUUCCGCUAUUGGUUAUUGACCGUAGAGGUGUCUCGGUCAUGUCUACAUAUUUCUUGAACCCGUAGGGUCCGCACGCUUAACGUUCGAUGACGAUAUGUAUUAUAUGAGUUAUGUGUUUUGGUAACCGAAGGUUGUUCAGAGUCCCGGAUGAGAUCACGAACAUGACGAGGAGUCUCGAAAUGGUCGAGAGGUAAAGAUUGAUAUAUUGUGUAACACUGAUACGUCUCCAACGUAUCUAUAAUUUUUGAUUGUUCCAUGCUAUUAUAUUACCCGUUUUGGAUGUUUAUGGGCUUUACUUUACACAUUUAUAUCAUUUUUGGGACUAACCUAUUAACCGGAGGCCCAAUCCAUAUUGCUGUUUUAUUGCCUGUUUCAGUAUUUCGAAGAAAAGGAAUAUCAAACGGAGUCCAAACGGAAUGAAACCUUCGGGAGCAUGAUUUUUAGGAAGAAUAUGAUCCGGGAGACUUGGAGUUCACGUUAGAAGAUCCUCGAGGAGGCCACGAGAUAGGGGGCGCGCCCACCCCCUGGGCGCGCCCUACCCUCUUGUGGGCCCCUUGAGGCUCCCCCGACCGACUUCUUUCGCCUAUAUAAGCCUACAUACCCUAAAAACAUCGAAUAUCAAGAUAGAUCGGGAGUUACGCCACCGCAAGCCUCUGUAGCCACCAAAAACCCCGUUCCGGCACCCUGCCGGAGGGGGAAUCCCUCACCAGUGGCCAUCUUCAUCAUCCCGGCGCUAUCCAUGACGAGGAGGGAGUAUUUCACCCUCGGGGCUAAGGGUAUGUACCAGUAGCUAUGUGUUUGAUCUCUCUCUCUCUCUCUCUCUCUCUCUCUCUCUCGUGUUCUCUCUAUGACACGAUCUUGAUGUAUCGCGAGCUUUGCUAUUAUAGUUGGAUCUUAUGAUGUUUCUCCCCCUCUACUCUCUUGUGAUGAAUUGAGUUUUCCUCUUGAAGUUAUCUUAUCGGAUUGAGUCUUUAAUGAUUUGAGAACACUUGAUGUAUGUCUUGCCGUGAUUAUCUGUGGUGACAAUGGGAUAUCAUGUGCCACUUGAUGUAUGAUUUGGUGAUCAACUUGCGGGUUCCGCCCAUGAACCUAUGCAUAGGGGUUGGCACACGUUUUCGUCUUGAUUCUCCUGUAGAAACUUCGGGGCACUCUUUGAAGUACUUUGUGUUGGUUGAAUAGAUGAAUCUGAGAUUGUGUGAUGCAUAUCGUAUAAUCAUGCCCACGGAUAUUUGAGGUGACAAUGGAGUAUCUAGGUGACAUUAGGGUUUUGGUUGAUUUGUGUCUUAAGGUGUUAUUCUAGUAUGAACUCUAUGAUGGAUUGAGCGAAAAGAAUAGCUUCAUGUUAUUUUACUACGAACUCUUGAAUAGAUAGAUCAAAAAGGAUAACGUUGAGGUGGUUUCGUACUCUACCAUAAUCUCUUCGUUUGUUCUCCGCUAUUAGUGUCUUUGGAGUGACUCUUUGUUGCAUGUUGAGGGAUUAUUAUAUGAUCUAUCUAUGUUAUUAUUGUUGAGAGAACUUGCACUAGUGAAAGUAUGAACCCUAUGCCUUGUUUCCUAUCAUUGCAAUACCGUUUACGCUCACUUUUACCACUUUUUACCUUGCUGUUUUUAUAAUUUCAGAUUACAAAUACCUUUAUCUACCAUCCAUAUUGCACUUGUAUCACCAUCUCUUCGCCGAACUAGUGCACCUAUACAAUUUACCAUUGUAUUGGGUGUGUUGGGGACACAAGAGACUCUUUGUUAUUUGGUUGCAGGGUUGUUUGAGAGAGACCAUCUUCAUCCUACGCCUCCCACGGAUUGAUAAACCUUAGGUCAUCCACUUGAGGAAAAUUUGCUACUGUCCUACAAACCUGUGCACUUGCAGGCCCAACAACGUCUACAAGAAGAAGGUUGUGUAGUAGACAUCAAGCUCUUUUCUGGUGCCGUUGCCGGGGAGGUGAGUGCUUGAAGGUAUAUAUUUAGACCCUACAAUCAAAUCUUUUUGUUUCUUGUUUUAUCACUAGUUUAGUUUAUAAAAGAAAACUACAAAAAAAUGGAGUUAAGUUUGUCUCAUACACUUCAUCUUUUUAAUAUCUUUCGUGAGUAUGAUGAAAAGGAAAAUUGUGCUCAAGUGUUGGAAGAAGAAAUCUAUAGAAUGUUUGACACUAAAUAUUUGAAUGAUGAGCAUGAUUGCAAUGUUGUUAGUAUGAGUUCCUUGAAUAUCCAUGAUGCUAAUGAUAUGCAAAGCCACAAGCUUGGGGAAGCUAUGUUUGAUUAAUAUGAUAUUUUUUGUCCCCCAAGUUUUGAUGAGAAUAUUUAUUAUGAUGAAAGCAUGCCUCCUAUUUAUGACGAUUAUAUUGAUGAAAGUGGAUUUGGAGAGGUCAUGACUUUGUUUAGUGAUGAAUCCACUAUUUCGGAAGAGGUUCCAAUUGAUUUUGAGAACAAAGUUGCUAUCUAUGAUGAUUAUUGUGAUGACUUGUAUGCUAUUAGGAAUAAUGAUAACCAUGAAACUUGUCAUCAUGAUUUUAGUUUUCAAUUGGAUUAUGCCUCACAUGAUAAUUAUUUUGUUGAGUUUGCUCCCACUAUUACUCAUGAGAAGAAUUUUGCUUAUAUGGAGAGUAGUAAAUUUUCUAUGCUUGUAGAUCAUGAAAAGAAUGCUUUAGGUGCUGGUUAUAUUGUUGAAUUCAUUCAUGAUGCUACUGAAAAAUUAUUAUGAGGGAGGAACAUAUGCUUGUAGGAAUAGUAAUAAUAUCAAGUUUCCUCUCUAUGUGCUUAAAGUUUUGAAGUUAUGCUUGUUUUGCCUUCCUAUGCUAGUUGAUUAUUGUUCCCAUAAGUUAUUUGCUCACAAAAUCCCUAUGCAUAGGAAGUGGGUUAGACUUAAAUGUGCUAUUCAUAUUCUUCAUGAUGCUCUCUUUAUGUUUCAAUUCUUAUCUUUUAUGUGAGCAUCAUUUCAUCAUGCCUAGCUAGGGGCUUUAAACGAUAGCGCUUGUUGGGAGCCAACCCAAUUUAUUUUCCUUGAUUUUUGUUCCUGUUUAGUGAUAAAUAAUUCAUCUAGCCUCUGGUUAGAUGAGGUUUCAUGUUUUAAUUAGUGUUUGUGCCAAGUAGAACCUUUGGGAAGACUUGGGUGAAGUUUAUGUGAUCUUGCUGUAAAAAGCAGAAACUUUUGCGCUCACGAGAUUAGCUGCCAUUUUUACUGGAGAGUGCUUUUAGGUUGAUUCUUUUUUCACAUGAUUAAUAGACAAAUUACUAAGGUCCAGAAAUUUAUUUCAGAAUUGUUUGAGUUCCAGAAGUAUACGUUUGAUACAGAUUACUACAGACUGUUCUGUUUUUGACAGAUUCUGUUUUCUAUGUGUUGUUUGCUUAUUUUGAUGAAUCUAUGAGUAGUAUCUGAGGGAAUGAACCAUAGAGAAGUUGUAAUACAUUAGGUUUUAUACCAAUAUGAAUUUAGAAUGAGUUCACAACAGUACCUAACUGGUGAUUUAUUUUCUUAUACUAACGGAGCUUACGAGUUUUGUGUUGAGUUUUGUGUGGUUGAAGUUUUCAAGUUUUGGGUAAAGAUUCGAUGGACUAUGGAAUAAGGAGAGGAAAGAGCCUAAGCUUGGGGAUGCCCAAGGCACCCCAAGGUAAUAUCCAAGGACAACCAAGAGCCUAAGCUUGGGGAUGCCCCGGAAGGCAUCCCCUCUUUCGUCUUCGUUCAUCGGUAACUUUACUUGGAGCUAUAUUUUUAUUCGCCACAUGAUAUGUGUUUUGCUUGGAGCGUCAUUUUAUUCUAUUAGUUUUUGCUUGCUUUUAUUUAUAAUAAUGUUUUGCAUCUAUAUUUUCAAUAAAAAUGUCAAGGAUAGCCUUUACCAUGCUUAUUUUGCUAGUAUACAUGUUGCUGUUUGAAAACAGAAAGUUUACCGCUGUUGCAAAGAUACCCUAGAAAAGUAAGAGAAUGGUACAAUGUUGAAACUUUUUGCAUAUUAAGCUCUGAUAAACCUUAUACAGCGUAUUAUUUUUCUCAUAAUUUUUGGAGUUAGGGAAGUAUGAUGAAUCUUGCAUUCUUUACAGACUAUACUAUUUUGGCAGAUUGCUGUUAUGUUUUCAUAUGUUUGCUUGUUUAAUGAUUCUAUUUGAGGAUAGGAGUAUUAAAUAUGUAGAGGCAUUUAGUAUGCAAUAUUGAAUAAUAAUUUUAGUGAUUUGUUACAGUAGAAAAUGAUAAGGUUUUGCAUUGGUUUAUACUAACCUAUCUCACGAGUUCUUGUUGAGUUUGUUGUGGAUGAAGCUUUUGAUAAAAAGAGAAACCAUGAUAUGAGAGGAAUUAAGGAGACACAGAAGUUCAAGCUUGGGGAUGCCCAAGGCACCCCAAGAUAAUAUUUCAAGAAGUCUCAAGCAUCUAAGCUUGGGGAUGCCCCGGUAGGCAUCCCACCUUUUUUCUUCAACAACUAUCGGUUAGUAUCGGUUGAGCCUAAGUUUUUGCUUCUUCACAUGAGUUGUGCUAUCCUUGCAAUGUCAUUUUAUUUUGUUUUGCUUGCUGUUUGAAUACAAUACCAAGAUCUGAAUCCUUUAAUGAGAGAGAGUCUUCACAUAGUUACAUAAUUAUUUAGCUACUCAUUGAUCUUCACUUAUAUCUUUUUGGAGUAGUUUUUCAUUUACUCGUGUGCUUCACUUAUAUCCUAUGAGUAAAUGGUUGAAUGAGUUGAUUAUCAUAAAUCUGAAAUUACAUAUGUUUUAUUUGCUUAUCCCAUGGGGAGUAAUGACUUCACAUCUAAGAAGUAGAGGUUGUAAAUUUAUUGAAGGUUAGCAAGCAUUGUAUUGGUCAUUUGAACAAUUCAUGAAAGAAUAUUGAAGGAAGAGAGAUUCCACAUAUAAAUACACUCUCCUAGACAUCUUUUAUAAUUGUGAGCACUCAUUAAGUAUGACAUGCUAAAGAGUUGAUGUUGGACAAGGAAGACAACAUAAUGGGUUAUGUUUUCUCACAUCUCAGUUAAAGUAUAUUGUCAUUGAUCAUUCAAACAUGUUGAGCUUGCCUUUCCCCCUCAUGCUAGCCAAAAUUCCUUGCACCAAGUAGAGAUACUACUUGUGCUUCCAAAUAUCCUUAAACCCAGUUUUUGCCAUGAGAGUCCACCAUACCUACCUAUGGAUUGAGUAAGAUCCUUCAAGUAAGUUGUCAUCGGUGCAAGCAAUAAAAAUUGCUCUCUAAAUAUGCAUGACUUAUUAGUGUGGAGAAAAUAAGCUUUGUACGAUCUUGUUAUGGAAGCAAUAAAAGUGACGGACUGCAUAAUAAAGGUCCAUAUACACGGGGGAAUAUAAAGUGACAUUCUUUCGCAUUAAGAUUUUGUGUAUCCAACCCUAAAAGCGCAUGACAACCUCUGCUUCCCUCUGCGAAGGGCCUAUCUUUUACUUUAUGUCUUUUACUUUAUGCAAGAGUCAAGGUGAUCUUCACCUUUCCCUUUUUCAUUUUAUCCUUUGGCAAGCACUUUGUGUUGGGGUGAUCCUGAUAUAUAUAUCCAAUUGGAUGUAAGUUAGCAUGAACUAUUAUUGUUGACAUCACCCAAAGGUGAAUACGUUGGGAGGCAACACUAUAAGCCCCUAUCUUUCUCAGUGUCCGAUUAAAACUCCAUAACCAUUAGUAUUGCAUGAGUGUCAACAAUUAUGAAAGACUAUAUGAUAGUUGAGUAUGUUGAGUUUGCUAUUCCUGAAAAUAAGAUGAAUUGCAAUUGUUUGAUGACUAAGAAUGAAGAUUGCUAGUUUUCAAGAAAGUUUAUGGUCUAUGCUUUAACAUGAGAAUUGCUUGUUACUUAUUCGUGAGAAGUUUUAUGAGAUGAACUACUGUUAUGACAUAUAAUCAUGCUAGAAAAGGUGAUUGAAAUUAUGAUUGAUCAAACUUAUGCACCUUCUAGCAUUCACACUUCAUAAAUUCUUUCUUUUUCAUUUACCUACUCGAGGACGAGUAGGAAUUAAGCUUGGGGAUGCUGAUACGUCUCCAACGUAUCUAUGAUUUAUGCAGCAUUCAUGCUAUUUUAUUAUCCGUUUUGAAUGAUUAUGGGCUUUAUUAUACACUUUCAUAUUACUUUUGGGACUAACCUAUUAACCGGAGGCCCAGCCCAUAUUGCUGUUUUAUUGCCUGUUUCAGUAUUUCGAAGGAAAGGAAUAUCAAACGGAGUCCAAACGGAAUGAAACCUUCGGCAGCGUGAUUUUUUGGAAGAAUAUCACCCAGGAGACUGUGAGUUCACGUUAGAAGAGCCUCGAGGAGGCCAGGAGAUAGGAGGGCGCGCCCCGCUGCUGGGCGCGCCCCCUGUAUCUUGGGCCCCUCGAGAAAUCCCCGACCAACUUCUUUCACCUAUAUAGUCCCACGUACCCUAAAAACAUACACGGAGAAGAUAGAUCGGGAGUUUCGCCGUCGCAAGCCUCUGUAGCCACCAAAAACCUCUCGGGAGCCCGUUCCGGCACCCUGCCGGAGGGGGAACCCAUCACCGGUGGCCAUAUUCAUCAUCUCGGCGCUCUCCAUGACGAGGAGGGAGUAGUUCACCCUCAGGGAUGAGGGUAUGUACCAGUAGCUAUGUGUUUGAUCUCUCUCUCUCGUGUUCUCUCUAUGGCACGAUCUUGAUGUAUCGCGAGCUUUGCUAUUAUAGUUGGAUCUUAUGUUUCUCCCCCUCCACUCUCUUGUAAUGGAUUGAGUUUUCCAUUUGAAGUUAUCUUAUCGGAUUGAGUCUUUAAGUAUUUGAGAACACUUGAUGUAUGUCUUGCCGUGUUUAUCUGUGGUGACAAUGGGAUAUCAUGUGCCACUUGAUGUAUGUUUUGCCAUCUCUUGUCGUGGUUCUAAGUCUGACAGUAGAAAGGGGAGUAGGUAUGGAGAGGCAAGAUCUUAGCUAUGGCGAAGAUGUACACAUGAUGUUUACGAGUUCAGGCCCUUCUCGGAAGAAGUAACAGCCCUACGUCUCGGUGCCCGGAGGUGGUCGAUUGGAUUAUGUGUGUUGUGUUACAGGGGGUGCGAACCCUUGUCCCAGAGGAGGGGGGUGGCUUAUAUAGAGUGCGCCAGGACCCCCGCCCACCUCCAUUACAAAGGGCUUAAUGUACAUAAAGUGGGGGCAUUACAGGUAACGACAGUCUUAAAUGUUCGUAAUGCUCAAGAAGACUAAGGAGUGAAUGCCCGACCGUUGUAUGUUCUACCGACUCCUGGUCUUUGACAUAGUCGACUGAUUCUCAUAUGGUCGAGUGAAGGUAAGGAAUGACGGUCGAGUGAUUGCAUCGUCGAGUGGAUUCUUAGACUUCUUAUCUUCUGGGGUAGUGACCUUGGGUAGGACGUGUAGGUCAGGCCUAUGACCCUACCCCAGGUCUGUAUCCUCAUCAGUAGCCCCCGAAUGGAUUAAGGUGUGAGUGCAAAGUAGGCUGAAAUUGAACUUGUUCCGAGCUUUGGGACCUCAAGUGUGCUUUCUGCAAGUCUGAACGCCUGUGUCGGUAUUUGGUGUCGACUCAGUCGCCUUGAUCCAUUCAGCGGACAAUCGAGUGAACUGUUGAUCUCAUGUGCCGAGUGUUGUGUUGGAGCGCGGGAUCCUGGGCGCGAUUGUCUGCAGUGUAUCCCGGAUUUCGCGGGAUACGAAAUUUUAGGGAAGCGCGCCGGACGGGGAGUGCCGAAGUGGGCAGAGCGGAUAAACAAUGAUUCCUCGAUUCCCGCGCCGCCUUUUUCGCCACGUACGCUGCGCGCGACUGUUGCGGGAUUUGACGGGAUCGUCCGGCCCCACGCCUCAGUCACUCGGAAAUAGUCUCUUAUAAGGUGACCGGACCGAGGCGUCCACACUGUGCGCAUCUUCUCUUCCUUCUUCUUUCUCUGCUUCUCCGCCGCACCUUACUCUUCCGCUCUGACGCCGCUGCCCCGUCACCAUGGUGAAGGACAAGACGGUAGCGCUAGAGCGCGUGAAGAAGACGAAGGAGGUGGCGAAGGGCAAGAAGCAGCAACGUGGGUCAUCGUCGCGCGUGGGGCUGUCGCCGGGCUGGAUCCAGGGCGAUUGGAUCCGGUCUUCGAUCCGGAAGGCGGACCUGGACGAGUUGACGGAGUCGGGGUUAAUCGCCAAGGGAGCGGCGAGGCUGCCGGAGGGGGAGAUGAGUCCUUAACCUCGACCAGGUGAGUGCGUUCUGCUCGCCACCCACGUCGACCGUGGCUUUUCGCUUCCUCUGCAUCCUUUCUUUCAGGGGUUUCUGAACUUUUUCGGCGCUCAACUCCACCAUUUCUCCCCUAACACAAUCACGCAUUUAGCCGCUUUCGUGUCGAUGUGCGAGAACUUCUUGGGGUGUCGACCGCACUGGGGUCUUUUCAAACACAUCUUCACCAUUCGUUCCCAAUCGAUAAAAAAGGCGAAGUCGAGUGACUCAAAAACCCAUGUCAUCCAGAUGUGUGGGGGUUUAGGUAUCCAAAAGAGAAAAGGGAGUGCUUUUCCUGCCAUGACCCUUCCUGACUCUGUUAGAGGCUGGCAGUCGACUUGGUUCUAUUGCCAAGAUGCCGUGACUCCAGGUCAGUCGACCGGCCUCCCCCACUUCUUGUUUGACCGAGUCCAGACUCCUGCUCCACUGAAAGUGACUGCUGGCUAGACCAUGGAGACGAGGAUAUUGGUGGAUAGGGCUGUUCAGCUUAUCAAUGAUGGCGUUACAGGUCUGGAUCUGUUGGAGGUGUUCCUCAGUCGACGCAUCCAGCUUCUCCAGGCCCGCGAUCACCCGAUGUGGCUGUAUUCCGGGCCGGAUGACACCACUUGGGUCCAUCCAAAAGAAGUGCCGUCUGAAACAGUAGCCUUGUGGCUGAGGAGCAUCACAGGCAAUCAGGACAAUCCCAGAGGAUCUAGGCGAGUCGUUCCCUUUAGCAGCAUAAACCCACCCGAGAAGGUACGCUUUUCGUUCGGACUGCUUCUCAUUCAUGCUCCGACUGCACUUGAUAUUGACUGACUCUUGUUCGACCAAUUUGUUCUGCAGGUGUUCACUGAGAUGCAUUCAAUGCCCAAUGGUGAACUUGCUUUGGAACAGGCCAAGGAGGGGGAGGACAACGCGGAGGAUAGUGCCGAGUGGGAUUCUCAGGGAGAUGAUGAGGAGGAGGAGGAGAGCGAGGAAUCGGAUGAGGAGGAGGAAGUCGACUCGCUGCCACGCUUCGAUCGUUGAUCCAAACAACAACAUGAUCCGGUCAGCGGGCGCGGGAAAGGCGUGGGUCCGAGUGCCAAUACUCAGAAGCGCACUCGGACAUCGACUCCGGAGCCGACAGAGAAGGUGGCCAAGCAGCCUAAAGUUGCCCCCUCCAAGACCCGGAAGACAUUGCCGCGAAUCAAGAUGGACAUCCCCAUUGCCUCAGGGUGGGUAUCUUGUUUGUGUUUCCGUAAGUCGACUGAAGGUUUUCUCGAUCUGACUGACCAAUUCUUGUGUCCUUCUAGCCCCACCUCUGCUGCCACUGACAUGGACGUUGACAAGGCACCAGGAGACGAAGAAGCCACCUCACGAGCUGGUAAGUUCAUCCAACCUAGUUCUGUUUAACCGAGUGGGUGGUCGAUUGACUGAAAAUUUGAUACUUUUCUUCUUAUGUAGCUCCGCAAGACAUCAUUGUGCUUCCUGACGACGAAGAAGAAGAAGUGCCUCUACAGGAGAGGAAGAAGAAGAGUGGAGGUUCGAGCAGGAGGAGACUUGAAGUCCAAAUCCCUCAGUCGACACCGGCGCCUGAGUCGAUAGUUCGGACUAACGUCACAUUUGCUAACCCGUUGACGACUGAUCGUCUGUCGGGGUCGACUGCACAGACGCCUGCUGCACCGGUGCAACUCCACUCAUCCGACCCGUCAACUACUUCGACCCCUCUGGAGCCAUCCCUCUUUACUACAUAUCAAACUCCGGACGACUUGCCGAGUGCCGCUAGGGAAGCUCUUCGCCAGGCGAAUCUUGUCAUGGAGCAGGUGAAAGUGAUGCAUGAAGCCAGUCAGAUGGCGUACAAUGCCAGCAGUACCCUUCAGACCAAUGUCCAAGUCAGUAAAAUUCCGACUGAACGUUUGAACAUUGUUUUAUAUCUGAUCACCCACUGGGUGUUCCUUUGUUUAGAACUCAGGAAAUCUUCAAUUUUUCACUUUCCGAAUCAGUGGGGGCACGUCGAGUGCUCCCACUGGGUGUAUUCCCCGAUACCACGGUCGGCUGCUGGCAGUCGACUGAGGUCUGAUGAUAUAUCUCUCUGUCUUUUUUUUGAACUCUCGCUGAGUAUUGAUCUGAUCCAGUUGGGGCACGUUAAGUGCACCCACUGGGUGUAGUCCCCGAGUCUACUAUUGAAUAUUUGAUUCGGCAGUAGUCUUAGAGUAAUUCUUCUCCUUCACUGUCGCUUACAUGUGUGGACUGACAUGUCUGUCUUUCUGUCUACAGAGGUCUUGUGAUCUUGGAGCUCGGCUCACCGAAUUAAAGAAGAAGCAUAUCAGUGUUGAACUUGAUCUCGAACUUGUGAAGAAGAAUCUGAAGACUGCUCAAGAAGAAACGGCCAUCAUGGGAGGUAAUCACUCGGCCAUUUUGUCUACUUUGUAUCUUCACACUUCGCACUGGUUUUUCUUUCAGUCUCUUUGAACCGAGUGAAUUCACACAAACAGAUGUGCGUAGUGAAAAUCGCCAACUUCAGUCUCGUCUGAAGAGUGUUGUUUCUUUAGAGAGGAUGAAGGAAGCUUUGGAGCAGAAGGAUUUGGAUCUGGCAGCUGCUCAGAAGGAAGCACGCGAGAAGACGAAGCUUGUGGACCAGAAGCUGGCUUCAGUCGGCAAGUUGGAGGACGAGAACGCGAAAUUGAAGUCGGCCAUCUCGGAUGCCAAUCGUGAAGUCUAACAACUGAGGAAGGACAAGGAGAACCUGACCGCUGAAGUUUAGGGUCUCAGGACCAAGACGGGCAAGCUAGAGUCUCAUUUGGAACAACUUGCGGUGAAGCUUGUCUUGAAGCUUGAAGGUAUGACUGUUCAGUUAGCUAACUGUCGUCGACUGAGAUUUGCAAUACUGUCGACUCAUUGUUCAUUGUGAUGGAACAGAACUCUGUCAGGACUGUGAAGCUGAAAUUGGACGGGUCGAGACAGGUCUCGACCCUAUCAACUGUCCCAUGAAAGAUGAAGUUGCGAUGAACUUGCUUCGACUGGAAUCAUGCUUGGACGGUGCAGUCGACUAUCUGGCUCGGCUGAAGGCGGUGAUGGCCCGAGUGGACGCCGAACUCUGGACUCAAGCGCAAAUGUCUCAAGAUCUCGAGUCCUUGAUGACUCGGCUGAAUCAGAUCCCAAGCCGAGUGCAAGAGUGGAAGAAAUCUUCUGCCCGCUAUGGUGCUGAUGUCGCCUUGUCUUUGGUCCGAGUGCACUGCAAGGAGGCUAAGGAAGACAAGCUGACGGCUCUCAAAGUGGCAAACACUAAGAAGCACUCCUUCUAGGACUUCAUGGAAACUUUCCUCGAGGCAGCCACUCACAUCGCCGACAGCAUCGAUCUCAACAGCUUCUGCGACCCGGCCAGUCCUUCUCCCGCCGAGUGAUUAAAAAACAUUAUGCCAUCGCUUUUAUUUGCCUCGGAAUGCCGAGUGGAUUUGUAGCCGUUAAAACUCCUUCGGGCCUGAUGCCUGGGCACUUUAUUCUGUGGUCAAGAAACUUUGUAUUUAUCAUCUCAUAUAUUGCGUCUGUCCUCAAGUGAAAUUCGUUUUUCUCUCGAACUGUUGUCUGUUUGCUUGAUGCAGAUCGGGCGAUCCUCGAGAAGCAUUGAUCGGCUCAUCAGCAAGGCACUCAGCAAUGGUCUUCACGUUCCAGUCGGCCGAUUGAGUGAUCCUUGAGUAGCAUUGAUCAGCUCAUCAGCAAGGCACUCAGCAAUGAUCUUGACGUUCCGGUGGACCGAUGGGUGAUCCUUGAGUAGUAUUGAUCAGCUCAUCAGCAAGGCACUCAGCAAUGGUCCUGACGUUCCUGUCAAUCAAUUUGGGUGAUCCUUGAGUAGCAUUGAUCGGCNNNNNNNNNNNNNNNNNNNNNNNNNNNNNNNNNNNNNNNNNNNNNNNNNNNNNNNNNNNNNNNNNNNNNNNNNNNNNNNNNNNNNNNNNNNNNNNNNNNNNNNNNNNNNNNNNNNNNNNNNNNNNNNNNNNNNNNNNNNNNNNNNNNNNNNNNNNNNNNNNNNNNNNNNNNNNNNNNNNNNNNNNNNNNNNNNNNNNNNCUCAUCAGCAAGGCACUCAACAAUUGUCUUCACGUUCCAGUCGGCCAAUUGAGUGAUCCUUGAGUAGCAUUGAUCAGCUCAUCAGCAAGGCACUCAGCAAUGGUCUUGACGUUCCAGUCGACCGAUCGGGUGAUCCUUGAGUAGUAUUGAUCAGCUCAUCAGCAAGGCACUCAGCAAUGGUCCUGACGUUCCUGUCAAUCGAUUGGGUGAUCCUUGAGUAGCAUUGAUCAGCUCAUCAGCAAGGCACCCCGCAAUGGUCUUGACGUUCCUGUCAACCACCCAGUAAGGUUUUUCAAAACUUAGGCGAGCACUGUGCUGCAGCUAAGCCUCCGAGUGGGAGGAUUGCUCCCCACUUGGUAGGAUUUUUUCAAACUUAGGCGAGUACGGGACUGCAGCUAAGCCUCCGAGUGGGAGGAUUGCUCUCCACUUGGUAUGAUUUUUUUUCAAACUUAGGCGAGUACGAGACUGCAGCUAAGCCUCCGAGUGGGAGGUUUGCUCUCCACUCGGUAGGAUUUUUCAAACUUAGGCGAGUACGAGACUGCAACUAAGCCUCCGAGUGGGAGGUUUGCUCACCACUCGGUAGGAUUUUUCAAACUUAGGCGAGUACAUGACUGCAGCUAAGCCCCCGAGUGAGAGGCAGACUCAUCACUCGGUAGGACUUUUAUCACUUANNNNNNNNNNNNNNNNNNNNNNNNNNNNNNNNNNNNNNNNNNNNNNNNNNNNNNNNNNNNNNNNNNNNNNNNNNNNNNNNNNNNNNNNNNNNNNNNNNNNNNNNNNNNNNNNNNNNNNNNNNNNNNNNNNNNNNNNNNNNNNNNNNNNNNNNNNNNNNNNNNNNNNNNNNNNNNNNNNNNNNNNNNNNNNNNNNNNNNNNNNNNNNNNNNNNNNNNNNNNNNNNNNNNNNNNNNNNNNNNNNNNNNNNNNNNNNNNNNNNNNNNNNNNNNNNNNNNNNNNNNNNNNNNNNNNNNNNNNNNNNNNNNNNNNNNNNNNNNNNNNNNNNNNNNNNNNNNNNNNNNNNNNNNNNNNNNNNNNNNNNNNNNNNNNNNNNNNNNNNNNNNNNNNNNNNNNNNNNNNNNNNNNNNNNNNNNNNNNNNNNNNNNNNNNNNNNNNNNNNNNNNNNNNNNNNNNNNNNNNNNNNNNNNNNNNNNNNNNNNNNNNNNNNNNNNNNNNNNNAGUGAGAGGCAAACUCAUCACUCGGUAGGAUUUUUAUCACUUAGGCGAGCACUGGGCUGCUGCUAAGCCCCCGAGUGAGAGGCAGACUCAUCACUCGGUAGGAUUUUUAUUACUUAGGCGAGCACUGUGCUGCAGCUAAGCCUCCGAGUGAGAGGCAGACUCAUCACUCGGUAGGAUUUUUCUUACUUCAUCUUAGGCAAAAUAGAUUCACAGCUAAGGUAAUGCGCGCAAAAGAAAUAAACAACAAUCAUUCGGAAGAAGUAAAUAAUGUCUUUAGCCAAACUAAAAGGUAUUUCUUAUUACAUCUGAACAGUCUAAAUAUUUAAGAAUAGAAAGGGCGGAGCAGAUCCGCAUUCCAGGCGCGUGGCUCAUCUUUAUUGUGUUUGACUUGGCGAAAGGGCCUUCCCAAGCAGGAGCGAGCUUGUGAGGUCUCUGCUGAUCCACUCGAAGAACCAGGUCUCCUUCUUGAAAUGCUCGACCCCUCAUGUUUCUAGCAUGAAAUCGAUGCAAGUCUUGCUGAUAAAUGGUCGACCGGAUCAAGGCCAUUUCUCUUUCUUCUUCUAGGAGAUCGACUGCAUCUUGCCGAGCUCGUUCUGCUUCUUCUUCUGAGAAGAGUUUGACUCGAGGCGCAUUGUGGAGCAAAUCACUGAGGAGUACGGCCUCAGCUCCGUAGACUAAGAAGAAUGGAGUCCUUCCAGUCGACCGGUUAGGGGUUGUCCUCAACCCCCACAGUACUAAUGGAAGCUCGUCAACCCAAGCUCAUGUUACAUGUUUUAGGUCACGCAUCAACCCAGGUUUCAAUCCUUUAAGAAUCAAUCCAUUUGCCCGCUCGGCCUGUCCAUUCGAUUGAGAAAGAGCAACCGAAGCAUAGUCGACUCUCAUACCUUGGGAGGAACAAAAGGCUUUGAACUCUUCAGAAUCGAAGUUCGAGCCAUUAUCCGUGAUGAUGCUGUGCGGGAUGCCAUAUCUGAAUAUAAGUUCUCUGAUGAAACUCACGGUUGUGAUUGCUUCAAGGCUUUUGAUGGGCUUGGCCUCGAUCCAUUUGGUGAACUUGUCGACUGCUACCAGCACAUGAGUAAAUCCACUCCUGCCUGUCCUCAGAGGUCCAACCAUGUCCAGUCCCCAGACGGCGAAAGGCCAGACGAGUGGGCUAGUCUUCAGAGCUGAUGCAGGUUUGUGGGACAUGUUGGAAUAAAACUGACAACCUUCACACUUGUCCACUAUUUCCUUUGCCAUCUUGUUGGCGUGCGGCCAGUAAAACCCGGCUCGGUAUGCUUUGGCCACGAUGGUCCGAGAGGACGCAUGGUGACCAUAGGUCCCCGAGUGAAUAUCGUUGAGGAUCAUUUCGCCUUCUUCUGGCAUGAUGCACUUCUGGUAGACCCCAGUUACACGUUCUCUGAACAACUGUGCUUUCAUCAUAGUAAAGGCUUUAGACCGUCGGACGAUCUGUCGAGCCUCCUCUUCAUCCUCUGGGAGUUCCUUCCUAAGAAUGUAUGCAAUGUAUGGCACUGUCCAGUCGGGAGUGAUGACCAAAACCUCCAUGACUAAGUCGACUACGGCUGGGAUUUCGACUUCAGUCGGAUCUGUGGCACUCUUGGGCUGCGGUGACUCUUUGGUGAAAGGAUCUUCCUGAACUGAAGGUGAAUGAAUAUGUUCCAGAAACACGUUUCGGGGAAUGGCCUCUCUCUUUGAACCUAUCUUGGCCAACUCAUCUGCAGCUUGAUUUUUCAGUCGAGGUAUAUGUUGGAGCUCCAAACCUUCAAACCUCUUCUCCAGCUUUCUCACUUCAUUGCAAUAACCAGUCAUGGCUGGGCUCCUGACAUCCCAUUCCUACAUCACUUGGUUAACCACCAAAUCUGAGUCGCCGUAGACCAUAAGACGACGGGCGCCGAGUGAAAUGGCCAUACGCAACCCGUAUAGAAGUGCUUCAUAUUCGGCUCCGUUAUUGGAGGAAUCAAAAUGAAUCUGGAGAACAUAACUAAGCCUGUCUCUGCGGGGGGAUACCAAAACUACUCCAGUGCCUGAACCAUUCAGCAUUUUGGAGCCAUCAAAGAACAUAGUCCAAUGCUCCGAGUGAACUUGAGUCGGCAAUUGCUGCUCAAUCCACUUGGCAAGGAAAUCUGCAAUUGCUUGGGACUUGAUAGCCUUCUUUGCCUUGAACUUGAUAUCUAAUGGAAGGAGUUCAAUCGCCCAUUUUGCCACUCGACCAGUUGAGUCUCUGUUAUUCAGAAUUUCAGAUAGUGGCGCGUCGCUGACGACUGUAAUAGAGUGGUCAGAGAAAUAAUGCGCAACCUUCUUCAUGCUCAUGUAUAUUCCAUAGACAAGCUUCUGAUAAUGUGGGUAUCGUUGCUUGGUGGAGUCAAAACUUUAGAGAGAUAACAGACUGGGCGUUGAACCUUGUUAGCUUUUCCUUCUUCUUCUCGCUCGACCGUGAGUACUGUGCUGGCAACUUGUCUAGUGGCUGCAAUGUAAAGCAGUAAAGACUCUUUGCUGAUUGGUGCAACAAGCACCGGCUAGGUGGAAAGCAGGGUUUUGAACUCUGCAAACGCUGCAUCAGCUUCAUCAGUCCACUCGAACUUAUUAGACUUCUUCAUCAGUCGGUAAAGAGGCAAGGCCUUUUCAUCAAGACGAGAAAUGAAUCGACUCAGGGCGGCCAGACAACCAGUCAACUUCUGAACGUCAUGCACUCGCACAGGCGUUUAUUUCGGAGGAUUGUAUCAACCUUUUCUGGAUUGGCGUCGAUCCCUCAUUCAGAAACGAGAAAACCGAGUAACUUUCCUCCUGGAACUCCGAAUGUGCACUUUGACGGAUUAAGCUUGAUAUCGUACCUCCUCAGGUUGGCAAAGGUUUCUGCAAGGUCGGUCAAUAGGUCAGAACCUUUGUGAAACUUGACCAAAUGUCAUCCAUGUAAGCUUCCACAUUCCGACUGAUUUGAGUAAGCAGGAACUUCUGAAUCAUUCUCAUGAAUGUGGCUCCAGCAUUUUUCAGACCAAAAGGCAUGGUGACAUAGCAAAAGCACCCAAAUGGGGUGAUGAAGGCUGUUUUUAUUUCAUCGGGACCAUACAGUCGGAUCUGAUGGUAUCCGAAAUACGCGUCAAGGAAAGACAAGCGCUCACACCCCGCAGUCGAGUCAACAAUCUGAUCAAUGCGAGGGAGAGGGAAGUGAUCUUUCGGGAAGGCCCGAUUGAUAUGCUUGAAAUCAAUGCACAUACGAAGUGAAUCAUCCUUCUUUGGAACCAUGACUACAUUGGCUAACCACUUGGAGUGGUAGAUUUCACGGAUGAACACUGCUGUCAAUAGUCGAGCCACUUCUUCGCCAAUUGCUUUCCUCUUAUGCACGGCGGACCGCCGAAGGUGCUCUUUGACGGGCUUUACUUUGGGGUCGACACGCAAACGAUGCUCGGCCAGUCCCCUGGGUACACCUGGCAUGUCAGAAGGUUUCCAUGCAAAGAUGUCCCAGUUCUCACGGAGGAACUAAACGAGCGCUUCUUCCUAUUUGAUGUCGAGCGUCGUUGAUAUAUGAGUCGGUGCAGCAUUGGGAUCCGUCGGGUGAAUAUGAACUAGCUUCGUCUCACCAGUCGACUCGAAUGCAGAAUCUGUGGCAGGCUUCUUGGCUCGAAGCAAAUCACUCAGAUCUGCAUUCUUCUGAUAUUCUUGGAACUCGACUGUUGCCAUUUGUGCGUCGGUGAUUUUGGAACCUUUCUGGAAAUAUUCCUCAGCCUUCUGCCGAUUGCCAGUAACUGCGAUCACACCUUUGGGGAAAGGCAUCUUUAGUUUGAGGUACACAUAACAUGGUCGAGCCAUAAAACGUGCAUAGGCUGGCCUACCCAGGAUGGCAUGAUAAGCACUCUGGAAAUCCACAACCUCAAAUGUCAACUUCUCCUUUCGGUAAUGCUUGGAGUCACCGAAAACCACAUCAAGGGCGAUCUGGCCGAGUGACUCGGCUUUCUUUCCAGGGAUUAUGCCAUGAAAACUCAUAUUGCUCUCGCUAAGCUUGGACAUCGGAAUGCCCAUUCCCUUCAAGGUCUCAGCGUAGAGGAUGUUCAGACCAAUGCCACCGUCCAUCAGUACUUUUGUCAAUCGAGUGCCUCCAACCAUGGGGUCGACCACCAGUGCUUGCCUCCCAGGGGUGGCCACACAAGCAGGAUGGUCAGACUGGUCAAACGUAAUGGUUGUCUGAGACCAUGUCAAGUAGGUGGUCAUCGCCGUAGGAGCGACCAUAUUCACCUCCCUGUUGAUGACCUUCAAUUGACUCUUGCUUUCAAUGUCAGCAAAUAUCAUCAGAGUGGAAUUGACUUUGGGAUAACCAUUGUCCUCCUCUUCAUCUUCACCUUGGUCCGACUCCUUCUCCUUCUCAUUGGGUUGUUUCUCUCGGAACUGCUGGAUUAGGAGUCGACACUGCCGUGUGGUAUGCUUCGGGUAAAUCAGAUUACCUUCCUCAUCCUUCUUCGUGUGGAUGUGGCACGGCAAAUCCAACACAUCAUUCCCUUCUUGAUCCGUCACAUUCUUAGGGGGCCAGGGCCCCUUAGGUUUUCCCUUAAACUUUCCUUGAUUCACUGCCGCAAUCUCUCUAGGUGCCGCUGGCUCGGCCUUACGCUUCUGUUUCCCACUGGAGUUACCUCCACCGGCCUCUUGGCCGACUGGUUUGCUCUUCCUGCUACAGAGUCAAUCCUCUUCUUCCCCGUUAGUGUACCGGGUGGCUAUCUCCCUCAUUCGAGUCAGAGUCAUAUCCCCAGUUCGACCGAAUUUCAAGACCAACUCUCUGUAUUUGACGCCUUCCUUGAAAGCACAUACAAAUUGAUGCUCUGAAACAUUCUCGACGAUGUGAUGCAAAGUGGACCAUCUCUGGAUGAACUCCCUCAAAGUCUCAUUCGGCUUCUGCACACAAUGCUGCAACUCGGGUAAUCCUGCUGGUCGCUUGCACGUGCCCUCAAAAGUUCUCACAAACACUCAAGAUAGCUCUUCCCAACUGUGAAUACUGCCUGGAGUCAACUGAGUCAGCCACGCUCGGGCCGACCCUUCCAACAUAUAUAAGAGGGAGAUGCUUCAUCGCUAUCUCGUCAUUACCACCUCCAAUCUGCACAGCCACUCGGUAAUCUUCAAGCCAAGUUUCAGGCUUGGAUUCACCGGUGAACUUACUGACCCCGGACGCCAACCUAAAGUUCGGAGGUAUCACUGCUGCCCUGAUGGCUCUACUAAAACACUCGGGACCAUAAACAUGCACUCGGCUGCCACUUGGACGAUCUCUGCCAGGGUCUCCUCUGUGUGCUCUGUUCGGUCGACCAGGCCUUGAACAAGGAUAGACCUCGCGUCGAAGCCCGGUUCCCUUGGGUCGACUGAAAUCCUGCGCUCACCACUGUGACGGCGCCUGUCAUCGUUCCGCCGAGGCACAUACGACGCACUCCUCGGAGGAGGCGUGGGUCCCCGAUAAUGAUUGUCACGGUUGAGUGGAUGAUCAUACUGCCCACGGCCUUCACGCCGCGGAGGCGAUCUUGGGUUGUGAGCCGACUAAACCGUGUCCGCUGCAACAGAUCUGCUGUGAAUCCUAUUCCGCGACUGAGAUACUACUAUAUUCUGCUCGCCUGCUGCCCUGAGCAGGGCCUGGAUCUGCAUCAGCCCUCUGCCAGCCUCUGACUGGGAAGGCUAUCGACUCUGCUAUUCGGGUCACAGCUGUGAGAUUCUGAAUCAGAGUGCGGUAUACCUUAGGUGGAGGCGGCAAAAGCUGUCAUCGACUGGACUCAUGGAUCCGCUCCUGGGCGCGCUCAUCGAGAGCACGCUGAAGGUUAUCCAGUCAAGUGCGCUCAGCCAAGUUAGCUAGGCGCACCUCCUCCAAGGCCCGAGCCUCGAGGGUUUCUCCAACGAUGGGCAUAUGGAGUGCAUCCAUGUUGCAGCGACGAAGUUCUUCCCUCUGCUGCGAAGAGAGGGGCUCGGGUCGGUAUUCCUCAUGGACGUGCGACGGAUUGCUGCCUCCGUCCCCGUCACCCUUGUGGCGGAACCCGGGCAGGCUGUGAGGACCAUCGACCAUCAGGACUUUGGCUGCAGGAUCGCUGCUAUCGCACUCGGAUGCAGUCUCCCGUGGAGCCGGUCGACAGAUCGAACAGGCCAUGGAGGGUUUCGUUGGGCUCGAUUGCUGCGACUUGAUGGGUGGUCGAACGCCGAGUGUUGGGCCGUCCAAUACUGUUUUUCAUGGUGUAGUACCAGGAAAGUCGGAGUAUCCAGUGGGCAAGAUUGCUUUGGAAGUUGUGUUUGGAGAUGAGCAUGAUUCCCGGUCUGAGACAUUGACUUUCGAGGUGGUGAGAAUCCAGAGCCCGUAUCACGCACUGUUUGGGCGACUGGCUUAUGCAAAAUUCAUGGCGAGGCCAUGUUAUAUUUACUUGCAGCUCAAGAUGCCGGGUCACAAAGGAACCAUCACAGUUCAUGGAAGUCGGAAAAUCGCUUUGGAUUGCGAAGAGAGUGAUGCGGCUUACGCUGAGUCGGUUUGUGCUACAGAGGAGUUAAAAUUUUACAAGGAAAAUGUUGAUCCGGCAGAUAUGACCCCUCUGAAGAAGCCCACCACUGAGCACGACCCAACCCUGCACUUCAAACCGGUGGAUGAGAUGAAGCUUGUUGACUUUGUACCUGGCGAUUCGUCCAAACAGUUCAGCAUCAGCACCAAUUUGGAUCCAAAAUAGGAAAGCGCGCUCAUCGAGUUCAUCCAGGAGAACCAGGACAUCUUUGCAUGGAAGCCUUCUGACAUGCCAGGUGUACCGAGGGAACUCGCUGAGCACACCCUUAACAUUGAUCCGAAGUUUAAACCGGUCAAGAAAUUCCUUCGUCGCUUUAAUGAAGAGAGACGCAAGGCAAUUGGGGAGGAGGUGGCCCGGCUGUUGGCGGCUGGGUUUAUCGUUGAAGUUUUUCAUCCUGAAUGGUUGGCUAAUCCGGUGCUGGUUCUUAAGAAAAACGGGACUUGGCGCAUGUGUGUGGAUUACACGGACUUAAAUAAAGCUUGCCCAGCGGAUCCUUUUGCUCUCCCGCGUAUUGAUCAAAUCAUUGAUGCAACGGCGGGUUGUGAGCACCUGAGUUUUUUGGAUGCUUACUCAGGGUACCAUCAGAUCAAAAUGGCAGUUAAGGACCAGGAGAAAACAGCCUUCAUCGCUCCCUUUGGAGCCUUCUGCUAUGUUUCUAUGCCCUUUGGGCUCAAGAGUGCUCAAGCAACCUAUCAGCGUUGUGUGCAAAAUUGUCUUCACACGCAGAUUGAGCUAACGUUCAUGCCUAUGUGGAUGACAUUGUGGUGAAAUCCAGGAAAAAGGAGACAUUGAUAGCUGAUCUCAAGGAGACGUUUGACAACCUCCGGGUUUACAAAAUGAUGCUUAAUCCGGAUAAGUGUGUCUUUGGUGUUCCGGCAGGCAAGCUGCUCGGUUUUCUGGUGUCUAACAGGGGCAUUGAGACUAAUCCGGAAAAAAUCAAGGCAAUCACAUCCUUGGCCAAACCGACAUGUAUCAAUGAUGUUCAGCGUCUCGCAGGCCGGAUCGCAGCUCUCAGCCGGUUCAGCAGUCGUUUGGGUGAGAAGGCCAUUCCCUUGUAUCAGAUGCUGAAGAAAAUGGAUAAUUUCGUCUGGAGUGAUGCAGCCAAUGCGGCCUUUGAGGAGUUAAAGCGGCAAUUGGUUGAACCGCCAGUUCUGGCAGCCCCAGUCGAUCAUGAGCCUUUACUAUUAUAUGUGGCUGCUAAUGCCCGAGCAGUCAGUGUGGCUAUCAUUGUAGAGCGUAAAGAGGCUGGGAAGGAAUAUCCGGUUCAACGUCCAGUAUAUUACAUCAGUGAAGUCCUGAUCGAGUCAAAGCAACGCUAUCCACAUUGGCAAAAGUUGGUGUAUGGGGUUUUUAUGGCCAGUCGGAAACUCAAGCAAUAUUUUCAAGGUCACCCCAUCACAGUGGUUAGUUUGGCUCCCUUGGGUGAUAUCAUCCAAAACAGAGAAGCAACUGGCCGGGUUGCAAAGUGGGCAAUUGAGCUUGGUCCACAUGGUUUGAAGUAUGUGCCUCGCACAGCCAUUAAGUCGCAGGCUCUUGUGGACUUUAUCAAUGACUGGACUGAGUUACAAGCACCAGAAGAGAAACCGGAUAAUACGUACUGGACCAUUCAUUUCGAUGGAUCAAGGCAGUUGGAAGGCUCGGGGGCUGGAGUUGUCCUUACUUCCCCCCGAGGUGAUAAAAUUUGCUACGUCCUCCGCUUGAUGUUUCCUUGUACUAACAAUGCAGCUGAAUAUGAAGCCCUACUUCACGGUCUCCGCGUGGCUAAGGAGAUGAACUUAACUCGAGUUCGUUGCUUUGGCGAUUCUGAUCUGGUGGCUCAGCAAGUUUCUGGUACUUGGGAUUCUAAGGAUCCACUCAUGGCGGCUUACAGGCGUGAGGUAGAUAUGGUGGCGGGUCACUUCAAAGGUUACCAGGUUGAGCAUAUUGAUCGGCGCAAAAACGAAGCAGCAGACGCUUUGAGCCGACUUGGAUCUCAGCGUAAACCGGUACCUCCUAACACCUUUCUGGAUAUAUUGCAUAACCCAUCUGUUAAAUUGCCUACAGAAGCGGAUCUGGCUGCUCUUGAUCCGGAGGCGCAGCUGGUGGCUGCUUUACAUGUUGUGUCGGAUUGGACGAUUCCAUAUCUGGCAUAUAUGAACCGGGGUGAGCUACCAAAUGAUCAAGUCCUGGCCUGACCGAUAGUCCGGCGUUCUAAAUCCAUGGUUAUUCACAAUGGCGAGUUACACCGCUGUAGUGUUUCAGGCGUAUUUCAGCGUUGUGUUUCUCCGGAAGAAGGCCAAGCGAUCCUCCGGGAAAUUCAUGAAGGGGAUUGUGGUCAUCAUGCCGGUUCAAAGUCCCUGGUUUCAAAAGCUUUUCGUCAUGGGUUUUACUGGCUGACAGCCCAUGCUGAUGCGGAGGAUCUGGUAAAGCGAUGUGAUGCUUGUCAAAAAUUUUCCCGCAGAGCUCAUGUUCCGGCUCAGGAGCUAUGGAUGAUUCCAAUCAGUUGGCCUUUUGCUACUUGGGGGCUUGAUAUGGUGGGGCCUUUUAAGCGUUCCCGAGACAAGAAAACCCACCUGUUAGUGGCAGUUGAUAAAUUCACCAAGUGGGUUGAAGCGGAGCCUGUUAGCAAUUGUGAUGCAGCGAUGGCGGUUCAAUUUCUCAAAAAGAUUAUUUUCUGCUUUGGUUAUCCACACAGCAUUAUCACAGAUAAUGGUACUAACCUAUCCAAAGGUGAGAUGGAGGAUUUCUGUCAAAGAGAGCAUAUUCGGCUUGAUCUAGCAUCUGUCGCGCACCCUCAAUCCAACGGUCAAGCAGAGCGAGCUAAUCAAGAAAUCUUAAAGGGUCUUAAACCCCGGCUCAUGAUUCCAUUGAAACGGACGCCGGGUUGUUGGGUGGAAGAAUUACCUUCUGUGUUGUGGAGUAUCAACACCACCCCCAAUCGAUCAACAGGAUAUACGCCUUUCUUCAUGGUCUACGGAGCAGAGGCGGUUCUCCCAAGUGAUAUACAUCAUGAUUCCCCCCGGGUUGCUAAUUAUGUCGAAGCGGACAAUGAGCAAGCUCGCCAAGAGGCACCGGAUUUACUAGAUGAGAAGCGGGAUAUGGCUUUGGCAUGCUCGGCGGUUUAUCAGCAAGACCAGCGGCGCUAUCACAACCGUCGGGUUAGGACAAGAGCCUUUCAAGAAGGUGACUUGGUGCUCCGGCUUAUCCAGGAUCAGACCGGUAUACACAAGUUAUCCCCGCCUUGGGAAGGACCCUUUGUGGUCAGUAAGAAUCUGCACAACGGAUCAUACUACCUCAUUGACGUUCGAGAUGACUCACGCAAAUCUGAGGAGGAGACCCGGCGGCCCUGGAACAUAGCUCUCCUCCGGCCUUACUACACUUGAGCCAUAGGCUCUCUUUUAUGUACAUAUUUUGACGAUGUAUAUAUUAUCAUCAAUAAACAAAUCAGCAUCCUUGCUUCAAAGCGGGGCCUCUGCUGUUUUUUCUCAAAUAUUCUUUGAGUUACUUGGGGGCUUCAGCUGACCAAGCGAAGUAUUAUCCCUUGAACCGGCUAUCACGCCACAGAGAUUGGGAGCUUCACACCCAAAGGGCCAAAGAGAGUUUCGAUGCUAUGCACAACUCAAACAUAGGCACCUAAUGAGCACCGCUCAUCACGUUACUUGGGGGCUCCUUGGUCCAAUACCAAGAAGUCUGAAUGGAUCCUUGUAGCUGGGUAUCGACCCACGGCUUGGAAGCCUGGUAUAUUUACCUAAAACCCCAGGUUAACCUGCCUUCAUCAAGUAACACACUCCUAUCCAGGUCAUCCUGGCACGGCCCUCCGAACGUUUGACAGUUACUCUCCUUGAGACCCUGAACUUGUCAAAGUUAAAACGGUGAUUGGCUAGUUGGAGGUCUAUCUUAAAAGGCUUUGUUAAAUGGUUCAACUCAGUGGCCUGGCAGCCCACAAAAAGCCUCGCAUUUGGGCCUGGCAGCCCCCAAAAAGCCUCGACUACACGGUUUUCAUUUGAACUUUGGCUGAAUUUUAAACCGAUUUUUUUGGCUUGUUCAACCGUCUUCUAAGACCGGCAUUUCUUAAACCGGCUUGGUUUGCAACUUUACGUUGACAGACCUUUAUUUUAAACCGGAGUUUUCUUAACCCGGCUUGGCAUUGAUUUCCUGUCAACAGCCCGGAUCGUCUGGCGUGAAUCAUCACCCGGCAUGACUUAAUCUACGACAUCAGAAAAUGAUGGCGAUACAAAUACUUCAGAUUUGGGUUUUUCACCCUUAUCGCAAUUCAAGUUGGCUCGCCAACUAGCCAGGGAUCUUGUACUACCGGUAUGUAUAAAUUCAUAUUAUUAUGAUUUGAUUAUCAAUCCGGCAUAUUUUGGGCAUUAUGACCCGUCCGGCGGUAAACCGCCAGGACCCUUUGUCUUUUUAUGCAUACAGGAAAUGCAUAUUGUGAUACUUGGAACAAAAAUUGAUAUUGAUAUGGCUUAUCAACGCAAAAUAUCUCUUGCAUGAUGGCAGCAGAUCAGCAUAAGUUUCUUGCUAUCCUAUUACACGGCACUCCAAGGCCCAAAAUAUGGAAAUAUUCAUUGAUCGUUCCUGAUAUACCAACCGCCUGGACAGAUUAAGCUUCAUCACCGGGUUGACGUGAGGUAGAUGGAUCAUCUGGCGUCGGUUCAACCUCUUCUUCAUCCACUGACUGGAAGUCAUUGGUGGUCCAGUCAAUCUGGGUUAAGCCCUGAAAGACAGCCUCUUCACUUAUAAGCUCAGCCGGAUCAACGUCAGGAGCGUAAGUAUGCUUACGGAUUGGUGGAAUGAGGUUCUGCACUUCAGGGAUCACAGCUUCAACCCGUUUGUUGUCUGCAUCAUAGAACGAUCGGUGAACCGUCAGGUUCGCCUCUUCGGCUAGUUGACUCGCCAAAGGACGCAUCUCCCUUGUUACCCGUUUCAGGGCGUCAUUGUCAAAUUCUUCGCCAUUUUCUUGGGCACUGGGGAAGCCUUUGGAUAUAUCAGCCGGGUCAAGGUCAGCUAUCCAUGCCUUGGCUCGAGUCAGCGCCAGCAAAGCGCCGGCCCGAGCAGCGGAUCGCUUCAGCUCUUCUAUUUGCGCUGGUGCCAUUGAAAGACGAUCCAACGUAUCUUUGAUAUGUGUUGGUGCCGCAUUAUCAUAUGAAGUUGCACAUAUAACCCGUUGAGCGCCGGUAUACAGCUGCUCAAUCAGUGUAUAUGCCGCUUUAAGCCUCUUCCGCAUGUCAGAACCCAGGUGAGCGAUGCAAUUUCCUAUAUCAAGAAAUACAUGUUAAACCGAUGAAAUUUCAAAGGGAUACAACUUUUGGCAACCACUACUUACCAAAUAUGGCAGAGGUCAUGGCAUUGAUUUGGCGCUUCAGUCUAGAUAAUUCUUCUGCCACCGGUUUAAGAGCCGAUUCAGCAGUCUCCGACCGCUUCACCAGUCCGGCCUUCUCGCUGUCCCAGUUGGCCUGCUCAGAUUUAAAAUAUUCUUUAAGUUGCUCCAUGGUGGUCAAAGCGGUUCUCAGCUCAUCCUUGGCCUUGGUGGUUUCUGCUUGUUGGGUCUCAAGGUUUGCUCGAAGAUCAGCAAUUUGUGAGGUUUGCUGAUUUAUUUCACUCUGCAAUAGUAAGAGAACAUGUUAAUAUCUUUGUUCAAAGUUCCAAGCAUAUAACCAGUUAUACACUCAACACUUGGGGGCUAAUGCGGAUCGUUUUCAUGUGGAUACUUCAAGUCCCAAGGAUUAAUACAAGUUUUAAUCAUGGCACUUGGGGGCUAAUGUGUAUUUGAUCAAGACAAAGAACAGUUCACAAGGUACAGCAUGAAGAAUAUAAAGUACCGGUUUGACUUUCUCAAGACAAACCGGCCCUUGGGGGCUACAAUGCAAUGAAGGUGCAGAAAUUCUAAAGUGCAAUGUUUACCUCAUAGCGUUCCUUCAUUAUAUUUACUAAACCGGCUUCAUAAUCACGGCUUGUAUAUAGCCGGUUCAGAAAGCCGGAAUGAAGGUCUUGAGCAGAGAGAUCGGUGUAAGCAAACAAAUCAGUCUUACCCUUCCCUUUGUUCACGGCAGCAAAUUCAUCUUUCGCAGUAUGCUUUGACAGGGCAACUGGAUUACCAGGGGCGGUAUAUCCAGUGCCUGUAACAACAACAUCAUCAUCCUUAGCCAGACUGGAAGAGUCAAGGUUUUGAACAGGGCUUGGCGGUUUGUUAGCUGGACUUGGCGGAUCAGCAAUUGAGUCCCGUUGUUCCAUUGCCGGGCUCGGGGGAGCAGGAGGAUUUAAAGUAUCAGCCUCUGCAGACGGUUCAGCUUCUGGCGGGUUAGCAUUACCAUCUUGAUUUGGCCCAGCAGAGCUGUCCAUGGCAACUUCCGGGUUUUCGUUAUGAUGCUCGAGUGUCUUUUCCAGAUCAACUUCAACAGUAGGGUCGCUGGUCUUGGCCUUCUUGCUUAAUCGAGCUUUGGCGCUAUAACACCAAAGGUUAGAGUAUGAUAAACCGACAAAAUAAAGUUAUAAAUCAGGUAACACUUACCCGGCAACUACUUUGAGAGGAGGCAAUUGGGUGGUCGACGAACCGCCAGACGAGCUAGAAGAUGCUUGGUAAUUCGGGUCAGAUGGAUUGAGAGGGCAUCGGAAGAAACCUUUAAAAGGGUAUUGUUUUUGAGGAGCACAAAUCACCUCUAGACGGUGUUUCCGGGGGGCGUAUCAGCUAAACCGGACGAAGUGAUCUGUUGACCACUAUGCCGGGUUGUGCGACGUUCUUCUGCUUGCCGUUUCUUCAAAGAAAAUUUUGGAUCCAAAUGAGCAAGGGGGUGAGAUUGUUUUACUUUCCGAACUGUACGGUGAGUUCUUUGAACCGACACAGGGUCCGAGUCGGAAGAAAGAAGAAUUACCUCAACAUGAUCUGUAUGGCUGGCUUCAGCAUCAUCCUGAAGAUGAUCAUUAUCAAUAAGAUGUAUAAAAAAGGAGCCAAGUGAGUCAAGUUCUACCUCAGCAUCUGAUUCUUCUUCCUCCAGCGGUUCAAAAGAAUCGACAACUUUCUUCUUUCCGGCCUUCUUGGUGACCUUGGUUUUUACACAAGGAGCACGGGCCGGUUUAUUACGUUUCUAGAAAGAGCUGUUGGCCUGAAAUUAAGGCAAAGAAAGGUUAGUAAGCGGUCAAUGUGGAAAUCAGUAAAGUAUGUACAUGAACUUACCGCCGGCAGUUUAUUGGAGAUGCAAAACGGAGCCAAACCGGUUUGGCUGCAUGCAGCGACCGGUUCAUCAAGCAUCCUCUUUACACAUUCAGUGAUUUCAAGCUCGGUCAUUAUUACUUCAUGAUAUCGUUGAGGGUCUUUUACACUUCCGGUAUACUCAUGCAUCAAUCCGGGGCGGCGGCUCAAAGGCAGAAUGCCCCAUGAAACCCAGCAGCGGACAAGAUCAAUGCCGGUUAAACCAUUGGCCAUCAGAGCCUGGAGCUUGGCGAGUUGAGGAGCAAAAUUCUUCCAUUCCGCGGCGGUUAGACGCGGAGGCAUUGGGUGGCUGUUGCUAAGCCGGUGAGGGCAGUAGCCCGACAAGGGAUUUUCUCCAUCAGGAGCAGUAUUCCGGCAGUAAAACCAGGUUUGGUUCCAAUCUUUAGGAUGGCUAUGGUGUUUGGCAUGAGGGAGAUCAACUUCUUUCCUAUUUUGAAUUGAUACGCCACCAAGCUCUGUGUUGGGGCCAUCUGAGAAUUCUGUGCGGCGGUUCAGGUGAAAAAAAUCUCAGAACAACUCCACGGUUGGCUCUUCUUGAAGGUAAACUUCGUAGAAUACUUGAAAGUUGCAUAUGUUUGAUACAGAGUUCGGACCAAUAUCUUGCGGAUGGAGUUGGAAGCUGGCAAGGACAUCCCGGAAUUUUUUUGAUCCGGGCGGACUAAAUCCCCGGUCUAAAUGUUGCAUAAAACAAUCACCUCUCCCUCUUGAGGUUCAGGUGGACAUUCCGAUUCCGGAAUUCGCCAGUGGAGAACUUUCUUCGAAGCUAAAGCACCGGUGAUGACGUAACCAUUGAUCUGUGUCUUUGUGAUCCGGGAUGGAACCCAAUUGCAAGCAGAAAAUUGCUUCGACAUUCCGGAAUGAGGAACUGAAAAUAAAAAGUGUCGGUUUAAGGCGUCUAAUUCAGUGUUAAACCGGAGAAGGAUACUGUGCAAGUUCAGUUGGCGGUUUAAGAGAGGGCUAAUGUUAUAUGGCGGAUUGACUUUUAAGGAGUUAAACCGCCUAUAGGCAGGAUGGCCAGAAUUCGAAAUUUCUGCUAAGAGUUACAAAAAUAGGUUUCGCAAUAUGGCAGUAUAAUUUUGGAUCUACCGUGCAUAAUCUAAGAAAAUGUUCCCGAGCCCUACAAUGGCGCUAAAGAGGAACAGAGACGAACCAGACGGAGUCUAUUCGGAAACAGUAAGAUACUACGGUACGGUGAACUAAUAACAUGGAUCUAGCCGGAGUUCAAAACUAUCAGGCACACAUAUGUAUACUCAACAGGAAGACCAGAAGGAGGAACACAAAAGAACUGAUGAACGGCGAUGAACAUGGAUGAACUUGAAACCCUAAUGAAGAUCUAGGGCUACAGGGAAGCGAACUUACCAGGGCCACACGGCGGCGGAAGAGCGCGGCAGGGUCUCUAGAACAAACAGGGUGAUGCAGCGGCCUUGGUCGGUACAGAUUCGAAGAUCGACGGCGGCGGCGGCACUGGGGUUUCUUCCGGUCGCGAGGAAGAAGAAGAGAAGAAAGGGGAGAAAAUGAAAGUACCUGUCGGGUGUAUUUGUAACAGGGCAGGGAGAUAAGUGACAGGCGCGAGAAUCGAGGAAUCCAAAGUAGCAAGUGGCGUGGCUGUCGCCUCGAUUUCCGGGAUGGCAUUAAAUAAAGGGAAUCUUUUUUUUACAGAGAUGACGUCAUGAUGAUCCAUUGCUGUAUCCAGAGGAUGAUGUCACGGCGGUUUAACAAAGUUUAUAAAAGAAGGCAUCAUGGCGGUUUACGAGGAAUGAAGAAAGGCGUUCACAGGAUUCUGCUAAGUAUCAAAGAUUAACAUGAACAGGUUCAAAUCAAUCUGGGGCCUAAUGUUGGGGAUAUAAAUACUGAGUAUAAACCACCCAGGAGGGGGCCGGUUUACGCUCAACCAUAUUGAAGCCCACGAAGACCCGGAAGGUGGCGCUUUACUAUGAAGCUUAGAGGCCCGGAGCCCAAAGGCGGAUUAGGGCCCAUAGUGGUAAACCGCCAUAGUCAUAUAGCCUGUAUUGUAAGAUAAGGAAAGGAGAGACCGAGCCGAACACUUCUAUGAGUCGGCCUCGGGACUCUGUAAACCGGCCGGGCGUCAACCCGUGUAUAUAAGGGGACGACCCGGCGGCGGUUCAGGGACAAGACACGACAACUCGAGACUCAGGCAAGCGGAUUGCGCUCCCUGAUCAUCGAAACCCAAUCAAUCCCAUCACAACUAGACGUAGACUUUUACCUUCAUCGAAGGGGCCGAACUAGUAUAAAACUCCCGUGUCCCUUGUCCGGUUUAACCCCUUCAAGCUAACCCGUUGCGAUGGCUCCACGACUAAGUCCUUUCACAAGGACAUCUGACAUGAUAAUUCCACGACACCGAGUCACCACGUGUUUCAGCCAGCGCUGAAGCCGCGAUCGACCGGACCGCUUGCGGCGGCGAACAGCGGGGAGAAAAAACACCAUUGGAGCCGACUGAUACUGAGUCAACGGCUGCCGAAGAAGAGCUCCAUGAACGCACGCGCGAAAGUGCAUCGCCCCUCGGACGGGGAGCGCCUCAACGUCGAGCGGAGCUUCCUGAAGCCAUGCCGAGUCUUCGGCGACAAAAACGAGCGCGCCGAGACGGAUCUCGCAGCCCUCAACCAUCUCGCCGCCGGAAACCAUGAUGAUGAUCGGAAAAACUUGCAACUUCACCAGUAACUCGCUAAGACACCUGCCCCACGGUGGGCGCCAACUCUCGUGGUUCUAAGUCUAACAGUAGAAAGGGAGGUGUAACGCCCCGGAUUCGAUGCACUAGGUGUCUGCCAGUUAUUCGCCAUCAUUGCCAUGUCAUUUGCUUGCAUGUUGCAUUUUAUCAUGUCAUCAUGUGCAUUGCAUUGCAUAUGUGUUCGUCUCAUGCAUCCGAGCAUUUUCCCCGUUGUCCGUUUUGCAAUCCGGCACUCCUAUGUCCUCCGGCGUCCCCCUUUUGUCUCUCGUUUUGAGCGGGUUUUAAACAUUCUCGGAAUGGACCGAGGUUUGCCAAGCGGCCUUGGUAUACCAUCGGUAGACCGCCUGUCAAGUUUCGUGCCAUUUGGAGGUUGUUUGAUACUCCAACGGUUAAACGCGUAGCCCAAAACCCCCCUUUCUCUUUGCAGCCCAACACCCUUCCAAACUGUCCCAAAACCCAUCCUAACUCCCCUCCAUGCUCGCGGUCGUUCGAUCACAACCGUGUGGGCGAAAACCGCUCCUCAUUUGGACUCUCCUAGCUCCCAGAAUCUAUAAAUAUGUGCUCCUCGUCCAAUUUCGCGGAUGAACCCUAGCCCUCUCCCUUCUCGCGCCACCGGACACGUCCGCCCGGCGACCGGACGCGUCCACCCCGCUCCGUCGUCCAACCGAAAGCUGCCACGUGGCAUUUCGCCUCCGCCCACCGCUGAGGCCCGCCAGGCCCAUCGCGGGCCCGCGCGCCGCCGCCGCUUAGCCCGAGUGCGCGCCGCCCCGCGCCUCCCUUCGACCCUGCCGCCGGACACCGAGUGCCGCCGCCGGAGUGCGCCGCGNNNNNNNNNNNNNNNNNNNNNNNNNNNNNNNNNNNNNNNNNNNNNNNNNNNNNNNNNNNNNNNNNNNNNNNNNNNNNNNNNNNNNNNNNNNNNNNNNNNNNNNNNNNNNNNNNNNNNNNNNNNNNNNNNNNNNNNNNNNNNNNNNNNNNNNNNNNNNNNNNNNNNNNNNNNNNNNNNNNNNNNNNNNNNNNNNNNNNNNNNNNNNNNNNNNNNNNNNNNNNNNNNNNNNNNNNNNNNNNNNNNNNNNNNNNNNNNNNNNNNNNNNNNNNNNNNNNNNNNNNNNNNNNNNNNNNNNNNNNNNNNNNNNNNNNNNNNNNNNNNNNNNNNNNNNNNNNNNNNNGUCGUCUCGCUACCUCCACCGGCCGGCGCCGCGCCGCCUCGGCCUCCCUCCGGCCAGAUCCAGCCUUCCCGCCGCCGUGCCUCGCCAUGGCCUCGCCUCCCGUGCCGCCCCAUCUUCCUCCUCAACUCCGGCCGUCUCCGGCGAAAACUCUGACCGGAUCCGGCGAGAUCCGGCCCGGAACCUGCAAGGUGGAUGAGAUCCACCGGGAUCUGAGCCAAACGCGCCGUCCCCGCCCCGGAUCCCUCCGUCCCGGGUCGAGCCCGUCCCGCGUUGACUUUUCGCGGAGGUAAAAUUCUGCCAAGUCCCGAAUUAUUUUGCAUUCUGGUGCAUACGUUGACAUGCCAUAACUCUUUGCAUACUGCUCCAUUUUGUGCGUGCUAUAUAUCAAAAUGUUCAUCAUAAGAUGCUAUACAUUUCAUUCCAUUGUGUCAUGCUUGUUUAAGUUGAUCUAGAUGCCCGAAUCUUCGUUGCAAGAGUGCUAUAUAAUGUUGUCUGCUGUCUGUUAACAGAACAUGCUCAUUUGUCAUUUUUGCCAUGUUUGAUGUGUGUAUCCUAUGAGCAUGAGUUCUAUAGGUCUUUUGAUCUAUGCCAUUCCAUAUUUACAGUGGUGCAAUACAUGUAUUUUUGUGAGUCUUGUAGUGAGUGCAUUGAGCUUGUGAAGUAUGGUACUUGUUGUUACUAUUUUGCUAGGCUGAAUCUCUUAUUUCGUGAUGCUAUGUAAACCUGCUGCUACAAGUCAUUGUAUGCAUAAUCUGGAGAUGUCCAAUAAGGAUGUUUUGUCAUACAUGUCAUUCUCUAUCCAUCCAUGCCUCUGGUUGCAUUUAUAGGCUGUUGUAGCUUGUUGUUAUCAUGCUCUGAAGUUGCUGAAUAAUGUUGCUGUCAGCCUGUUAACAUUAAGUUCAGUUUUGCCAUGUGUUUUGCUAGUGAUCCAUGCACCCUAUGAACUUUCUAUUGCCAUUCUUAGCUUAUCAAACAUGUAUUAUUACUGUUGAUUACCUUGCCAUGCCAUGUAUUUCUCUGUGGCGAGUGGUACAAGCUCAUCAACAUGCCUACUUAUUGUUGUUCCUGCCAUGUAUGAAUCUGUCAUAUAACUUGCCAUGUUUACAUGGGUGCCAUCAUGUUUUCUGAUCCUUUUUGGCUCAUGAUCAGUAAGGGACUUUUGUUCUAUGCAUUUAGUAGAUUCAUUCCAUGCCUUUGUUUGCCAUGAUAAGUUCAUGUAGCAUGUUGUUUGAUAGCUCUAAACAUUGCAACCUGAUAUUAUUUCUGCUAAGUCUGAAACUGUUAUUGUUGGCAAUCUUGCCAUGUCUUUUUGAGCAUGUUCUAGUGAUUUCUGGAGAUAGCUCAGUGUUCAUGUUUUGUUAUGCUUUACCUUUAUAUCAUGUCCAUGCCUUUUGUUUUUAUGUUGAGGUGCUGUAGCAUGUUGUUUUGAUGCUUGCAAUAUGCCUAGUUGCUGUUUUGGACAGAUUGUUGCUAUAACUUGUUUCAUGUGUGUGUUGAACCGUUGCUCCGUUUUGAGUGUGCUCUAUAUGAAACUUGCUUGAUUUUGCAUGUAGCUUCAUAAUAUCAUUUUGCAUCCUUGUUUUGAGGUGUUUGCUUGAUGUUUGUAUGCAUUUUGCAUCAAUGCCAUGUUUAACUUGUUUUGCUCAUAUCUUCUAGGCCGUAGCUCCAACUCUAAUGAACUUUAUAUGCAACUUGACUAGAAUCUCGUGUAGAUCAUCUUGGUGCAUCUUAACUUGCUGUUUAACAACUUGAACAUAAGGUUUAUUCAGGUCUGGACCAAUUUCGAAAUUUGCAUAUGAGGACUUAUCGGAAUUGUUAUAUGUUGUUCCCGGCCUCAUUUAAACUUGCCUUGAUGUGUUGCUCUUGUUUGCAUCAUCUCUUGCCAUGAGUAGCUUCAUGUAGUCUUGUCAUGCAUCAUGCUUGUUGUGCAUCAUGUAUUGUCUAUGUGUGGUGUGUUUAUCAUGUUGUGUGCUUCUUCUCGAUAGUUCCCGUUUCGUUGCGAUCGUGAGGAUUCGUUCGUCUACGCUUGGUUGGUCUUCAUGGCUUCAUCUUCUUCAUGGACUUGUUCUUCUUCCUUGCGGGAUUUCAGGCAAGAUGACCACUACCCUGGAUCUCACUACUAUCAUUGUUGUGCUAGUUGCUUCGUUCUAUCGCUUUGCUGCGCUACCUAUCUUUUGCUCCUCAAGCCUCCCAAUUGCCAUGUCAGCCUCUAACCUUCACACCCUUCCUAGCAAACCAUUGUGUUACCGCUUUGCUCAGCCCCUCUUAUAGCGUUGUUAGUUGCAGGUGAAGUUGAAGAUCGCCCCAUGGUGGAGAGGAUUAUGGUUGGGAUAUCACAAUAUCUCUUGUCUAAUUAAUGCAUCUAUAUACUUGGUAAAGGGUGGAAGACUCGGCCUUAUGCCUGGUGUUUUGUUCCACUCUUGCCGCCCUAGUUUCCUUCAUACCGGUGUUAUGUUCCCGGAUUUUGCGUUCCUUACGCGGUUGGGUGAUUUAUGGGACCCCCUUGACAGUUCACUUUGAAUAAAACUCCUCCAGCAAGGCCCAACCUUGGUUUUACCAGUUGCCUCACCUAGCCCUUUUCCCUUGGGUUUACGGAGCCCGAGGGUCAUCUUUAUUUUNNNNNNNNNNNNNNNNNNNNNNNNNNNNNNNNNNNNNNNNNNNNNNNNNNNNNNNNNNNNNNNNNNNNNNNNNNNNNNNNNNNNNNNNNNNNNNNNNNNNNNNNNNNNNNNNNNNNNNNNNNNNNNNNNNNNNNNNNNNNNNNNNNNNNNNNNNNNNNNNNNNNNNNNNNNNNNNNNNNNNNNNNNNNNNNNNNNNNNNGUGCUUGUCGUGAGUGUUGGUCCAACCUGUCAGCCGCCGGUGGUCACCAGGGGCAACUCUGGGCUGGCCUACCGGAAGUUUGGACAAUCUGGUGUCCCCUGAGAACGAGAUAUGUGUAGCUCCCAUCGGGAUUUGUCGGCACAUCCGGGCGGUCUUGCUGGUCUUGUUUUACCAUUGGCGAAAUGUCUUGUAAACCGGGAUUCCGAGUCUGAUCGGGUCUUCCUGGGAGAAGGUAUAUCCUUUGUUGAUCGCGAGAGCUUAUCAUGGGCUAAGUUGGGACACCCCUGCAGGGUAUAAACUUCCGAAAGUCGUGCCUGCGGUUAUGCAGCAGAUGGGAAUUUGUUAAUGUCUGGUUGUAGAUAACUUGACACCUGAUUUGAAUUAAAACGCAUCAACCGCGUGUGUAGCCGUGAUGGUCUCUUUUCGGCAGAGUCUGGGAAGUGAACACGGUUUUGGGUUAUGUUUGACGUAAGUAGGAGUUCAAGAUCACUUCUUGAUCAUUGCUAGCUUCAUGACCGUUCCGUUUGCUCUCUUCUCGCUCUUAUUUGCGUAUGUUAGCCACCAUAUUAUGCUUAGUCGCUGCUGCAACCUCACCACUUUACCUCCUUCCUUUCCCAUUAAGCUUUGCUAGUCUUGAUACCCAUGGUAAUGGGAUUGCUGAGUCCUCGUGGCUCACAGAUUACUACAACAACAGUUGCAGGUACUGAUUAUGCGAUGAUCAUGACGCGAGAGCGAUGUUUGCUUGUUUUGGAGUUCUUCUUCUGCUUCUUCUUCGACCAGGGGAUAGGUUCUAGGUCGGCAGCCUGGGCUAGCAGGGUGGAUGUCAUUUGAGUUUCUGUUUGUGUUUCAUCCGUAUUCGGAUGAUGCUCUUAUGUAUUGUGAUGUUGUAUUCGUGUGGCAUGGUAUACCUCUUGUAUGUAUCCCCAUCUAUUAUGUAACGUUGAUGUAAUGAUAUCCACCUUGCAAAAGUGUUUCAAUAUGCGGUUCUAUCCUUGGUGGGACCUUUGAGUCUCUUUAGGAUAGUAUCGCAUAUUGGGCGUUACAAGUUGGUAUCAGAGCCUCGACCGACCCUAGGACCCCCCUUGAUUGAUCGUGUAGUUUGGCCGUUGUUGAGUCUAGAAGAAAACUAUUUUCGGAGUCUAGUUAUAUUGGAGAGUAGGAAUUCUUUUUACUCCUCAGCCCCUUCAUCGCUCUGGUGAGGAAUCUUGACGUAGGUGUUUUGAAUUACUCCUCUUCCCAUUCAAAUUUUUCUUUAGGUUCACGCAGUUGGUUUUUCGAUCGUUGUUCCUCAGCUCCUUACAUCCGAUGCAUUUCUCGUCAAGGUGAUUCGACCCUCUCCGUUUUUGCAAGUUCAAUCCUAAGUUGUUUUCUUUUUCCCACCCGCCCACCCCUUUUCAUCUCAGAGUCCGAGUCUGUAAUCGAGUAUCCAUCCUACUCGUGCGAAGUCUUUGCCUUCUUUCCUCAAUGAUUUCAACCGGUGUCUUCUCUUCAAGUUAUUUGCCGUUUCUCUCUUCCAAGUUGCCUUUGUUUUCCCGCCCUCCCACCCUUUUCUUCUCGAAGCCUCUUNNNNNNNNNNNNNNNNNNNNNNNNNNNNNNNNNNNNNNNNNNNNNNNNNNNNNNNNNNNNNNNNNNNNNNNNNNNNNNNNNNNNNNNNNNNNNNNNNNNNNNNNNNNNNNNNNNNNNNNNNNNNNNNNNNNNNNNNNNNNNNNNNNNNNNNNNNNNNNNNNNNNNNNNNNNNNNNNNNNNNNNNNNNNNNNNNNNNNNNNNNNNNNNNNNNNUUCAACUGGUGAAUUCUCGUCUCGUUCGUCAUUCAUCAUCCCUUUUUCUUCUCCGGUGGAUUCAAUUCAAGUUUUUUUUCUGGGUUGAUCAUAUUCUUUUCCUUCGAUCAAGUGUUCUCCCUGCUCGUUCGUCUCUCGCCAGUUUAUCCUUCCGGAGCACUCAAGACGUCUCAGGAGAUUCAUAUGUGUUCCAAUUAAUUUGAGGUUGUCACCUCAUUCAAAUAUUUCAAUUGUUUCGGUGCAUCAUCUAUCUGUUCAACAUCCCUUUCCAACGGUGUUUUUCUCUUCAGUGGGCCUAACCCGCAGGUCUUUUGCCAGGAUCUUACCUGACUCUUCUAAUUUCCUAGAGCUAUUCUCAAAUCCGUUUCGAAGUUUGACGUAAGUAUGAAUUUCAUCAGUCAGAUGCUUUUCCAAGAUCAAUUUCAAACUCUUUUCAUUGUUGGUUCAACCCUUCCUCUUCGCUUUUUCAUUCUCCCGGAGUAUCUCAGUAAUUUUGGUGUUCUUUCCCGUCGUUAGUUGAAGACCGAAGAAGAGUUUUUCCUCUCAAUCUUGCCCGUUCUCUCGAAGUUUCGUGGUUCUAGCUUCAUGUUAUCCUCCAAAUUACCCCAUUUGUCAUAAAUUCUUUUCAUCCAUCCGGAGUAUGUCAGAAGUUGUUUUCCCGUUUCUUUUCACCGGAGGCCAUCAUUUCAGCUACCGUUAUCCAGUUAUCCCGGUGCUUCGUUCAAGUGUUCUUUAAUCAGCUCAUUAUCUAUUUAUUCUUUUGCAUCUAAAUCCCCUCUAGCAUAUUGGUUCUUCUAAUUUCUUCCCGAUGAUUUAUUCUCUUUCAUCAGUCAUUUUCGAAUUCUUACGGUGGUUCGUUAAAGAUUCCUUUUCCAUUCUUAUCAUAUUAAUUCAUUCGUUCUUUUGAAUCCUACCGGUGGUUCAUGAAGACUUUCUCAAGUUUGUGCUAUAACCCCUUAAUCCUUUUCAAGAAGAAUAAGUAGUAUGCAAAAUCCAUUGCUUGUCAUCAAAUUAAUUUGAUGAAGGAUAAGCAUACAAUAAAUCUUAUUCUUAUUUCAUCCAAGUGAGUAAUUCCUUCCUUUGGAGUUUGUUCUUGAUGAAUAAAUUCUAGUUCCAAGUGUUUUCAUCUUCUCUUUUCCGGAGUUAAAAUUUCCUCGGCUAUCUCGUCGAAACCUACAUCUUAAGCAUUGCAAGCUUUAAUCUUAUUCUUUCAUCCUUCAAUCUAUCUCAUCAUCCUUUUUGUCACCAGAGUUCUUCGUGGUGGUUCUUCAUGAUUUAAUUCAUUCUUUCAAGUGUUCAUCAAGAUUCUUGUUGGAGGUGUUCAAUUAUUAUUCUUCUUGCAUCUUGAAGUGCAAUUAAUUCUCUGUAUUCUUUUGAAGUGGAGUUUUGCAUUUCUUCAUUCUUCUCAGCUAUCCAUUCAUUUCGGUUUGUGGUCAGUUAUCACCUCAUAAUUUUGAGAUGUUUUUCAUAAGUCCACAACAAGCUUAUUCUUUCAUUGUUGAUUUUCUCAACAACUCCGUUCAACCUUUCCUUCUAAGUUCUUUUCAUUCAACUCUUUCAAUUCUUUCCGGAGGUUUUGUGUCAUGUCUUCAUCAAGUGUCAUCCCAUCUUGGGAAGCUCAGGUCUCUUUUCCUUCCAUUUUCAGCAGGAUUGCUGCCUAAAUUAUUUCAUUCUUAUUCCUUUUACUAUCUUGUUCUAACCGGAGUGGUUUCAUAGUCUAUUUGAUUCUGUGAGCUUUUGAUUCUUGUCAUUCUCGUCGUUCCUCUCUUCUUCUCGUGUGCUCGCGAUUCUUUGCUUCUUCUCUUGAGUUCUUGUUUCACUUCAUCCCAUUUCCCUUCCGUCUCGGUCCUAAGAUCUCGGGAUGAGAUCUCUUGUUAGUGGAGGAGUGUUGUAACGCCCCGGAUUGGAUGCGCUAGGUGUCUGCCAGUUAUUUGCCGUCAUUGCCAUGUCAUUUGCUUGCAUGUUGCAUUUUAUCAUGUCAUCAUGUGCAUUGCAUUGCAUACGUGUUCGUCUCAUGCAUCCGAGCAUUUUCCCCGUUGUCCAUUUUGCAAUCCGGCACUCCUAUGUCCUCCGGCGUCCCCCUUUUGUCUCUCAUUGUCAGCGGGUGUUAAACGUUCUCGGAAUGGACCGAGGUUUGCCAAGAGGCCUUGGUAUACCACCGGUAGACCGCCUGUCAAGUUUUGUGCCAUUUGGAGGUUGUUUGAUAUUCCAACGGUUAACCGCGUAGCCCGAACCCCCCCCCCCCUUUCUCUUUGCAGCCCAACACCCUUCCAAACUGGCCCAAAACCCAUCCUAACUCCCAUCCAUGCUCUUGGUCGUUCUAUCACGAUCGUGUGGGCGAAAACCGCUCCUCAUUUGAACUCUCCUAGCUCCAAGAAUCUAUAAAUAUGUGCUCCUCGUCCAAUUUCACGGAUGCACCCUAGCCCUCUCCCUUCUCGCACCGCCGGACACGUCCGCCCGACGACCNNNNNNNNNNNNNNNNNNNNNNNNNNNNNNNNNNNNNNNNNNNNNNNNNNNNNNNNNNNNNNNNNNNNNNNNNNNNNNNNNNNNNNNNNNNNNNNNNNNNNNNNNNNNNNNNNNNNNNNNNNNNNNNNNNNNNNNNNNNNNNNNNNNNNNNNNNNNNNNNNNNNNNNNNNNNNNNNNNNNNNNNNNNNNNNNNNNNNNNNNNNNNNNNNNNNNNNNNNNNNNNNNNNNNNNNNNNNNNNNNNNNNNNNNNNNNNNNNNNNNNNNNNNNNNNNNNNNNNNNNNNNNNNNNNNNNNNNNNNNNNNNNNNNNNNNNNNNNNNNNNNNNNNNNNNNNNNNNNNNNNNNNNNNNNNNNNNNNNNNNNNNNNNNNNNNNNNNNNNNNNNNNNNNNNNNNNNNNNNNNNNNNNNNNNNNNNNNNNNNNNNNNNNNNNNNNNNNNNNNNNNNNNNNNNNNNNNNNNNNNNNNNNNNNNNNNNNNNNNNNNNNNNNNNNNNNNNNNNNNNGACCCUGCCACCCGCCGGAGCGCUGCCGCCCGACCCCUCCAUCGCCGGACCCCGCCCUCCAGCACCGUUGCCCGCUCGGCCCCGUGCCCCCCGCCCGAGCCCGAAGCUCCUCCCGCCGACGCGCCUCGCCAGCCGCCGUCGCCCGUCGUCUCGCUGCCUCCACCGGCCGGCGCUGCGCCGCCUCGGCCUCCCUCUGGCCAGAUCCGGCCUCCCCGCCGUCGUGCCUCGCCAUGGCCUCGCCUCCCAUGCCGUCCCAUCUCCCUCCUCAACUCCGGCCGUCUCCGCCGAAAAUUCCGGCCGGAUCCGGCGAGAUCCGGCCCGGAACCUGCAAGGUGGAUGAGAUCCACCGGGAUUUGAGCCAAACGCGUCGUCCCUGCCCCGGAUCCCUCCGUCCCGGGUCGAGCCCAUCCCGCAUUGACUUUUCGCGGAGGUAAAAUUCUGCUAAGUCCCGAAUUAUUUUGCAUUCUGGUGCAUACGUUGACAUGCCAUAACUCUUCGCAUACUGCUCCAUUUUGUGCGUGCUAUAUAUCGAAAUGUUCAUCAUAAGAUGCUCUACAUUUCAUUCCAUUGUGUCAUGCUUGUUUGAGUUGAUCUAGAUGCCUGAAUCUUCAUUGCAAGAGUGCUAUAUAAUGUUGUCUGCUGUCUGUUAACAGAACAUGCUCAUUUGUCAUUUUUGCCAUGUUUGAUGUGUGUAUCCUAUGAGCAUGAGCUCUACAUGUGUUUUGAUCUAUGUCAUGCCAUCUUUACAGUGGGGCAAUCCAUGUAUUUUUUUGAGACUUGUAGUGACUGCAUUGAUCUUGUGAAGUAUGGUACUUGCUGUUACUAUUUUGCUAGGUUGAAUCUGUUAUUUCGUGAUGGUAUGUAACCCUUCUGCUACAAGUCAUUCUAUGCAUAAUCUGGAGAUGUUCACUAAGGUUGUUUUGUUAUACAUGUCAUGCUCUAUCCAUCCAUGCCCCUGGUUGCAUUUAUAGCCUACUGUAGAUUAUUUUUAUCAUGAACCAAAGUUCCUAAAUAAUGUUGCUGUCAGCCUGUUAACGUUAAGUUCAGUUUUGCCAUGUGUUUUGCUAGUGAUCCAUGCACCCUAUGAACUUUCUAUUGCCAUGCUUAGCUUCACACACAUGUAUUAGUACUGUUUGUUAUCUUGCCAUGCCAUGUAUUGCUCUAUGGUGUGUGGUACAAGCUCAUCAACAUGCCUACUUAUUGUUAUUCCUGCCAUGUAUGAAUCUGUCAUAUAACUUGCCAUGUUUACAUGGGUGCAAUCAUAUCUUCUGAUCCUUUUUGGCUCAUGAUCAGUAAGAGACUUUUGUUCUAUGCAUUUAGUAGAUUCAUUCCAUGCCUUUGUUUGCCAUGAUAAGUUUUUGUAGCAUGUUGUUUGAUAGCUCUAAACAUUGCAACCUGAUAUUAUUUCUGCUAAAUCUGAAACUGUUAUUGUUUGCAAUCUUGCCAUGUCUUUUUGAGCAUGUUCUAGUGAUUUAUGGAGAUAGCUCAGUGUUCAUGUUUUUUUAUGCUUUACCUUUACAUCAUGUCCAUGCCUUUUGUUUUUAUGUUGAGGUGCUGUAGCAUGUUGUUUUGAUGCUUGCAAUAUGCCUAGUUGCUGUUUUGGACAGAUUGUUGCUAUAACUUGUUUCAAGUGUGUGUUGAACCGUUGCUCCGUUUUGAGUGUGCUCUAUAUGAAACUUGCUUGAUUUUGCAUGUAGCUUCAUAAUAUCAUUUUGCAUCCUUGUUUUGAGGUGUUUGCUUGAUGUUUGUAUGCAUUUUGCAUCAAUGCCAUGUUUAACUUGUUUUGCUCAUAUCUUCUAGGCCGUAGCUCCAAAUCUAAUGAACUUUAUAUGCAACUUGACUAGAAUCUCGUGUAGAUCAUCUUGGUGCAUCUUAACUUGCUGUUUAACAACUUGAACAUAAGGUUUAUUCAGGUCUGGACCAAUUUCGAAAUUUGCAUAUGAGGACUUAUCGGAAUUGUUAUAUGUUGUUCCCGGCCUCAUUUAAACUUGCCUUGAUGUGUUGCUCUUGUUUGCAUCAUCUCUUGCCAUGAGUAGCUUCAUGUAGUCUUGUCAUGCAUCAUGCUUGUUGUGCAUCAUGUCUUGUCUAUGUGUGGUGUGUUUAUCAUGUUGUGUGCUUCUUCUCGAUAGUUCCCGUUUCGUUGCGAUCGUGAGGAUUCGUUCGUCUAUGCUUGGUUCGUCUUCAUGGCUUCAUCUUCUUCAUGGACUCGUUCUUCUUCCUUGCGGGAUUUCAGGCAAGAUGACCGCUACCCUGGAUCUCACUACUAUCAUUGUUGUGCUAGUUGCUUCGUUCUAUCGCUUUGCUGCGCUACCUAUCUUUUGCUCCUCAAGCCUCCCAAUUGCCAUGUCAGCCUCUAACCUUUACACCCUUCCUAGCAAACCAUUGUGUUACCGCUUUGCUCAGCCCCUCUUAUAGCGUUGUUAGUUGCAGGUGAAGUUGAAGAUUGCCCCAUGGUGGACAGGAUUAUGGUUGGGAUAUCACAAUAUCUCUUGUCUAAUUAAUGCAUCUAUAUACUUGGUAAAGGGUGGAAGACUCGGCCUUAUGCCUAGUGUUUUGUUCCACUCUUGCCGCCCUAGUUUCCUUCAUACCGGUGUUAUGUUCCCGGAUUUUGCGUUCCUUACGCGGUUGGGUGAUUUAUGGGACCCCCUUGACAGUUCGCUUUGAAUAAAACUCCUCCAGCAAGGCCCAACCUUGUUUUUACCAGUUGCCUCACCUAGACCUUUUUCCCUUGGGUUUACGGAGCCCGAGGGUCAUCUUUAUUUUACCCCCCCGGGCCAGUGUUCGUCAUGAGUGUUGGUCCAACCCGUCAGCCGCCGAUGGUCACCAGGGGCAACUCUGGGCUGGCCUACCGGAAGUUUGGACAAUCCGGUGUGCCCUGAGAACGAGAUAUGUGCAGCUCCUAUCGGGAUUUGUCGGCACAUCCGGGCGGUCUUGCUGGUCUUGUUUUACCAUUGUCGAAAUGUCUUGUAAACCGGGAUUCCGAGUCUGAUCGGGUCUUCCUGGGAGAAGGUAUAUCCUUCAUUGAUCGCGAGAGCUUAUCAUGGGCUAAGUUGGGACACCCCUGCAGGGUACAAACUUUCGAAAGGCGUGCCCGCGGUUAUGCGGCAGAUGGGAAUUUGUUAAUGUCUGGUUGUAGAUAACUUGACACCUGAUUCAAAUUAAAACACAUCAACCGCGUGUGUAGCCGUGAUGGUCUCUUUUCAGCGGAGUCCGGGAAGUGAACACGGUUUUGGGUUAUGUUUGAUGUAAGUAGGAGUUCAGGAUCACUUCCUGAUCACAGCUAGCUUCACGACCGUUCCGUUUGCUCUCUUCUCGCUCUUAUUUGCGUAUGUUAGCCACCAUAUUAUGCUUAGUCGCUGCUGCAACCUCACCACUUUACCUCCUUCCUUUCCCAUUAAGCUUUUCUAGUCUUGAUACCCAUGGUAAUGGGAUUGCUGAGUCCUCGUGGCUCACAGAUUACUACAACAACAGUUGCAGGUACAGGUUAUGCGAUGAUCAUGAUGUGAGAGUGAUGUUUGCUUGUUUUGGAGUUCUUCUUCUGCUUCUUCUUUGAUCAGGGGAUAGGUUCCAGGUCGGCAGCCUGGGCUAGCAGGGUCGAUGUCGUUUGAGUUUCUGUUUGUGUUUCAUCCGUAGUCGGAUGAUGCUCUUAUGUAUUGUGAUGUUGUAUUCGUGUGGGAUGGUAUGCCUCUUGUAUGUAUCCCAAUCUAUUAUGUAACGCUGAUGUAAUGAUAUCCACCUUGCAAAAGCGUUUCAAUAUGCGGUUCUAUCCUUGGUGGGACCUUCGAGUCUCUUUAGGAUAGUAUCGCAUAUUGGGCGUGACAGGGGGGUAGGUAUGGAGAGGCAGGAUCUUAGCUAUGGCGAAGAUGUACACACGAUGUUUUCGAGUUUAGGCCCUUCUCAGAAGAAGUAACAACCCUACGUCUCGGUGCCCGGAGGCGGUCAAUUGUAUUAUGUGUGUUGUGUUACAGGGGGUGCGAACCCUUGUCCCAGAGGAGGGGGUGGCUUAUAUAGAGUGCGCCAGGACCCCCGCCCACCUCCAUUACAAAGGGCUUAAUGUACAUAAAGUGGGGGCGUUACAGUUAACGGCAGUCUUAAAUGUUCGUAAUGCUCAUGAAGACUAAGGAGUGAAUGUCCGGUCGUUGUACGUUCUACCGACUCCUGGUAUUUGACAUAGUCGAGUGAUUCUCAUAUGGCCGAGUGAAGGUAAGGAAUGACGGUCGAGUGAUUGCAUCGUCGAGUGGAUUCUUAGACUUCUUAUCUUCUGGGGUAGUGACCUUGCGUAGGACGUGUAGGUCAGGCCUAUGACCCUACCCCAGGUCUGUAUCCUCAUCAGUGACCAACUUGCGGGUUCCGCCCAUGAACCUAUGCAUAGGGGUUGGCACACAUUUUCGUCUUGACUCUGUGGUAGAAACUUUGGGGCGCUCUUUGAAGUACUUUGUGUUGGGUGAAUAGAUGGAUCUGAGAUUGUGUGAUGCAUAUCGUAUAAUCAUGCCCACAGAUACUUGAGGUGACAAUGGAGUAUCUAGGUGACAUUAGGGUUUUGGUUGAUUUGUGUCUUAAGGUGUUAUUCUAGUAUGAACUCUAUGAUAGAUUGAGCGGAAAGAAUAGCUUCAUGUUAUUUUACUACGAACUCUUGAAUAGAUAGAACAGAAAGGAUAACUUUGAGGUGGUUUCGUACCCUACCAUAAUCUCUUCGUUUAUUCUCCGCUAUUAGUGGCUUUGGAGUGACUCUUUGUUGCAUGUUGAGGGAUUGCUAUAUGAUCUAUCUAUGUUAUUAUUGUUGAGAGAACUUGCACUAGUGAAAGUAUGAACCCUAGGCCUUGUUUCCUAUCAUUGCAAUACCGUUUACGCUCACGUUUAUCAUUAGUUACCUUGCUGUUUUUAUUAUUUCAGAUUACAAAUACCUCUAUCUACUAUCCAUAUUGCACUUGUAUCACUAUCUCUUCGCCGAACUAGUGCACCUAUACAAUUUACCAUUGUAUUGGGUGUGUUGGGGACACAAGAGACUCUUUGUUAUUUGGUUGCAGGGUUGUUUGAGAGAGACCAUCUUCAUCCUACGCCUCCCACAGAUUGAUAAACCUUAGGUCAUCCACUUGAGGGAAAUUUUGCUACUGUCCUACAAACCUGUGCACUUGCAGGCCCAACAACGUCUACAAGAAGAAUGUUGUGUAGUAGACAUCAAACACCCCGGUGUAAUGAUGCUAGAGUAAUCCCUGAGAUCAAGCUAAUCAUUUUGCUAUAAUAGUGCUUGGUCACUUUGAUCAAUAUUCCAUUUCAAAUUCCAGUUGAAUUCAAUUUGAAUUUAUGUGUGAAAUUCAAAAUUGCUUAGACAUGAAAACUAAAAUGUUCAUCAUGUGGAACAUAUUCUUCUAGUAAUAUUGGUGGUGAGCCAACAUUUUUGCAAAAUGUCUAAGUGGCCUAAAAUAGCUAAAAUAGAAAAGCUUUAAAAAAAGGAAAAGGAAAAGCAAGGAGAAAAAGAAGAAGGAGAAGUCCCCUGCCCCCUGGGCCUUAGCCAUUGCACUGACCGGCCCACCUUACCCCCCGGGUUGCCUUCCUGUUUGACCGACCCCGUCGCUACAGGGGCGUGGUCGCCCCGGUCCGCCUCGUCGUCGAUGACGAGGGAGGGGAUAAGGCCCCGUGCCUCCCUACCUCCUCAAUCCCCACCCCACUCCCCCUGGCGUCCUCAUCCGUUUCUCACCCUUCCCCCAGUUGCCCCACGCGCCUCGCCUCUCUCUUUCCCCCACCUUGCCCGAGAGCUCGCCGCCGUCCUCCAUCGUUGUCGCGGCCACCGGCAGCCCCGCGCCUGCUGACCCUGUCGUUGAGCUCCGUCGGGGUCAACUCCUUUGACUGGUGGCCUCAGCUGGAGCUCGGAGGCGCUGCAGCACCAGAACCCCUUCGUUCCCAUCUCUGACGGCCACAACAACUCCAGCGCGCGCUACUACUCCUAAGCCGUCAAGGGCUUUCCGUAGCCGCGCGGUGAGCCACCACCUUCCUUGUCCCUCUCUCCGUCUGCCCUUGUGUGGUCCCUAGCGGUCCCUCCCACCAUGGCCGAACGCGACGCCGCGCGAGCUCAUCGCCGGCAUCCUUCCGGUGACCUUUUGGUCACGGGGACGCGCCCGUUGGACUCACCGCUCCGUGCAGAUCCUUCCCAUCCUUUCCUUUUGCUCCGUAGUGCGCCGUAGCAUCUUUUCCGCCACCGACUGUAGCCGCUCCGGUGCAAACCUCAUCGCCGGCGCCGUUUCCGGCCAAGUCCGGCCAUGCCUCUGCCACCAUUCGAUGCGGCGUCGUUCGCCCGUUCGAACGCACCCUUGCGCGUGUGAAACGGCUGCCAGUAGACGUUUUCCGAUGAGGCCCGAGCGGCUCUGCCGCGUCCUAGCGUCGCCGAUGGCGAGACGCGUGCCUUCGCCGACGUGGCUGGCCGGGCCCCACCCCUGGCUCACUGCCAGUGGGCCCCAUGGGCCCUAGUUGACUGGAUUGACACAAUCAACUGCUGACUGGGCAGCCCAGUGCCACUGACAUGCAGGCACCACCACUUAUUUAAGCUAAUUAAAAUGUUUUUAUAGUUAAAAGUAAUUAGUAAUCUAAUCUGCCACUGACAUGUGGGGCCCAACUAUUAAUUAACCUCAUUUUAGUUAGUUUAAAGUUCUGUUAGUCCACUCCCUAUGACAGGUGGGACCCACUUGUCAGUUUGACCAGUCAACCAGUCUGUUGACCUGUUGAUGUCAUGUUGACACUCUGCUGACAUCAUAAUUCCUUUUCUGUUAAUUUAAUUAAUUCCAGAAAAUACUUUAAUCUUUAAAAAUUCAUAGAAAAUAAACCGUAGCUCGGAUGGAAAAACUUUAUACAUGAAAGUUGCUCAGAACGACGAGACGAACCCGAAUACGCUAACCACAUACCUGUCAGAUGCUUCUAACUAUCUGAACAUGGAACAUUCCCCUACGAUCAUCUAUCUGACACAGGUCCGGAACCGGGAAUACAUUCCCGGUUGAAUUCCCCCUUCACCUAUAUCAUGUAGCCAUACGUUAGUUCACACCCGACACAUCAUAAUGCCACGUUAUGCUUUGUGAUGCUAUGUUUGCUUUAUAUUUACUGUUUCUUUCCCCUCUUCUCUCCGGUAGACCCCGAGACUGAUGCUGCCCCUGUGAUCGACCACGUCGACGACAACCCCUCCUUGUCAGAUCAACCAGGCAAGCCCCCCCUUUGAUCAUCCCGAUAUCACCCAUUCCAUUCUCUCAUGCUUGCAUUAGAUUUUGAUACUAUUAUUGAUUGCUCCUAUUCUGAUGCAUAGCCUGAUUUUGUAUCUGUUGUUGUACCUUACCUGCUUAUCCUAAACUGCUUAGUAUAGGUUGGUUAGUGAUCCAUCAGUGACCCCCACCUUGUCCUUGUUGCCCCUGCUUCAUCAUCGAAGACCAGAUCAACGGGAUCGAAGACCAGGCCCCGGCACCGCACAUCAAUUUCCCCUUAGUUGCUCGACACUACUGGGUUACUAUCGAGUACCGAGGGUGAGGCCUCAUCAGCACUUCUGAUGUUAACCCUGUAGUGUAGCUAUUCGGUCAUGGUCAUCGAGGGUGAUUUCCUCUUUAACCACUUCCGAUACGACUUUGUCGUGCAACCCCUCAAGCGUGAACCUCGAGGGUGGUCCCUCUUACGUUGACCUUGAUGAUUACACCGAGUGGAAUUCAUCGGGGGUGAUUCCUCGGUUUUUCCCCUUGAUGUUUAGACACAUAGUUACUAUGAUUACUAUGACUUUACACUGAACCAUGUUACUAAAGACGGGUCGACCCUGAGGGGUACCCGCGUGACCAUAAUUGCAAGUGAUGUGGAGUCGGGUUGCCCUGGACGGUGCCCGCGAGAUAAUUAUGAGGCGUGGCCAGGCAUUCUUAGCCCUUGCCACAAGUCCUCGAGACGGGGCAAUGGGGUCACAUCUUUCGUGAGUCUCUGCUUGUUACCGCGCGUUCCUAAUCCACUACGAUUUGGAUAUUUGAUCCGAGGGGCCUCUGGCCUGAUAGCACUAACCAUCACGUGGGCAUAGUAUGGGCGUUCUGCGUCGUAUGCAUCAGCCCAAGCUUAAUGGAAAUCAGCGACUGAGCGGCGCGUGCCGGGUUGGACUGCAUAAGAACCUGCCUUUUUAAGGAGGUAGCUAGGUCUGCUUACCUCCCACCCACGCAACGUGCAGGAGUUCCUGGGGCGAUGGCCCAUGACCCCUGGGGGCAUAGGUUUAGUAUGGCGUGCUGACCUAUCUAUUAAGCCCAGGUAGGGUUGCAGCGUAUUGUUUGGCCGAGGCCGGGCUUGACCCAGGACAGUGUGUUCGACCAAAGUUAAUCGAGCAUGGUGGGUAAGUUGGUGCACCCCUGCAGGGAACAAAACAUCUAUCGAUAGCCUGUCCUACGGUAACAGACGCUUGGAGUUGUAUACCGAUCGAUACAACUAGAACUAGAUACUUGUGAUGAGAAUUGGAUUGUGAUGAGAAAUUAAUAGUAUGGAUCUGGGAUUGCUUUCUCGCAGGGAGUCGAGAAAGGAUCUCUGGCCGAGGUUGAUAACACUACUACUACUUUACUUUAUGCUACUCUACUCCCUCCCGUUUGCUGCAAGAUGGUGGUUUCCAUAAGAUGCUAGUCUUCGAUAGGACUAGGCCUUCUCUCUAUUCUGGCAUUUCUGCAGCCCAGUCCACAUAUACAUCCUUCCUUUGAUAAUGUUGCAUAUGCAGUGUAGAUCCUUGCUUGCGAGUACUUUGGAUGAGUACUCACGGUUGCUUUGCUCCCCCUUUUCCCCCUUCUUUUUCUUUCCGGUUGAUGCAACCAGAUGUCGGAGCCCAGGACCCAGAUGCCACUGCCGGUGCCUACUACUACGCGGAGACCGCUAACGACCGUGAGCAGUUAGGAGGCUCCCAGGCAGGAGGCCUUGCCUUUUCGAUCGUAGAUGCUUUUGUGCUAGCUUCUUAAGGCAAAGUUGUCUAACUUAUGUCUGUACUCAGAUAUUGUUGCUUCCGCUGACUCUUGUGUAUUCGAGCUUAUGUAUUCGAGCCCUCUGGCUUGUAAUAUAAAGCUUGUAGUAUUUUAAUUUGUGUCUAGAGUUGUGUUGUGAUAUCUUCCUGUGAGUCCUUGAUUUUGAUCGUACACAUUUGCGUGUAUGAUUAGUGUACGAUUGAAUCGAGGGCGUCACAAGUUGGUAUCAGAGCCGACUGCCUAUAGGUAGCCCCCUUUCCAACUCCUUGGCCUAAGUUGAGUCUAGUCACUGAAAAACUUUUACUAACAUUGCCUAUGUGUCUUACGGGCCCACGUCGCCAUUGGGUGGUAUUAGGAUCUUUUACUCCUCGUCUAUACUCUGGGACUCUGAUCACUCUUCUAUUCGGGUUAAACGAAAUUACUAACUCUUACAUUAGGAUCCCAUGACCACAUUCACCCCAAAGUUGGAUAAGCCAUAGUUAUUCCUUAGAAUAGUAUUCUGAAUAGUACACACAUUGUCGUGUUGACUAUGAAGUGGUAUCCAUCGCACCUCUUUCUUUAUGCAUGCUUCAUCAUAAAUGAUCCUUGUCUUUGCAAAUGCUCAAUGCUGAACUACCCCCUGUUACAUGUUUGCAGGAUGGUUAGACCUGUUGGUCGUGGCCGUGGUGCCAACGAUCCACCACCGCCCAAAUUCUUUGCCGGAAUGAUGCAACAAUUUGAGCUGAACCGCCAGUUCAUGGAAGGAAUGAUGGCUCAGUUUCCUCGUCUGAAUAUGAAUCAGCAGCCAGCCCCAGUAACUCUGCAGGACUUCAUGCGCCUCAACUCAACUAUUUACCGUAGCUCAACUCAGCCCCUUGAUGCUGAUGACUGGCUCCGCGACAUCACGUAUGAAAUGGAGUCUGCUAGUGUGGCCCCUGCUAGCUAUGUCACCUUUGCAUCAUUCUUUCUGAAGGGUCCCGCUGCUCAAUGGUGGGACAGCCACAAGCGUACCCUACCUGCUGAAACGGUCGUCACUUGGCCAAAUUUCUAAGCUGCCUUCCGUGCUCGUUUUAUUCCUCAGGGAAUCAUGGACAAGAAGAAGCGCGAGUUCCGCAACCUCACCCAAGGCAAUAAGGCUGUAGAUGCUUACCAGUGGGAAUUUUAGGACUUGUCAUGUUAUGCUAAAGAAGACAUUGUAACUGAUGCUCGCAGUCAGGAAAAGUUUCGAGAUGGAAUUCACCCUGAUAUCAAGCUAGCACUGCUCGUCCAUGACUUUGCCGACUUCGCCACCUUGGUGAACAAGGCUAUUCAGGUUGAGACUGGUCUGUAGGAAGACCAGGGAUCCCUCAGGCGCAGCCGUGACGCUGGCUCAUCUUCGGGCCCGUCAGCGCAGAAGCGUCGGAUAUGGAUCCCCCAUAGCAUGUACCGCCCAACUGCACCUGCACCAAGACAUUCCUAUGUUGCACCUCGUCUGCCUCCUCCAUCGCAGAGGCAGCCUCUUCGAGCUGUACCACCCCAAGCUCCUGCUCCCAACCCCAAUGAUGGUCUAUGCUACAAGUGUGGCCUUCUAGGUCACCGCUCCAGGAACUGUCCUCAGAAUCAGAACCAACUAGGUCUUCCUGCUACGGGUCGUGGUAACAAUCAACCUCGCAACAACAAUGCCCGACCUUAUGGUCGUGGGCAGGCUAACAACAUUGAUCUGAAUGAAGCUCAAGACCAGCCUGCUAUUGUGAUGGGUACUCUCCUUGUUAAUUUGGUACCAGCUUCAGUUUUAUUCAAUCAGGGGCAUCACAUUCAUUCAUGUCAGAAAAUUUUGCAUACGCACAUGACAUUCGAUGUGAGCCCAUGAACACUCUGAUAGUGGUACGCACCCCUGCGGGUCAGUGUCGAACUACCAUGAUUGGUCGCGACGUCCCCGUUGAAAUUGAAGGGUUGGAAUUUCAUGUUUCUCCCAUUAUUCUGGAGUCUUCCAAUAUUGACCUCAUUCUGGGAAUGGAAUGGUUGAAAGCACAUACUGCCUCUAUCGUUUGUGCCACUAAAGUCGUUCAUCUCGUAGAUCCUUCCGAUGAGAUAAUAAGCUACCAUGCUCAGAUUGUUCAAAACGCUGAAGCACAACUUUAUGCUUUGAAUGCGUUGAACGCGGAACCUCUUGAGGGAAUUGAAAAGAUUCCAGUCGUUCGCGACUUCCAAGACGUAUUUGCAGAAGAACUUCCAGGAAUACCCCCUGCCCGGGCUGUCGAGUUCGUCAUCGAUUUGAAACCAGGCAUUGUUCCUAUUGCCAAAUGACCCUACAAGAUGCCACCUCAUGAACUCCUUGAACUUAAGGAGGAAAUCGACAAAUCUCUUCGCAAGGGUUUCAUUUGUCCAAGUUCCUCUGCUUGGGGAGCACCUUCUCUCUUCGUCAAGAAGGACAAAACGAACCAUUUGGUCCAAGACUAUCGUCCUAUCAACCAAGCUACAAUUCAGAACAAAUAUCCCCUUCCUCGGAGCAAUGAUCUGUAUGAUCAACUAGCUGGUUCAUCGAUAUUCUCUAAACUCGACUUGAGGUUGGGUUACCACCAGAUCCGUGUUCGUGAAGAGGAUAUUCCAAAGACCGCCUUUGUCACUCGUUAUGGUUCUUACGAGUACACCAUCAUGUCUUUCGGCUUGACCAAUGCUCCAGCCACAUUUUCUCGUAUGAUGAACUACAUAUUCAUGGAUUACCUCGACAAGUUUGUCGUAGUCUAUCUGGAUGAUAUCCUGGUAUGUUCGAAGAAUAAAGAAGAACAUGCUGAACAUCUUCGUCUUGUUCUAGAAAAGCUUCAAGAGCAUCAACUUUAUGCCAAGUAUUCCAAGUGCGAAUUAUGGUUACCCGAAGUCACCUACCUUGGUCAUGUCAUCUCCAAGGAUGGUAUUGCCAUCAACCUAGAGCGCGUUCAGGCUAUUCUUGACUGGACCCCUCCGAAGACUGUCAAGCAAGUCAGAAGCUUUCUCGGACUAGCCAGCUAUUGUCGUCGCUUUGUCGAGAACUUCUCCAAGAUAGCCAAGCCCCUAACUAAUCUGCUUCACAAGGGCGUUAAGUUUGAUUGGACUGAAAAGUGUCAGGAAAGUUUCCAGGCACUCAAGGACAAGCUGACUUCUGCCCCAGUGCUUGCUCCCCCUGAUUCUCGCAAGGACUUCAUCAUCUAUUGCGACGCUUCACGACAAGGAUUAGGCUGUGUCCUAAUGCAAGAGCGCAGAGUGAUUGCUUAUGCCUCCCAUCAAGUGCGUCCUCACGAAGAGAACUACCCAGUUCAUGACCUCGAGCCUGCUGCGGUUAUGUUUGCAGCUAUGGCGACAAUACCUUCUUGGUAAUCGUUGCGAGAUCUUCACCGAUCAUCAGAGUCUGAAGUACCUGUUUACUCAGCCAGAUCUGAACCUCCGUCAGCAGCGAUGGAUGGAAGCUAUUGCUGACUACAUUUGCGGUAUAUCCUAUACCCCUAGCAAGGCUAAUGUAAUGGCCGAUGCCCUGAGCCGUAAGUCUUAUUGCAACAAUCACAUGCUCUACAAAGCUCAACCCCACCUUUAUGAAGAGCUAUGGAAGCUGAACCUUCAACUAGUUCCACAGGGUUCUCUGAAUAACCUUGUCCUGGAACCAACUCUUCUCAAAGAAAUUAAGUCUGCUCAAGCCAAAGAUGCUCAUGUUAAUCUGAUGAAAAAGGAUCUUGACUUAGAGAAAUCCAGAGAUUUCUCACUUGGUGAAGAUGGAACCUUGUACUUCAGAGAUCACAUUAUAGUACCCCGGUUAGAGCUUAUGAUAGAGAAGGUAAUGAAAGAAGCGCAUCACACCCCUGUCUCUAUUCAUCUGGGAAGUACCAAGAUGUAUCUAGACAUCUGUCAGAAGUACUGGUGGUCUAAGAUGAAGCAAGACAUUGCUCGAUAUAUUGAAGAAUGUGAAGUUUGUCGUCGCGUCAAAGCAGAAUAUCAGAAACCGGAUGGACUUCUACAACCGCUUCUGAUUCCUGAAUUGAAGUGGGAUAAGAUUCAAAUGGACUUUGUCACUGGCCUUCCCAAGUCUAAAAAAGGUAAUGAUGCUAUCUUUGUCGUCAUCGACCAAUUCUCAAAGGUUGCUCACUUUCUGCCAGUCAAGGAGACAAUCACUGCUAGUCAAUUAGCAAACUUGUAUAUCUCUCGAAUUGUGUCACUCCACAGCAUUCUGAAGGAGAUCAGUUUAGACCGCGGCAGUAUAUUCACUUCGAAGUUCUAGGAUAGUUUCCAAGAGGCAAUGGGAACUCAUAUUACCUAGAGCACUGCUUAUCAUCCCCAAUCCCAAGGCCAAGUCGAGCGAGUCAAUCAAAUUCUUGAAGACAUGCUUCGGGCUUAUGUUAUUUCUAUCGGUAAGAAGCGGGAAGAAUCUCUCCCUUAUGCGGAGUUCUCUUAUAACAAUAGCUAUCAAGCCAGCUUGAAGAGGGCACCCUUCGAAGUGCUUUAUGGACGUAAGUGCCGAACCCCUCUGAAUUGGUCAGAAACUUGGGAACGGACGCUCAUUGGUCCAGACAUUAUUCAACAAGCUGAAGAUCAGGUUCGCAUUGUCCGGGAUAAUAUCAAGGCGGCCUAGUCCCGCCAGAAGAGCAACUAUGACCGGAAACACUGGGGUUCAACUUAUCAACCUGGUGAACAAGAUUAUCUGUGUGUCACUCAUUUGAGAGGCACUCAUCGAUUUGGAGUCAAGGGCAAGCUAGCUCCUCGCUACAUUUGUCCCUUCUGUAUUCUCGCCCGUCGUGGAUUGGUGGCUUAUCAACUGGAGUUGCCACCUCAGUUCUCUCACGUCCAUGACGUCUUCCACGUGUCACAACUUCGUCGAUGUUUCAAGGAUCCGGAACGUGAAGUGGAUCCGGAAUUGAUUGAAGUUUAAGAUGAUCUCACAUACAAAGAGCAUCCGAUCCACAUUCUCAAAGAAGCUGAACGUCGAACCCGCCAGAAGGUUACCAAGUUCCUCAAGGUGCAAUGGUCGAAUCAUACUAAAGAUGAAGCCACUUGGGAACGCGAAGAUAACCUCCAGGCUGAAUACCGCGAUCUUUUCCCUUCUACCUCUUAAUUCUCGGGACGAGAAUUUAUUUUAGAGGAGGAGAGUUGUAACACUCCGGUGUAAUGAUGCUACAGUAAUCCCUGAGAUCAAGCUAAUCAUUUUGCUAUAACAAUGCUUGGUCACUUUGACCAAUAUUCCAUUUCAAAUUCGAGUUGAAUUCAAUUUGAAUUUAUGUGUGAAAUUCAAAAAUGCUCAGACAUGAAAACUAAAAUGUUCAUCAUGUGGAACAUGGUCUUCUGGUAAUAUUGGUGGUGAACCAACAUUUUUGCAAAAUGUCUAAGUGGCCUAAAAUAGCUAAAACAGAAAAGCUUUAAAAAAGGAUAAGCAAGGAGAAAAAGAAGAAGGAGAAGCCCCCUGCCCCCUGGGCCUUAGCCCAUUGCACUGACCGGCCCACCUUACCCCCCGGGUUGCCUUCCUGUUUGACCGACCCUGUCACUACAGGGGCGCGGUCGCCCCGGACCGCCUCACCGUCGACGACGAGGGAGGGGAUAAGGCCCCGUGCCUCCCCGCAUCCUCGAUCCCCGCAUCCACUCACCCCCACUCCCCCUGGCGUCCUCAUCAGUUUCUCCCCUUGUCCCCACUUGCCCCACACGCCUCGCCUCUCUCAUUCCCCCACCUUGUCCGAGAGCUCGCCGCCGCCCUUCAUCGUUGUCGCGGCCACCGGCGGCCCCGCGCCCACUGACCCUGUCAGUGAGCUCCGCCGGGGUCGACUCCUUCGACUGGUGGCCUCAACUGGAGCUCGGAGGCGCUGCAACACCGGAACCCUUUCGUCCCCAUCUUUGAUGGCUGCAGCAACUCUGGCGCGCGCUACUGCUCCUAAGCCGUCAAGGGCUUUCCGUAGCCACGCGUUGAGCCAUCACCUUCCUUGUCCCUCUCUCCGUCUGCCCUUGCACGGUCCCUAGCCGUAUCUCCCACCAUGGCCGAAUGUGAUGCUGUGCGAGCUCGUUGCCGGCGUCCUUCCGGUGACCUUUUGGUCAUGGGGUCGUGCCUGUUGGACUCUCCGCUCCGUGCAGAUCCUCCCCAUCCUUUCCUUUUGCUCCAUAGCACACCGUAGCAUCUUUUCCAUCGUCGACCAUAGCCGCUCCGCCGCAAACCUCGUCGCCGGCGCCGUUUCCGGACAAGUCCGGCCAUGCCUCUGCCACCAUUCGACGCGGCAUUGUUCGCCCGUUCGAACGCACCCUCGCGCGCGCGAAUUUGCCGCAUGUAGACAUUUUCCGAUGAGGUCCGAGCAGCUCUACCGCGUCCUAGCAUCGCCGGCGGCGAGACGCCUGCCUCCGCCGACGUGGCUGGUUGGGACCCACCCUGGCUCACUGCCAGUUGGCCGCGCGGGCCCCAGUUGACUGGAUUGACCCAGUCAACUGCUGACUGGGCAACCCAGUGCCACUGACAUGCAGGCCCCACCGCUUAUUUAAGCUAAUUAAAAUGUUUUUAUAGUUAAAAGUAAUUAUUAAUCUAAUCCACCACUGACAUGUGGGGCCCAGCUGUUGAUUAACCUCUUUUUAGUUAGUUUAAAGUUCUGUUAGUCCACUGUCUAUGACAGGUGGGAGCCACUGGUCAGUUUGACCAGUCAGCCACUCUGUUGACCUGCUGAUGUCAUGUUGACACUCUGCUGACAUCAUAAUUCCUUUUCCCUUAAUUUAAUUAAUUCAGAAAAUACUUAAAUCUUUAAAAAUUCAUAGAAAAUAAACCGUAGCUCGGAUGGAAAAACUUUAUACAUGAAAGUUGCUCAGAACAAUGAGACGAACCCGAAUACGCUAACCACAUACCUGUCAGAUGCUUCUAACUAUCUGAACAUGGAACAUUCCCCUUCGGUCAUCUGUCUGACGCAGGCCCGGAUCCGGGAAUAUAUUCCCGGUUGAAUCCCCCCUGCACCUAUAUCGUGUAGCCAUACGUUAGUUCACACCCGGCACAACAUAUUGCCAUGUUAUGCUUUGUGAUGCUAUUUUUGCUUUAUAUUUACUGUUUCUUCCCCCUCUUCUCUCUGGUAGACCCCGAGACCGAUGCUGCCCCUGUGAUCGACUACGUCGACGAUGACCCCUCCUUGCCAGAGCAACCAGGCAAGCCCCCCUUUGAUCAUCCCGGUAUCACCCAUUCCAUUCUCUCAUGAUUGCAUUAGAUUUUGCUACUAUUAUUGAUUGCUCCUAUUCUGAUACAUAGCCUGCUUUUGUAUCUGUUGUUGUACCUAAACUGCUUAGUAUAGGUUGGUUAGUGAUCCAUCGAUGACCCCCACCUUGUCCUUGUUGCCCCUGCUUCAUCAUCAAAGACCCAAUCAACGGGAUCGAUGACCAGGCCCCGACACCGCACAUCACUUUCCCCUUAGUUGCUCGACACUACUGGGUUACUAUCGAGUACCGAGGGUGAGGCCUUAUUAGCACUUCUGAUGUUAACCCUGUAGUGUAGCUAUUCGGUCGUGGUCAUCGAAGGUGAAUUCCUCUUUAACCACUUCCGAUACGACUCUCCCAUGCAACCCCUCAAGUGUGAACCUCGAGGGUGGUCCUUCUUAUGUUCACCUUGAUGAGUACAUCGAGUGGAAUUCACCAGGGGUGAUUCCUCGGGUUUUCCCCUUGAUAUUUAGACACACAGUUACUAUGAUUACUAUGACUUUACACUGAACCAUGUUACUAAAGAUGGGUCGACCCUGAGGGGUACCUGCGCGAGCAUAAUUGCGAGUGAUGUGGAGUCGGGUUGACCUGGAAGGUGCCUGCGAGAUAAUUACGAGGCAUGGCCGAGCAUUCUUAGCCCUUGCCGCAAGUCCUCGAGACGGGGCAACGGGGUCACAUCUUUCGUGAGUCUCUGCUUGUUACCGCGCGUUCCUAAUCCACUAUGAUUUGGAUAGUUGAUCCGAGGGGCCUCUGGCCUGAUAGCACUAACUAUCACGUGGGCAUAGUAUGGGUGUUCUGCGUUGUAUGGAUCAACCGAAGCUGAAUAGAUAUCAGCGGCUGAGCGGCACGCGCCGGGUUGGACUGCAUAAGCACCUGCCUUUUUAAGGAGGUAGCUAGGUCUGCUCACCGGCUGCCCACGCAACAUGCAGGAGUUCCCUGGGCGAUGGCCCAUGAUCCGUGGGGGCAUAGGUUUAGUCCGGCAUGCUGACCUCUCUAUUAAGCCUAGGUCGGGUUGCGGCGUAUUGUUUGUCCGAGGCCGGGCAUGACCCAAGAAAGUGUGUCCGGCCGAACUUAAUCGAGCGUUGUCUGUAAUUUGGUGCACCUCUGCAGGGAAGAAAACAUCUAUCGAUAGCCUGUGCGACGGUAAUAGAUACUUGGAGUUGUAUCCCGAUCAAUACAACUAGAACUAGAUGCUUGUGAUGAGAAUUGGAUUGUGAUGAGAAAUUGAUAGUAUGGAUCUGGGAUUGCUUUCUCGCAGGGAGUCGAGAAAGGAUCUCUGGCCGAGGUUGAUAACACUACUACUACUUUACUUUAUGCUACUCUACUCCCUCCCGUUUGCUGCAAGAUGGUGGUUUCCAUAAGAUGCUAGUCUUUGAUAGGACUAGGCCUUCUCUCUAUUCUGGCAUUUCUGCAGCCCAGUCCACAUAUACAUCCUUCCUUUGAUAAUGUUGCAUAUGCAGUGUAGAUCCUUGCUUGCGAGUACUUUGGAUGAGUACUCAUGGUUGCUUUGCUCCCCCUUUGCCCCCUUCUUUUUCUUUCUGGUUGAUGCAACUAGAUGUCGGAGCCCAUGAGCCAUAUGCCACCGCUGGUGCCUACUACUACGUGGAGACCGCUGACGACCAGGAGUAGUUAGGAGGCUCCCAGGCAGGAGGCCUUGCCUUUUCGAUCGUAGAUGCUUUUGUGCUAGCCUUCUUAAGGCAAACUUAUCUAACUUAUGUCUGUACUCAGAUAUUGUUUCUUCAGCUGAUUCUUGUGUAUUCGAGCUUAUGUAUUCAAGCCCUCGAGGCCCCUGGCUUGUAAUAUAAAGCUUGUAUUAUUUUAAUUUGUGUCUAGAGUUGUGUUGUGAUAUCUUCCCGUGAGUCACUGAUCUUGAUCGUACACAUUUGCAUGUAUGAUUAGUGUAUGAUUGAAUCGAGGGCGUCACAUAUUGGAAGGUAGUAUUCGGACACCGGAAGGGUUCCGGAAUGUAUCGGGUACAUAUUGGAGUACUAGAGGGGUUACCAGAACCCCCCGGGGAAAGAUAUGGGCCAUAUGGGCCAUAGGAGGGAGGCUAACCAGCCCACAAGGGGCUGGCGCGCCCCCCAUAGGGAAGGAGGCCGAAUUGGACUAGGGAAGGGGCGGCUGUCGGUGUCAAAAUAGGCAGAUCACGGGUAGAGGGGCCCAAGUUGUGCGUCUAAGGAUCAACGGUAACAAGGGACCAGGGGACACAAUGUUUACCCACAUUCGGGCCCUCUUAAAGGAGGUAAAACCCUACUCCUGCUUGAGUAUAUUCCUCUGUUGGAAAAGACAAUGCCUAGGAGGCGCUUAUGCAUGCCUAGGCGCUAGGCAAUGGCCAAAUGCCUCGCCUAGGGCAUAAAUGGAGGUCUAGGCAGGGUAAGCAAGGAAUUGCCUACGCAAGCAAGAAAUCAUGCCACAUACUACACUAGUAUGCCAAACGGGUUAUAUUCCAAUGGUAGUAGACGGUAAUUAAAUUUUUCAUAUGCCCUAAACUAAUAUCAACACCCAUAUAAUAAUCACAAAUGCACUACGAGUAAAAACAAUAUUACCACCUAGGCCGCGCCUAGGGCUCUUAGGCACUGCCUAGGCACUAGGCGCAGGCCAACCGCCUCGCUUACGCCUACCGCCUUUUCCAACCCUUGGUAUAUUCUAAGAGUAUGAAGAUUACAAUAGUUGAUCUACCUCGAGAUCAUAAUGACUAAACCCUAGAUGUCUAGCCUAUGAGUAUUCCGAUGAUGGUGAUGAUGAUAGCCUCUACGGGCUAAGCCCUCCAGUUUAUAUACAUACCGGAGGGGCCUAGGUUUUGUAGAAGGUCGGUUCAUCAGGGAAGGAAACACCCGGACUCUAGUCUUGCCGUUUAGGUAUGAAGAAGUCCCAUCCGGACACGGAGAAUAAUCUUUAGCUUGGUCUUGUACGGCCCAUACUCCUGGGCCGGACACAUGAGGAUCCCCGAAUCCAGGACUCCCUCAGUAGCCCCCGAACUUGCCUUCAAUGAUGAUGUAGUGUGCGGAUAUAAGCCUUUGGCUUUGCAAGGCGGGUUCUCCACCAUACCCCGGCUUGACGAUAGUCCGUCAUCGGCUUCCGCGUCCAGUCUUUAUGAUUCCUUCCUGCCGUCGCCUCGAUUUCCACGUGUCUGAGCGAAUGCGAACGGUCCGUUACCUUUAUAUUUUAAUACUUUUAGUAGGCACGAGCGGUGCUUAUAUAACGAGGUUAGAUCCCCAAAACAUCAUCCCACAUCGCCCCAAGUGCAACAGAGCAAACCACGAAAAAAGCUCAAACCAUGGCUAGUGUCCCCGGCUCCUCCUCGCGUCCGCAUGGCCAUCAAGACGGAGAUUGGAAAAGUUUUUUUGUAUCUCAUCUUUAGCUCAAUCAUCUCCAGACGCAAGGAUAUCUUCCCCUCGUGGAUCUAGUCUCUGUAUGGGCAGGAUUGACUUCUAUGGGUGAUGAUGCAUCGACAAAGAAUUUCCCCAACCCUAGCCGAGGGGAGAGGGUAUGCUUCAUAUCAUUCCUCCUGAGGGGCGUAGGAUUCCCAAUCCACCCUUACGUAGGGGCCUACUGGAAUAUUACGGGAUCUACCUACACAACCUCACACCAGGUCCCGUUCUGCAUAUUUCUAGUUUCAUUGCCCUUUGCGAAUUAUUUUUAGGCUGCGAGGCUCAUUUUGAACUAUGGAAAAAGUUAUUUUGCCUCGUCCCCCACCACUAGGGCAGAGGGUGUAUAUUUGAAGUGGGCAGCGCCGAAGUAUGGCGUAUAGCCGGAUUUGGUUACCCAGUCGGGACUCCGAAGUGGGGGUCCGACGAAUGGUCUUCGGAAUGGUUUUACAUUGAGGAUGUUCCUCUUCCGGACCCUGUUUGGAGUAGACUUCCCGAAUUCUCCAGCGCUCCCUUGAAGAAGCUAUUCAGCUAGCAUCCCAAGUCCUCCGGACAAGAGGAUAGUGCGAAAGUGAUGAGAUUGUUUAGCAAGGUCAGAUUAUUGACCCACUUCGGACUCUCCAUGGUUGAAGUCAUGGCUAUUGCAAUAAAGUGGUGUAUCCAGCCUCUUCAGUCCCGAGUGGGUCCUUUAUGGAACUACAAUGGGGAGGAUGAUGCGUCUCGCUAUACACGAAAGGGUUUGGACAACCAAGCCACAUUGGCUGACUUGUUGAUGGAUCUUUAUAAGGGAGAAGAAGAAGACUUUGCCCGUUUAAAUUGCAGGGAGGGUUUCUCCAUGUACAACCCCAUUAACUGCAUAAGCUUAGUCAUUCAACACCUUUUUUUAUCAUUGGGAUGCAUUAACUGAAUACUCUAGUUGCUUUAAAACAGUCAUGGAGGAAGGUAGUCAAGAACAUUUAUUGCCCUCCUCCCCAGCCAGAAGACCAUGCACGUCAUGAAGACCCCGGAUUCCAUGAGGAUCCGGAUAUAUUCGUGGAAUUUGAAGAUGAAGUUUAUUACCAGGCGAGCUUUGACGGCUCGGAAGUAGCCAUCAUGGCCGAUUACCCCGAUCUCUACCGCUUUGUUAAGGUAAGUGUCCGGAAAUGAAAAAAGGGUGACAUUUCCGCUCAUAACUUUGCCCUCCGCACUGGGUCGUGUCUUGUAGGAUGGGCACUCAGCGAGCCAUACCCAAGGUAGGGCAACAAGAAGGACGACACCCUCAAGGAGUUGACGUGUGAAGCGAAAGGAAGCGGGAGGUCCACUGAGCCUGCUCCAUCACCAAAAAGGUAUAUUCCUUAUUUUAUACUUGGGCGUAAGGCCGAAUUGUCGUUUUCAUCCUCCCUCUAUCAUCUCAGGAGAGGUAUACGGUGAACCGUGCCAAAGAUCCCAGCAAGCCGAGCCACAGCCAAUGUGAUGCCGAAUUUGUCAACUAGGACGAGGGUGCAUACAGGGGUCACACCAACUCAUCCACCUUAGGAAGAUCCGGAUGAAGUGUCCAUCACUAACUCUGAGGUGGAGAGCGUGAUAAAUCACCGCCGCUUAAAAGAAACCCUGCGUGCCUUGGUCUUUUCGGAGGAAGAGUUUUCCGCUCUCAGCACCGUGGGCAUGUAUAUCCGAGCUGCCCGGGAUGUACUUACGGGUGUUACUAACCUAUUCUCAAAGGAUAUCCAUGUGAAAAUUUAUGCAAAUCUAAGAUAUAGAUACCAAUAGCCCCCAAGACUUAAAGUGGUAGGAACCAACCGAUUUGAGGAUCGUUUAUGACCGCAGGUUCUCAAGGAGAAGAAUAGCGCAUUAUCCCAGGAGCUCAAGACAAGCCGAACACAGCUGAAUGUUGCUGUCACCGAGCUUGAAGAAAGGAAGAGUGCCCCAAUGACUGGGGGAAAAGAUAAAAAACUAGAAGAGGAAGUGAAGAAGCAGGCUGAAGAUAAUAGAGCUUAAAGGCUCAACUCUUGGAGGCGCAAUAGGAAAACCAAAAGCUGAAGGGCGACAUAUUUGGUAUGACUUUUGAACCAUUUGGAGUAUUGGUCUAAUCAUACAAUACGGAAUGUUAUAAUUCAGUUUUGUACAGGUAUGUUAACCAGCCACCAAGGAGAGGAAGUGUCCGGGCUUCAAAGCGACGUUUUAAAAGAACUAUCAAAGUUGCAUGAGCGUGCCCGGAAAGCCAUGAAGAACAUGGACAAAGCCUUAUGGCCAUCUGAUGCCCCACCAGAAAGUAUGGAGGGGUUGAGAGAUCUAUUCAAGGGUGCUGGGCGUCACUUCGAGCUAUGGAAGACGUCUGCGUAUCGGGAAGGUGCGCGAGAGGCAUGGGCCAUGGUGAACACAUGCUACACCGGACUUGAUCCGAAUCAUAUGCCCGAGUUGGACCUCAGGGACCGGAUGGGAAAGACAUUCCUAUAAACUUGGUAUAUGACCAAGUAAUGACAGCAGCGAAAUAUUUGCAACAAGAUUGUAAGCUAGAUAGCCUUUUAGAUGGUGUAGAAAGAGACUAGGUGUUCGAUUCUAUGUAUCAAUGUACUUUAUGACUGAACUUAUCUCCUGCCGAACUUAUAAUUUUUUUUGUCAUCUCAGACCUUCGGCUUCCAUCUCUGAACCAAGAAGUUGGAGUGUUUCCGUAUACUAUAUUUAACUAAGAAAUGUUUAGUAUCUUCCAAAACCAGGCAAUCCGGGCAUAUUGCUCGAACAGACAAAAUAUGUUCGAGGAGUUAUGUUAUAUUACUAUUUAACCUAAGAAACAUCUUGUAUGAAAAAUAGUUCCGUUAGGGGUUCCUUUCCUUGGGUUAGCAUGCUAAAUGAUGCAUGCCUAGGCUCGUAUCCGAAGUACAGACAACCAAUUCCGUAAUUGUCCAGUCUGUCGUUUAUUCGCCGACCAAUUAUUUCCUUAAGAACGUUAGCUUUCGGCUUCACCCGUCUGAGGUACAGGUCCAGAUAACCCGGUUGAAACAAUCGUAGAGGUACUCCCUUUAUGCCCUAGCCGAACAAUCGGGAACAUAGGGUAUAAACACAGGAGUAAGGCAACCCAGCUUGGCAAAAACUUAAGUCAUAGACGUGCAUAAAUGAAGGAAAUAUGCCCUAGAGGCAACAAUAAAGUUAUUAUUUAUUUCCUUAUAUCAUGAUAAAUGUUUAUUAUUCAUGCUAGAAUUGUAUUAACCAUAAACAUAAUACAUGUGUGAAUACAUAGACAAACAGAGUGUCACUAGUAUGCUUCUACUUGACUAGCUUGUUGAUCAAAGAUGGUUAUGUUUCCUAACCAUAGACAUGUGUUGUCAUUUGAUUAACGGGAUCACAUCAUUAGGAGAAUGAUGUGAUUGACAUGACCCAUUCCGUUAGCUUAGCACACGAUCGUUUAGUAUAUUGCUAUUGCUUUCUUCAUGACUUAUACAUGUUCCUAUGACUAUGAGAUUAUGCAACUCCCGUUUACCGGAGGAACACUUUGUGUGCUACCAAACGUCACAACGUCACUGGGUGAUUAUAAAGGAGCUCUACAGGUGUCUCCAAAGGUACAUGUUGGGUUGGCGUAUUUCGAGAUUAGGAUUUGUCACUCCGAUUGUCGGAGAGGUAUCUCUGGGCCCUCUCGGUAAUGCACAUCACUUAAGCCUUGCAAGCAUUGCAACUAAUGAGUUAGUUGUGAGAUGAUGUAUUAUGGAACGAGAAAAGAGACUUGCUGGUAACGAGAUUGAACUAGGUAUUGAGAUACCGACGAUCGAAUCUCGGGCAAGUAACAUACCGAUAACAAAGGGAACGACGUAGGUUGUUAUUCGGUUUGACCGAUAAAGAUCUUCGUAGAAUAUGUGGGAGCCAAUAUGAGCAUCCAGGUUCCGCUAUUGGUUAUUGACCGGAAAUGUGUUUCGGUCAUGUAUACAUUGUUCUCGAACCUGUAGGGUCCACACGCUUAAGGUUUCGAUGACAGUUAUAUUAUGAGUUUAUGAGUUUUGAUGUACCAAAGGAGUUCGGAGUCCCGGAUGAGAUCGGGGACAUGACGAGGAGUCUCGAAAUGGUCGAGACAUAAAGAUCGAUAUAUUGGAUGACUAUAUUCGGAGUUUGGAAAGGUUCCGAGUGAUUCGGGUAUUUUUCGGAGUACCGGAGAGUUACGGGAAUUCGCCGGGGAGUAUAUGGGCCUUAUUGGGCCAUACGGGAAUAGAGGAGAGAGGCCGAAAGGAAGGAGGCGCGCAGCCCCCCUCUUGUCCGAAUUGGACAAGGGGUGCAGCCCCCUUUUCCUUCCUCCUCUCCCCCUCUUUCCUUCUCUCCUACUCCAGCAAGGAAGGGGGGAGUCCUACUCCUGGUGGGAGGAGGACUCCUCCUGGCGCGCCCCUCCUGGCCGGCCGACCCCCUCCCCCUGGCUCCUUUAUAUACGGGGGCAGGGGGGCACCUCAAGGCACAACAACAAUUGAUCCUUGAGAUCUCUUAGCCGUGUGCGGUGCCCCCCUCUACCAUAGUCCUCAAUAAUAUUGUAGCGGUGCUUAGGCGAAGCCCUGCGACAGUAGAACAUCAAGAUCGUCACCACGCCGUCGUGCUGACGGAACUCUUCCUCGACACUUUGCUGGAUCGGAGCCCGGGGAUCGUCAUCGAGCUGAACGUGUGCUAGAACUCGGAGGUGCCGUAGUUUCGGUGCUUGAUCGGUCGGGCCGUGAAGACGUACGACUACAUCAACCGCGUUGUUAUAACGUUUCCGCUUUCGGUCUACGAGGGUACAUGGACAUACUCUCCUCUCUCAUUGCUAUGCAUCACCAUGAUCUUGCGUGUGCGUAGGAUUUUUUUUUGAAAUUACUACGUUCCCCUGCAGUGGCAUCCAAGCCUGGUUUUAUGCGUAGAUGUCAUAUACACGAGUAGAACACAAGUGAGUUGUGGGCGAUACAAGUCAUACUGCUUACCAGCAUGUCAUACUUUGGUUCGCUGGUAUUAUUGGAUGAAGCGGCCCGGAAUGACAUUACACGUACGCUUACGUGAGACUGCUUCUACCGACGUGCUUUGCACAAAGGUGGCUGGCGGGUGUCAGUUUCUCCAACUUUAGUUGAACCGAGUGUGGCUACACCCGGUCCUUGCGAAGGUUAAAACAACACCAACUUGAAAAAGUAUCAUUGUGGUUUUGAUGCGUAGGUAAGGACGGUUCUUGCUAAGCCCGUAGCAGCCACGUAAAACUUGCAACAACAAAGUAGAGGACGUCUAACUUGUUUUUGCAGGGCAUGUUGUGAUGUGAUAUGGUCAAGACAUGAUGCUAAAUUUUAUUGUAUGAGAUGAUCAUGUUUUGUAACAGAGUUAUCGGCAACUGGCAGGAGCCAUAUGGUUGUCGCUUUAUUGUAUGCAAUGCAAUCGCCCUGUAAUGCUUUACUUUAUCACUAAGCGGUAGCGAUAGUCGUAGAAGCAUAAGAUUGGCGAGACGACAACGAUACUACGAUGGAGAUCAAGGUGUCACGCCGGUGACGAUGGUGAUCAUGACGGUGCUUCGAAGAUGGAGAUCACAAGCACAAGAUGAUGAUGGCCAUAUCAUAUCACUUAUAUUGAUUGCAUGUGAUGUUUAUCUUUUAUGCAUCUUAUCUUGCUUUGAUUGAUGGUAGCAUUAUAAGAUGAUCCCUCACUAAAUUAUCAUAGUAAAAGUGUUCUCCCUGAGUAUGCACCGUUGCGGAAGUUCUUCGUGCUGAGACACCACGUGAUGAUCGGGUGUGAUAGGCUCUACGUUCAAAUACAACGGGUGCAAAACAGUUGCACACGCAGAAUACUCAGGUUAAACUUGACGAGCCUAGCAUAUAACAGAUAUGGCCUCGGAACACGGAGAACGAAAGGUUGAUCGUGAAUCAUAUAGUAUAUAUGAUCAACAUAUUGAUGUUCACCGUUGAAACUACUCCAUCUCAUGUGAUGAUCGGACAUGGUGUAGUUGAUAUGGAUCACGUAAUCACUUAGAGGAUUAGAGGGAUGUCUGCCUAAGUGGGAGUUCUUAAGUAAUAUGAUUAAUUGAACUUAAAUUUAUCAUGAACUUAGUCCUGGUAGUAUUUUGCAAAUUAUGUUGUAGAUCAAUAGCUUGCAUUCUUGCUUUCAUAUGUUUAUUUUGAUAUGUUCCUAGAGAAAAUUGUGUUGAAAGAUGUUAGUAGCAAUGAUGCGGAUUGGAUCUGUGAUCUGAGGUUUAUCCUCAUUGCUACACAGAAGAAUUAUGUCCUUAAUGCACCACUAGAUGACAGACCUAUUGUAGGAGCAGAUGCAGACGUUAUGAACGUUUGGCUAGCUCAAUAUGAUGACUACUUGAUAGUUUAGUGCACCAUGCUUAAUGGCUUAGAAUCGGGACUUCAAAGACGUUUUGAACGUCAUGGACCAUAUGAGAUGUUCCAGGAGUUGAAGUUAAUAUUUCAAGCAAAUACCCGAGUUGAGAGAUAUGAAGUCUCCAACAAGUUUUAUGGCUAAAAGAUGGAGGAGAAUCGCUCAACUAGUGAGCAUGUGCUCAGAUUGUCUGGGUACUACAAUCGCUUGAAUCAAGUGGGAGUUAAUCUUCCAGAUAAGAUAGUGAUUGACAGAGUUCUCUAGUCACCAUCACCAAGUUAGUAGAACUUUGUGAUGAACUAUAGUAUGCAAGGGAUGUCGAAAACGAUUCCUGAGCUCUUCGUGAUGUUGAAAUCGACGAAGGUAGAAAUCAAGAAAGAGCAUCAAGUGUUGAUGGUUGACAAGAUCACUAGUUUCAAGAAAAAGGUCAAAGGGAAAGAAAGGGGAAUUUCAACUAGAGUGACAAGCAAGUUGUCACACCCAUGAAGAAGCCCAAAGCUAGACCAAAGCCUAAAACUGAGUACUUCUACUGCAAAGGAAAUGGUUACUGGAAGCGGAAAUGCCAUGAAUAUUUGGUGGAUAAGAAGGAUGGCAAAGUGAACAAAGGUUAUAUUUGAUAUACAGGUUAUUGAUGUGUACCUUACUAGUGUUUAUAGUAGCCCCUGAGUAUUUGAUACUUGUUCAAUUGCUGAGAUUAGUAACUCGAAACAGGAGUUACAGAAUAAACAGAGACUAGUUGAGGGUGAAGUGACGAUGUAUGUUGGAAGUGGUUCCAAGAUUGAUAUGAUCAUCAUCGCACACUCCCUAUACUUUCGGGAUUAGUGUUAAACCUAAAUAAAUGUUAUUUGGCAUUUGCGUUAAGCAUGAAUAUGAUUUGAUCAUGUUUAUUGCAAUACGGUUAUUCAUUUAAAGUCAGAGAAUAAUUGUUAUUCUGUUUACAUGAAUAAAACCUUCAAUGGUCAUACACCCAAUGAAAAUAGUUUGUUGGAUCUCCAUCGUAGUGAUAUACAUAAUCAUAAUAUCAAUGCCAAAAGAUGCAAAGUUGAUAAUGAUAGUGCAACUUAUUUGUGGCACUGCCGUUUGGGUCAUAUCGGUGUAAAGCGCAUGAAGAAACUCCAUAAAAUAUGGAUUUUUGGAAUCACUUGGUUAUGAAUCAUUUGAUGCUUGUGAAACCAUGCCUUAUGGGCAAGAUGACUAAAACUCCGUUCUCCGGAACAAUGGAACGAGCUACUGACUUGUUGGAAAUAAUACAUACUGAUGUAUGUGGUCCAAUGAGUGUUGAUGCUCAUGGCAAGUAUCGUUAUUUUCUGACCUUCACAGAUGAUUUGAGCAGAUAUGGGUAUAUGUACUUAAUACAAGUCUGAAACAUUUGAAAAAGUUCAAAGAAUUUCAGAGUGAAGUGGAGAAUCAUCGUAACAAGAAAAUAAAAUUUCUACGAUUUGAUCGUGGAGGAGAAUAUUUGAGUUACGAGUUUGGUCUUCAAUUAAAACAAUGUGGAAUAGUUUCACAAACUCAUGCCACCUGGAACACCACAGCUUAAUGGUGUGUCCGAACGUCGUAACCGUACUUUAUUGGAUAUAGUGCAAUCUAUGAUGUCUCUUAUCGGUUUACCACUAUCAUUUUUGGGGUUAUGCAUUAGAGAAAGUUGCAUUCACUUUAAAAAGGGCACCAUCGAAAUCUGUUGAGACGACGCCUUAUGAACUGUGGUUUGGCAAGAAACCAAAAGUUGUCAUUUCUUAAAAGUUUGGGGCUACGAUGCUUAUAUGAAAAAGUUUCAACCUGAUAAGCUCGAAUCCAAAUCGGAGAAGUGCGUCUUCAUAGGAUACCUAAGAGGAAACUAUUGGGUACACCUUCUAUCACAGAUCCGAAGGCAAUAUAUUCGUUGCUAAGAUGGAUCUUUUCUAGAGAAGAAGUUUCUCUCGAAAGAAGUGAGUGGGAGGAAAGUAGAACUUGAUGAGGUAAUUGUACCUUCUCCCUUAUUGGAAAGUAGUUCAUCACAGAAAUCAGUUAUAGUGAUUCCUACACCAAUUAGUGAGGAAGUUAAUGAUGAUGAUCAUGAAACUUCAGAUCAAGUUGCUACCAAACCUCGUGGGUCUUCCAGAGUAAGAUCCGCACCAGAGUGGUACGGUAAUCCUGUUCUGGAAGUCAUGUUACUAGACCAUGAUGAACCUACGAACUAUGAGGAAACGAUGAUGAGCCCAGAUCCACGAAAAUGGCUUGAGACCAUGAAAUCUGAGAUGGGAUCCAUGUAUGAGAACAAAGUGUGGACUUUGGUUGUCUUGCCCGAUGAUCGGCAAGCUAUAGAAAAUAAAUGGAUUUUCAAGAGGAAGAUGGACGCUGAUAGUAGUGUUACUAUCUACAAAGCUCAACUUAUCGCAAUUUUUUUUCGACAAGUUCAAGGUGUUGAAUACGAUGAGAUUUUCUCACUCAUAUUGAUGCUUAAGUCUGUCCGAAUCAUGUUAGCAAUUGCCACAUUUUAUGAAAUCUGGCAAAUGGAUGUCAAAACUGCAUUCUUUAAUGGAUUUAUUAAAGAAGAGUUGUAUAUGAUGCAACCGGAAGGUUUUGUCAAUCCUAAAGGUGCUAACAAAAUGUGCAAGCUCCAGCGAUCCAUCAAUGGACUGGUGCAAGCAUCUCGGAGUUGGAAUAUAUGCUUUGAUGAGUUGAUCAAAGCAUAUGGUUUUAUGCAGACUUUUGGAAAGGCAUGUAUUGACAAGAAAGUGAGUGGGAGCACUACAACCUUUCUGAUAAGUAUAUGUGAAUGACAUAUUAUUAAUUGGAAAUGAUGUAGAAUUUUCUGGAAAGCAUAAAGGAGUGUUUGAAAGGAGUUUUUCAAAGAAAGGCCUCAGUAAAGCUACUUACAUAUUGAGCAUCAAGAUCUAUUGAGAUAGAUCAAGACGCUUGAUAAGAUUUUCAAUUAGUACAUACCUUGACAAGAUCUUGAAGUAGUUCAAAAUGGAACAGUCAAAGAAAGAGUUCUUGCCUAUGAUGCAAAGGUGUGAAGUUGAGUAAGACUCAAAACCCGACCAUGGCAGAAAAUAGAAAGAGAAUGAAAAGGCAUUCCCUAUGCCUCAGUCAUAGGUUCUAUAAAGUAUGCUAUGCUGUGUAACAGACCUAUUGUAUAUCUUGCUCUGAGUUUGGCAAAGGAAUACAAUUUUGAUCUUAGAGUAGAUCACUGGACAGCGGUCAAGAAUAUCCUUAGUGAGGACUAAGGAGAUGUUUCUUGAUUGUGGUGGUGAUAAAAGAGUUUGUCGUAAAGAGUUACAUCGAUGCAAGCUUUUACACCGAUCCAGAUGACUCUAAGUCUCAAUCUGGAUACAUAUUGAAAGUGGGAGCAAUUAGCUAGAGUAGCUCCGUGCAGACAAUUGUAGACAUAGAAUAUUUGCAAAAUACAUACGGCUCUAAAUGUGACAGACCCAUUGACUAAACUUUUCUCACGAGCAAAACAUGAUCAUACCUUAGUACUCUUUUGGGUGUUAAUAACAUAGCAAUGUGAACUAGAUUAUUGACUCUAGUAAACGCUUUGGGUGUUGAUCACAUGACGAUGUGAACUAUGGGUAUUAAUCACAUAUAGAUGUGAAUAUUGGUGUUAAAUCACAUGCUGAUGUGAACUAGAUUAUUGACUCUAGUGCCAGUGGGAGACUGAAGGAAAUAUGCUCUAGAGGCAAUAAUAAAGUUAUUAUUUAUUUCCUUAUAUCAUGAUAAAUGUUUAUUAUUCAUGCUAGAAUUGUAUUAAUCGGAAACAUAAUACAUGUGUGAAUACAUAGACAAACAGAGUGUCACUAGUAUGCCUCUACUUGACUAUCUUGUUGAUCAAAGAUGGUUAUGUUUCCUAACCAUAGACAUGUGUUGUCAUUUGAUUAACGGGAUCACAUCAUUAGGAGAAUGAUGUGAUUGACAUGACCCAUUCCGUUAUCUUAGCACACGAUCGUUUAGUAUAUUGCUAUUGCUUUCUUCAUGACUUAUACAUGUUCCUAUGACUAUGAGAUUAUGCAACUCCCGUUUACCGGAGGAACACUUUGUGUGCUACCAAACGUCACAAUGUCACUUGGUGAUUAUAAAGGAGCUCUACAGGUGUCUCCAAAGGUACAUGUUGGGUUGGCGUAUUUCGAGAUUAGGAUUUGUCACUCCGAUUGUCAGAGAGGUAUCUCUGGGCCCUCUCGGUAAUGCACAUCACUUAAGCCUUGCAAGCAUUGCAACUAAUGAGUUAGUUGUGAGAUGAUGUAUUACGGAACGAGAAAAGAGACUUGCCGGUAACGAGAUUGACCUAGGUAUUGAGAUACCGACGAUCGAAUCUCGGGCAAGUAACAUACCGAUGACAAAGGGAACGACGUAUGUUGUUAUUUGGUUUGACCGAUAAAGAUCUUCAUAGAAUAUGUGGGAGCCAAUAUGAGCAUCCAGGUUCGCUAUUGGUUAUUGACCGGAAACGUGUUUCAGUCAUGUCUACAUUGCUCUCGAACUCGUAGGGUCCGCACGCUUAAGGUUUCGAUGACAGUUAUAUUGUGAGUUUAUGAGUUUUGAUGUACCGAAGGAGUUCGGAGUCCCGGAUAAGAUCGGGGACAUGACGAGGAGUCUCGAAAUGGUCGAGAUGUAAAGAUCGAUAUAUUGGACGACUAUAUUCGGAGUUCGGAAAGGUUCCGAGUGAUUCGGGUAUUUUUUGGAGUACCGGAGAGUUACUGGAAUUCGCCGGGGAGUAUAUGGGCCUUAUUGGGCCAUACGGGAAUAGAGGAGAGAGGCCGAAAGGAAGGAGGCGCGCAGCCCCCCUCUGGUCCGAAUUGGACAAGGGGUGCAGCCCGCUUUUCCUUCCUCCUCUCCCCCUCUUUCCUUCUCUCCUACUCCAACAAGGAAGGGGGGAGUCCUACUCCCGGUGGGAGGAGGACUCCUCCUGGCGCGCCCCUCCUGGCCGGCCGACCCCCUCCCCCUGGCUCAUUUAUAUACGGGGGCAAGGGGGCACCUCAAGGCACAACAACAAUUGAUCCUUGAGAUCUUUUAGCCGUGUGCGGUGCCCCCUCCACCAUAGUCCUCGAUAAUAUUGUAGCGGUGCUUAGGCGAAGCCCUGCGACAGUAGAACAUCAAGAUCGUCACCACGCCGUCGUGCUGACGGAACUCUUCCCCGACACUUUGCUGGAUCGGAGUCCGGGGAUCGUCAUCGAGCUGAACGUGUGCUAGAACUCGGAGGUGUCGUAGUUUCGGUGCUUGAUCGGUCGGGCCGUGAAGACGUACGACUACAUCGACCGCGUUGUUAUAACGCUUCCGCUUUCGGGAUACGAGGGUACGUGGACAUACUCUCCUCUCUCGUUGCUAUGCAUCACCAUGAUCUUGCGUGUGCGUAGGAAUUUUUUUUGAAAUUACUACGUUCCCCUUCAGUGGCAGAAGCAACAAUCGUCAUGGACAAAGAAGCUUAUAAGCUUUCAAUAAAGUGCUUCGUUAAAGAGGCCCCCAUGUAUGGUGAGGUGUAUGCAUUUAAAGAUGUGCACCCCGAAUAAUGCGGUUGAUCCGAACGUACAUUUGAGAAGGAAAAGGAAAAAAUCAAAAAGGGAGAGAAAAAGGAAAAAACCUAGUUAAGAUGAAACCUAAGGAGGCCUAACUAUGCGUAGAAUCUUCGGAGCCGGGUAGCGUUCCAUGGGUUCAGCUCAAGGCGAUUAUCCGCUGCAUUGCGAAGGCGAUAGACUCCUCCAAUAAGGAAUUCAUCUAUGACGAAGGGCCCCUCCUAUUUGGGUUUGAGCUUGUCCUUUUUAUUUUUCAGGAGGCGUAAAACAAGUUCUCCAACAUUGUAUGUCUUAGCUCACACUUCUCUGCUUUGGUAAUGCCUGACCUAUUAUUGAUAAAUUACAGAACGAGCCUUAGCAACAUCGCGCUCCUCUUCGAGUCCGUCUAGGUCAUCCUGCCGAUCUAAUUCGGCUUCUCUCUCUUCAUACAUGCGCACUCUAGGUGAGUCAUGAAUAAUGUCAUAGGGCAAUACGGCCUCUGCGCCGUACACCAUAAAGAAGGGUGUAUAUCCGGUAGUUCGACUGGGUGUGGUCUGGAGUCCCCAGAGUACGAAAUCGAGUUCCUCAACCCAGUGCUUGUAUGAUUCUCGCAAAGAGCGCAUGAGUCUAGGCUUAAUGCUACUCAUGAUCAGACCAUUGGCCCUUUCGACUUGGCCGUUUGUUUGAGGGUGGUAUACGGAUGCAUAGUUGAGUUUAAUGCCCAACUUAGCACACCAAGUUUUCACCUCAUCAGCUAUAAAGUUGGAGCCAUUAUCAGUGAUGAUACUAUGCGGGACACCAUAACGAUGGACUACGCCGAAUAUAAAGUCAAUCACUGGCCCUGCCUCAGCUGUUUUUACCGGUUUGGCCUCUAUCCACUUAGUGAAUUUAUCCACCAUUACCAGCAAGUAUUUCUUUUUGUGGCUUCCCCCUUUAAGGGGUUCAACCAUAUCAAGCCCCCAAACCGCGAAGGGACAAGUAAUGGGGAUUGUUCUUAAUGCGGUGGGAGACAUGUGACUUUGAUUGGCGAAAAGCUGGCAGCCCACGCAAUGCUGGACAAGGGCUUGAGCAUCUGCUCGAGCCAUGGGCCAGAAAAAACCUAUCCUGAACGCCUUGCUUACAAGGGCUCAAGCUGCGGCGUGAUGACCACCCAGGCCAGCAUGUAUUUCUACCAAGAGUUGCCUUCCCUCCUCUUCAGAGAUACACCUUUAGAGUACUCCGGUAGUGCUCUUUUUGUAUAGUUCACCCUCAUGCAUCGAGCUUCAUUUUGAUCGUUGGGAAGUUCCUGCCUAUUAAGGUAGGCCAGGAAUGGUUCGGUCCAGGGGCGACAACAACCAUGAUCUCAUGAGCAGAGGGUGUUAUCUCGAUAUCCAGACCCCCAACGUUGUCUGCAUUGUGUUCGGCAGCUGGGGGUGUGAUCAAGUCCGUACUGCCUUCUCUGCUUUCACCCUGCCAUACUACGGAUGGCUUAAAGAGCCUUUCCACGAAAGUGUUAGGUGGCACAGGGUCACGCUUAGCGCCCAUAUGAGCGAGGAUAUCGGCUUCCUGAUUACUCUCUCGAGCGACGUGAUGAAACUCAGGUCCUUUGAACCGAGCUGGUAUUUUUAAUAUGGCGUUUCCAUAUGCCGCCAUUUUUUGGUCCUUUGCGCUGAACUCUCCAUUGACCUGGGAUAUUGCGAGGUUGGAAUCACCGCGCACCUUCAUGCGUUGUAUACCCAUGGAGACAACCAUGCGAAGACCAUGUAGCAGCGCCUCAUAUUUGGCGGCAUUGUUGGAGUCCGUAUACAUAAUUUGUAAUACAUAGCAGACUGUGUCCCCCAUAGGAGAUGUUAGGAUGACGCCAGUCCCCAGGCCGGCCAGCAUUUUGGAACUAUCAAAGUACAUAAUCCAAUUGGAGUAUGAGCUAUACUCUUUAGGGAGUUCGGCAUCCGUCCAUUUGGCGACAAAGUUGGCCAACACCUGGGAUUUAAUAGCCCGGUGUGGCUUGUAUACUAUUUCGAAUGGUAAAAGCUCGAUGGCCCAUUUGGCUAUGCGCCCAGUGGCGUCCCUGUUAUUGAUAAUGUCAUUGAGUGGUACUUGGGAUGCCACUGUGACCGAACACUCUUGAAAGUAGUGUCGUAGUUUUCGGGAUGCCAUGAAGACUGUGUAGGCUAUCUUCUGAUAGUGGGGGUAUCGAAUUUGCAAGGUGUAAAGACCUCUGAUACAUAAUAGACUGGUUUUUGGGUGGGGAAUUUAUGUCCCUCUUCCCCUCAUUCGACGACGAGUACAACACUAACUACUUGGUUAGUUGCCGAGAUGUAUAAUAACAUAGGCUCACUAACACUUGGGGCAGCUAGGAUUGGGUUGCUUGUGAGUAGAGCCUUGAUUUCUUCCAAUCCGGCUGUUACAUCGUCUGUUCAUUCAAAAUUAUCAGUGCGUCAUAAUAGCUUGUAGAGUGGUAAUGCUUUUUCUCCCAAUUUGGUGAUAAAACGGCUUAAGGCCACAACGCACCCUGCUAGUUUUUGGACUUGCUUUAGGUCUGUUCGUAUAGCCAAUUGUGAUAGAGCUCGGAUUUUGGCCGGGUUUGCUUCAAUUCCUCUAUGGGGAACAAUAAACCCUUGCAAUUUUCCGGCUGGUACUCCGAAGACACAUUUUUCCAGAUUAAGCCGUAUGUCGUAUGUUCGGAGGUUGUCGAAGGUGAGGCGGAUAUCGUCCACCAGUGUGUCGACGCGCUUUGUCUUGAUGACCAUGUCAUCUACGUAUCCUUCGACUGUUUUGCCAAUUUUUUUUCAAUCAAGUUUGAAUCAUACGCUGGUAGGUAGCCCCAGCGUUUUUGAGCCCAAAGGGCAUAAUGUUGAAGCAGAAGGGACCAUAAGGGGUGAUGAACAUGGUUGCGUCCUGAUCCGAUUCCUCACCUGAAUCUGAUGGUAUUCGGAAUAGGCAUCAAGGAAUCACAAAGAAUCUUGUCCUGAAGUUGUGUCAAUGAUUUGGUCGAUGCGGGGCAAUGGGAAGGGGUCUUUAGGGCAAGCCUUGUUGAGGUCUCUGAAAUUGACCCACAGGCGCCAGGAUUUGUCCUUCUUUGGUACCAUAACCAAGUUGGCUAACCAAUCUGGAUGUUUAAUUUCCCUUAUAAACCCAGCCUCUAGCAACUUGGCUAACUCUUCUCCCAUGGCUUGACGCUUUGGGUUCGGAGAAUCGCCGUAGUGUCUGCUUCACGGGUUUGAAUCCCUUGAUUACAUUGAGACUGUGUUCAGCCAGACUACGUGGGAUGUCGGGCAUGUCUGAGGGGUGCCAGGCAAAAAUAUCCCAAUUCUCUCGCAAGAAUGUGCGAAGGGCGGCGUCCACUGCCGAAUCCAGCGUGCUCCGAUAGAUGUUGUCUUGUUAGGGUCCGUCGGCUGCACUUGGAAUUUAACUAUUUCCUCAGCUGGCUUGAAAGAGGUGGAUUUGGAUCUCUUAUCGAGAAUCACACCAUCCCUAUCCACUGUGUAGCGUAGGGUGGUUAAUUCUUAAGCCGCUAGGGCUUUGGAUAGCGGCUGGAGGGCCAAGGAUGCGGUUUUGAUUUUGGCACGAAGGGCUUUGUCUGGGUCGCUCGAAAUUGUUAUGAUUCCGUCGGGUCCGGCCAUUUUAAGCUUCAUGUACCCAUAAUGGGGUAUGGCUUGGAAGCAUGAAAAGGCGUCCCAUCCCAGGAUUGCAUGGUACCCACUGUUGUAGGUGACAACAUGAAAGAGCAACUCUUCGGAUAUGUAGUUCUCAGGCAUGCCGAAUACCACAUCCAGUCUAAUUCUCCCAGAGCAUCAUGCUUCUCGAUUGAGGAUAAUGCCUCGAAAGGCGGUAUUGCUUUUCUCAAUGCAUGAUCUAUCCAUAUGCAUUUUGUCGAGUGUGUCUUCCUAGAUAAGGUUAAGCCGACUGCCGCCGUCCAUGAGCACUAUAGUGAGCUGAAAAUCAUCCACGAUGGGGUUUAGUACUAGGGCGGUGGGUGCUCGGACUGACCGAGCCUUUGGUUCGUCUUUGUCCGUAAAGGUUAUUGCUGUGUCGUUCCAUGGGCUCAGUGUGGUAACUUGGUGGACUUCGGCGAGGUCGCCGAGCACCCAUUUGCGCCGAUUAUUUGAAGAGAAGGUCUCAAAGACCGUGAGGACAUUAAAGUCAUCCUUCUCUGGAGAGUAUUUAUCUGGAGUGGUGGUGAGGAUGGCCUCUCCACUUUUUGCUACUUGUCGGAGUACCCAACAUGCUUGAAGGCUAUGGGUUGGGUCUGUGCGCAGAGUGGCAUGUAUCGGGCAGGGCUUGUCAAGGAGUUCGUCCAGAAUAGACCUAUGUCCUAUGAAGGUUUUAUUUUUCCUGCCCAUCGACUGGUGGUCGGGUGACCGCCAGGGUGUAUCCGUUUAGUCCGGGCCGCACACUGCUUAAAGGCAGCGGGCUCCAAUUGGGUUUUCUGGGCCCUCCAUGUGCUUUCCAUCGCACAAUACUUUUGUACUACAUAUGAUAGUUCCCUGAAGCUCUGUAUGUAAUGACGGUCGAGGGCAUUCAAUAUUCCCUCAUCGGUGCAAUUACGAUGAAAGGAAGAGGCACCACCUUUCCUUCUCCUACUGCCUCUCCUUCCCCCUUUCCCCCUCCGAUAAAACGAGGGGGGGCGAAUCCUACUAGGAGCCCAAGUGGGACUCCUCCCACUUGGGGCGCGCCUAGGGCCGGCCUCCUCUCCCUCCCUCCUUUAUAUUAGGCGGGGUGCCCCUAGAAGACACAGCAAUUGCUCCAAGCCGUGUGCGGCUCCCCCCUCCACAGUUUACGCCUCCGGUCAUAUUCUCGCAAUGCUUAGGUGAAGCCCUGCACGGAUCACAUCACCAUCACCGUCACCACGCCGUCGUGCUGACGAAAAUCAUCUACUCCUUCGACCCUCUGCUGGAUCAAGAGCUCGAGGGACGUCAUCGCGCUGAAUGUCUGCAGAACUCGGAGGUGUCGUAUGUUCUGUACUCAUCGGUCGGAACGUGAAGACGUUCGACUACAUCAACCACGUUAAGCAAAAGCCUCUGCUUUCGGUCUACGAGGGUACAUGGACACACUCUCCCCCUCCCGUUGCUAUGUAUCUGCAAGAUAGAUCUUGCGUGAGCGUAGGAAUUUUUUUGAAAUUGCAUGCUACGUUUCCCAACAGUGGCAUCCGAGCCAGGUCUAUGCGUAGAUGAUAUGCACGAGUAGAACACAAAGAGAUGUGGGCGGUGAUCGUCAUACUGCUUACACCAAUGUCUUAUUUUGAUUUGGCGGUAUUGUUGGAUGAAGCGGCCCGGACCAACCUUACAUGACCACGUGCACGAGACACGGUUCCACCGACAGACAUGCAACUAGUUUUGCAUAAAGGUGGAUGACGGCUGUCUUUUCUCCAACUUUAGCUGAAUCGAAUUUGACUGCGGACGGUCCUUGUGAAGGUUAAAACAGCAAACUUGAUAAAAUCACCGUUGUGGUUUUUGUGCCGUAGGUAAGUAUGGUUCUUGCUAGAAGCCCGUAGCAGCCACGUAAAACAUGCAACAACAAAGUAGAGGACGUCUAACUUAUUUUUGCAUGGCAUGUUGUGAUGUGAUAUGGUCAAGACAUGAUGUGAUAUACGUUGUUGUAUGAGAUGAUCAUGUUUUGUAGAAGUUAUUGUCAACUGGCAGGAGCCUUAUGGUUGUCGCUUUAUUGUAUGAAACACAAACGCCAUGUAAUUGCUUUACUUUAUCACUAAGCGGUAGCGAUAGUCAUAGAAGCAAUAGUUGGCAAGAUGACCACGACGCAACGAUGGAGAUCAAGGUGUCAAGCUGGUGACGAGGGAGAUCAUUACGUUGCUUUGGUGAUGGAGAUCAAAAGCACAAGAUGAUGAUAGCCAUAUUAUGUCACAUAUUUUUGAUUGCAUGUGAUGUUUAUCUUUUUGCAUCUUAUUUUUCUUAGUACGGCGGUAGCAUUAUAAGAUGAUCUCUUAACUAAAUUUCAAGGUAUAAGUGUUCUCCCUGAGUAUGCACCAUUGCGAAAGUUCUUUGUGCUGAGACACCAAGCGAUGAUCGGGAGUGAUAAGCUCUACAUUUAAAUACAAUGGGUGCAAGCCAGUUUUGCACAUACGGAAUACUCGGGUUAAACUUGACGAGCCUAGCAUGUACAGACAUGGCCUCGGAACACUAGUGACUGAAAGGUCAAACAUGCAUCAUAUAGUGGAUAUAAUCAACAUAGAGACGUUCACCAUUGAUGACUACUCCAUCUCACGUGAUGAUUGGACAAGGUUUAGUUGAUUUGGAUCACGUAUCAUUUAGAUGACUUGAGGGAUGUCUAUCUAAGUGGGAGUUCUUAAGUAAUAUAAUUAAUUGAAUUUAAUUUCUCAUGGUAUCAGCCUAACCGAUCCAACACUAGCCGUCACCCGUCCCUUCCGCUCCGUGCCGCCCCCGGUGGUCGGUCUUCAUGAUCGCCGCCGGGGGCCACUGCCCAUACCUAGGGUUCGUCCGCCGGUCAUGUUGACCGGUUACCCUAAAGAGUCUUUUUCCAGAGCCCUUGCUCAGGGUUUUUCUCUCUCCCGCCGAUCAUCUUGAUCGGCGUUUUAUUUUUUGGUUUUUUGAUCUAAGAUCAGUUUGCGUCUCCCGCCGCCGUCGACCACCGUGUGCCUCUACUCCAACACCUGCACGACCGGCCGGCUCCUACACCGACCCGGCGGCCUCGCGUGACAGGCGGCCCUUCACGGCCAUGGUCCACGCAUCUACCCGCCCGUCGCCCUGCGCCGGCCGUCGCGGCCCAGCUCCGACCGGGACCUCUCCAUCGCCACCCGCCUUCGCCGCGUCUACACGGCAGCCCUGUGGUCUGCCUCGCUGGCCUCGUCCCCGGCUGCGUCAACGACCCACCGUGUUUUUUACUCCUGUAUAUAUGUUUGAAAAGUAAUUAAAUCCACCAUGUUUGUAUGAAAGUUGUCUUGUUUGUAUGAAAUCUGACCGUGUUUGCAUGAAUUUCAUCUGUUUUGUUGAAUUUUUUUUUGAAAUGUAUGUGGCUAACUUUGGAUGGCAUCCUGCUGCAUCCGUGUCCACGGACUGGUCCCCCUCCCCUCGUCUGCGGACGGAUGUGGGGGAAAAUUUACGAGUUGCCAUUGGAGAUGCCCUAAGUAGGUGGACCGUCGUUGGGAAAUACACUUCAGAACCUGGUUGUAUAUACACCCCAUAUAUAGAAUUUUUUGAAUAAUUAAACAAAAAGUGAAAAUAGUUUAGAAGUUUUUUUAGAAUAAACUUGACUUUCCUUCGCACAAGUAUAUAAAUUUUCAGAAAAAAACCAACAUUGACUUCAGGGCAAAAGAGAUAAAAUUUAUUUGCUAUUAUAGGUGACUAUUCACACUAAUAUCACCGGAGUACUAUUUUAGCUAAAAAAUAUCUUUUUUGAAAAGAAGUCAAAGGGAGAUUUUCUUUUUAUGGAAUUUUUCUCACAAGUACAAUGAAAGCUCAAGUUUAUUUAAAAAUAUAUUUUCAAAUUCUGUUGACUUUUUAUUGAAUUACUAAUUUUCUUUCAUAUAGGGUUUAGAUACACCUAGAAACCAAACCUCCGCGUCCGAUCGUCGUUGUCAAACGCAAAAUGGGACGGAUAUUAACAUGAUAUGAAGUAAAUUAUGUGUACGAUCGAUCUAUCCACCUACCAUGCAUGCAUUGAGAAAAGCAAUGCUAGGAUCUAUGACUAAUGAAGUGUACAUAUUAAUUUCCACCGGCAAAUGUACUGAUCAGGCGGUGCAGAGUGAUUAAUGCCAGCAACGUGGGUGCUUUAUUUCUUUGACUCCAACUAAGUGGAGUGUAUAUCAAGCAUCUCCUACGAAGAAUAUCAUAUGAAAACAAACAUAUCAUGAAAACUUCAUGGAAACCAUCAUUAAUAGUUUUGAAAAAAAGGGAUGCUAAGAGGGUGAUGUUUUAUUGCUAUGCGAAAUUCCAAGUUGCAAAACAUUAUGGAAUGGGAGCUACGAAAAAACAAAUUUAGUAGUGAAUAGUAACGUUACUGUUCGGCACUAUUCAAUGGUGAUUUUGUUAUAUUUAUAGCUUACAUCCAGUAAUGUGUUUGAACUUUGAAUAAAAUAUUGUUUCAACUGUUUUGAUUGUGAACAAGUAAAUAAUAGUACGUUUACAUUUGGCUUAUAACAUAACUUGAGUGAAUUAAACUUUUUACCCGUUACUUUGGCAUUUUUGACACUAAUUAGCCGUUCACAACUUUUCAUCCAAGCUAGAUGACCCGUCACGUCCUUGCGCAGAGACCAAAUGCAACCAAAAAGUUAGGUGAACUAUUAGAUUUUUUUUCUGUACAUGCAAAAUACGAUGACCUGUUGUGUCCUUGGUGCACAAACCAAGUGCAAUUGAAAGUUAGGCGAACUAUUUAUUAUUAUUUUUGGCUGCCCAUAAGAAGGAUUGAAUUGAAUGUAUGAUGAAAUUUUAACCGUCCUGCUCAGUUUUUCAAGAAGAUGCAUAGAGUACACUCAACUGGGCUUGAUAGAUAGUCAGGUUUGAGACUAGCCGGUACCAAGUCCGUUGCCCUCUCAAACUUAAAGCCGCCCUUGGCCUUGAGGAUGAAUAACAGCCGAGCUAGCCAUUCCCAAGGAGUUAGCGCUGGGAGGGCGCAACGCCGCAUGGAGUUCCACGCGAAUCUUGUGGAAAAUUAGUUCAAAUGUGAUAUAAAGUCUGCAAGACGAAGUGAUAAAUAGCGAAGGAUUUGUUUUAGAGAACUAAGUUCUUGGGAUGGGUUAGAUGUCAAACUCCCAAUACCUAUGAUUUUUUGGGAAUUAAGUUUGGGAUCUGUUAGAUGCCAAUCUCCCAAUGCCUAUGAAUUUGGGAAUUAAUUUUGGGAUGGGUUUUUAGCCACUAACUUUUGAGGAUGAAUCACAGUUGCCAGAUGCCCAACAUUCGUUCCUGGUGGGGGUGCUGCGAUGGCACCCCAUAGGUCAUCUUCUGCUUUUGUGCCUUAGGUGCACUUGAUCUUGAUGAUUUUAAAACUAUAGUUGACAAAAUUGAAUAGCAAAAACAUAUAAAUUAUUAAGACUUAUGGUAGACCUGCACAUGGGCGAUAGAACAAAUGCACCAAGACAACGGAAUAAAACUCACGGGGUUGCUUUGGUUGCACCACCGGACACUAUUCACGUCUAGAUUUAUCUUUUCAUUUGUAUUUAGAUAGAAUUCGGAUUUGGGACAUUUAGAGAUUGUGGAUAUGUGAACAUUCACAAUUUUUCAGAUUUUUAUAAACUUCCGAGUUUAUUAUGUAGUGGGAUCAUGGUAUCACUAAUAGUGUGGUAUCACAUGAUGCUUUCCCCAGAGUGCAGGACGAUAGACCACAUACAUUCUCCUUUGCACAUUUUCACCCCAUAAUAAGCAUAUGUAUUGAGAAGUAGUAACAUUCCAAUGGUUACCAUCACAACCCAGAACAAGUCUCGUUUCUCUCAAUUUUCCUUUCCAUAUCCGCUCUUGGGAGCUUAAUCAUAGAAUAUUUUUUUGGACACCACAUCUUCAUUUGGUCUCGUAUAAGAAUCAUAUGUAAGUCGUUAGUUAUGUUGCCUUCGCCGGUCAGAAAAUCAUCACUGGAUUCAGCAAGUUGAUACCGUCAAGUUUUUUUCCCUUGCAUUUAGUUACAAAAUUACAAAUGUGCCGCGUUGGUAUUGAAGACAUUAAUAACACUUGCUAAAAUUUCCAGCAGCAACAUGCGGGCAAGAAACUAGUUUAUAAUCAUUUUUAUAACAGCGAAUGUCAUAAAAACUUAAGCUCAUCACAUUAUUUUAUUGAUGAUUCGAUCAGUAAUCUGCUCGAUCUGUAACAAGGACAACAGAUGGAGGUGGAACACAUGCAGAAAACAACAAUGAACAGACGCAGAGAGCAGCAAUAGUAGACACCGAGUCGGCCCUAGUGUCUACCUUAGGCUAGCAGGCGACUUCAUUUUCUAUCUUAGAGGUUGGGGUGAUGCAAAUUCAUCAGAAAAAAAACUACUCAUUACCGGGGUUAAAGAGAUGGCAGGCGGCGGUUGAGCGAGGCCGGGGCGCGAGUCUGUCAUGGGAGCGCCAGCGUUUACAGGCAGCGGAGGCAAUCCGUUAGGCCUAGACUGGAUCAGCAGGGUGAGAGAAGAAUAAGAAAAAAUGUAUCGUUUGGAGGUUGAAUAUGAGCAGUGCUCAUUAAAAUUUGAUCCAACGGUUGAGAUAAGUGGAGGGAGAAUCGAUCGACCGUUUCGUUAUUUUGAGGCGACUGGCGCCAAACCAUUUCCUUAUUUUAUCCUAAAUGAUAAGUGCCAUACGUAUGUCACAAAGUAACACCGUUUUGACGUUUUUACAACUAAAAUUGCCAUAUAAAACGAAACCAAAAAACAAAAUAAAACUUGCCAUUCAAACAAAAAGUUUUCGUGCUUCACAACUGAAAUUGCUACCCCGGGUAACGAAAGUUGCCAUGUGCGGCAAUUGCCAGAAUCCUUUUAUCCUAAAUGAUAAGGGAUAGGUGCGACACGUGUGAACAAAAGCUUCUGCGUGCAAAUAAUUUCAAUGCGAUUUUGUUUGUGUGAACGUGUAGACCAGUAUCGAGCUAGUGAGCCACGUGUACCGGGAUAGCAAUUUCACUAAAAAAAGUGCCGUGUGCAGAUCUGGAAGAAGGACCAGUGUAGGUAACCGUCGUUGUCAAACAGAAAAAAGGGACGGACAUGAACAUGACACGAAGUAAAUUAUGUGUACGAUCGAUCUAUCCAUCUACCAUGCCAUGCAUCGUUGAAGGAAAAGUUUUUUUUUCUUGCGGGGGAAAGGAAAAGUUAGGAUCUAUGACUAGUGAAGUAGUAUUAAUUUCCACCGAUUUCACAGAAAAGAGUAGUAUUAAUUUCCAACGGCAUAUGCAUUGAUCAGGCGGUGCAGAGUGAUCAAUGCCAUAAACAUGCGGUUCUCUCUUAACUCCAACCCAGUGGAGUAUACUUCACGCAUAUACUCCUACUGUAGUGACUUCAUACGGAGUAUAUCAUGAAGAUUUGUAUGUAGUAUGUAUAUGAUUCAAAUAUUCUUCUUUUAGUUAUAGUAAUAUGUUCCCUACACAUCACAAACAAGUAACUCUUUUUAAUGUCUUGAGUCAAACUUUAAAAACCUCAAUGGAGUAUUUGUAAAUCAUAUGUUUAGAUUAGAGUCUCGAAAGGCAUAUUCAUGACAUUAUAAUACGAGUGAAUUCCAGUUUUUACUCCUUACUUUAACAUUUUUUACAUCAGUUAGCCCACAACAACUUCUCAUCCGGAUUGCCCCAUUUAAGAAAAAAUUUACCGGCUUUUUACUCCUAAUAUUUUUAGAGUAAUCUACCAGGUUGGAACCGUCUAUCGGUUAUAUGUGUCAUGCCACGUCGUGUUUAUUCUCCUAACAGUUAUCCUACUCCCGAACCCAGUUUGCCUCCUUUUGCCGGACCAACGUGGUGUUUAGUGACCCAUGUUGUAAACCUAUUUUUUAGAUACGCAUAAGCAUAUGUAUCAUAUAUUCAUAGAAGAAAGGGUAAGACACCCGUCCAUGGAGCUACAACGGGGCACUUAGGCCAGGUUACAUGGAUUACUCGCUAAAGACCUGCCUAAACAACCUCUGAUGAAAUAAGGACAUGUCUCCAUGAAACAACCUUGCUGUAGCCCAAGUCUGCCCCGCCUCAUAGAUCCUGCCGAGCACCACCGUGAUGGAAGGAGAACCAUUUGUCAAAAGACUAUUGCGUUGCGGUGCUUCUAGAUUUCUCAACACACGAGAAGAGUGAGAGUAUGCAGGUCCUUCCUCAUCGGAGGUGGUGUUUGCAACAAAGCUGUCCACGGCAAGAGACGGUCCAUUCCUUUUGUACAUGGUGCCCAAGCCUUGAUACCCCACGAUGCAAACACCGAAUGUCAGACGACACUUGCGAAAACGCAGGCAACAAACAGAUGAUCAAUGGUUUCCAGCAGUUGAGCGCAUAGCCGGCAAACAUCCUGAUGUGGCAAUCCGCGCCUCGCCAGCCGAUCAGAGGUACAACACCUAUUCUUGAAAGCGACCUACCUGAACAGCUUGCAACAUAGCGGAGCCGGGCAGUCCCAAACCGUCCUUGCUGCAAGGUCAUGUUCCCGAACGUAAAAACAACUCGCGUAAGCUGACCUGGUUGAAUACUAUCCAGAAGCCUCCCAUGCCCAGUGCACCAAGUCGUCCACACUGUGUCUAAGUUCCACGCCCGACACCAGGUGCCACAGCUGCAAGUAAUCCCCAAUCUCCUCAGCACUGAGAUCCGACCCAAUACCUCUCGGCCAAAGUCCAGCUAGGGCCUCAUCCACUGUCCUGGAGCUCCUAACUCUAGGACGCAUGCGCUCAUAAAUUCUUGGGGCGAUUUCCUGAACUCUCUUCCCAGAAGUAUGUGCUUCUUCCAUUCCCUACAUCAACGAAAACUGUCGCUCGAUAAACUGCCAAGGAUUAUGCCGAAAUACUAAUGUCAAACUCCGCCUGCAGCCUCUCUCCAACAACCCUCCGCAGCCACAACCAUCUCACCCUAAAUGUUGUAUUCAUCCAAUGCAAGUCAAGUAACCCUAGGCCACCAGCCCACUUAGGUGUGCAAACGAUGUUCCAGGCAACCGUGCACUACCCACCAUUCACCGCCGAGCUCCCCGCCCAGAAGAAGCCUCUAAAGAUUUUAUUUAUGGUGGCAAGCAUCUCCGCCUUAUUGAUCGAAACUUUGGAGUCAGCAUGUAUUAUAUCUCAAUUCAUGCCAUCCUCAUAUAAAUGCAUAGUUAAAACAAUAUUAGUAAACCAAAAGCAUUGCAUAAUUACUCAAAUGAGUUCUUAAAUUGGUGUUGCAAACUAAAUGUCACCAAACAAUUGGCCUAGUAUUUUUCCUAGGCCCUCCAUGCCAUAAUAAACCCCUUUGAUUAAUUUCAAUUAUUUAGAAUAAUUUUGAUAUUUGAAUGAAGUGAUAAUUGUUCAAAUUCAAAUAUUUAUAGAAUUAUAAAUUAUAUUGUUGGUGAUAAGUUCCUUGAUGAGAUUUCAUGAAAAUCAAUAUUUGAGGCUUAUAUGGUAGUGAGUAGUUCUAGUAAAAUUUUCAUCAAUUUUGAGGUCAUCUCACCUACUUACAUUUUAAAUCAAAAUUUGGGGCAGAACUUAGGUUGAAUAUAAAUGACUGUCAAGUACCCAUUGAAUUUUUUUUGGAAACGGAAAUAACAUAUAUGAAACCUAUGAGUUUUUCUUGGAUUUUUAAGCCUUGAAAAUAAUGUAUUUAACUAUUUAGAAAAGUUGAGGAAUAAUAAGAAAAUGGGAAAGAUUAAUACUUAUCCGAAACCCGACUAGCUCUAAUCAGGCCAACUCAAUCGGCUUUUCUCCUCUUAAACGGUACCUAGGAAAAUAAACAAGGCGACAAUGACAAGAGUUUGAGAUGCAACUGAGAUCUCACAGGUUCCCUCACCUCUAGCCGUGCGCUCUGGUUCUCCUUGGAAUGUUCGGAAAUUUACGAUGGUAUAAAAUUUAUAGUCCGUGUCGGCGAUAUUCACCCAGAGGGUGCAAUACCGUUGAGAAUAAAAGCGCUCUGGUUCUUCCUAUGAUGCAUCAGUGCCUUACUGAGCAUCGCCAUAGAAUGGUAGAUGUUGUGUCUCCGCCGGUUUGAUCUUAUGGGUUUUGGGUUUAUGUUCUUGCAGAUGCAUUCAUGAGGAUUUGAUGAGCUUGUAUUAUGGUAUCUUCUGCUUUUAUUGGUAUGAUCUUUUGUGCCUUCUUGGAGUGCUUCUUAGGCUUUUUCAUGAAGAUUUUGUGUUCGACAACCUCUAAUCUCGUGGAUCAUCCUUGGCCAAGUACAUUCAAUGCUCACGAAUUUCCACCUCUUUGGAUGGGAAACUAAAGGGGCUUUUGAAAAUCGAAGUUAGUCGAUUUUGUGCAGGUAUAUGGGCAAUGGUGUCGCUGCUCUGGUCUGGUUGUUAGAGCAAGUCUAGCAGACCCUGCAUCCGGCGCAAACCCGCAUAAUUCCGGCGAUUAUACGGGCUCGGCCCAUUUUUCUGGCCAGACCAGAGCCGCAUCGGUGUCCGGCCCGUAAAUUUUUUUGCCGCAGCCCGCAAACGCAAACCCCGAGCCACUAUAACUGCGGGUUUGCGGGGCAGAUGCAGUUCGAAACCCUAUCCUCCCGCCGCCGCGUUCCCCUCCAAUUCCCCACCGCGCCGCUCGAUUUCUCGCCGCCGGCGAGCCUUGAACCACCAUGGCCGACUCGGGGGAUGAGGCGGAGCGCCGCUGCCGCGCCAGAUUUGACGCCGCGCGCAAGCGGGGGGCGCGUCGGUGGCUCAACCAGGGUGCCCGGCCACCGCCGGCAUUCGACCGGCGCGAGCUCGACGAGUUCGAGCUCGAGGGCGCCCGUCGCCGCCGCGCCUCCUCCGGUAACUGGUCCGCGGGGAGCUCAUCCGGCCACUGGUCCGCGGGGAGCUCAUCCGUGGGCGCAUCGAGCUCGCGGCUCGUUCUGGUGAAAGAGGGAGCCGGAGGAGGCCGUGCCCGAUGCGCCGCCGCGCCGAGGCGUCAUCGGACCCGAGGACUACCUCCCAUCGGGGCAGGAAGAGCUCCUCGAGCGCGUCGUCCUCGAGCAGUCGACGAGGGAGCUGCAGGAGAUGGAAGAGCGCAUCUGGCGCGAGCUCGAGUACGAGCGGUUCUUCCUCGAUUUGGGCCUCGCGGCAUCGCAGGCGCACGCAUCGAAGGAGGCCGACCUGCGCGUGAUGAAGGAGGAGCAGGCGAAGCUCUUCGUCGACCUCGGCUCCGAUUCCUCCGACUCCGGCUGAUCGCCGCCGGUGGGCAGCUACCGCAGGAGCUCUGGUGAGCUCAAUUUUGUUGCAGUGAUGCAGUAGCGUAGGCCCUGUCUAGCAUAUAUAACCUCUACGUAUGUAUGUGGCGUGUAUGAACUUAUUAUGCGAAGAAGAACCAUGUAUGCGAGCGAGCUCCGGCGAGCUGUUGCUUAAAAUUUCUCGCGCGAAACAACUUUUUUUAAAAUUUAGGUGUUUGUUUGCGAUUUCUAGUCUGCCGCCGCAAAUUUCGGCCUGCAUAACCGUCCCCGUGCGACCUGCAAACCCCUUUUACGGGUCGGCAAAAUGCGGGGUCUCCUAGAGUUGCUCUUAUAUCGUUGUAGGAGCUUUUGAUAGUAUCCCAUGUUGCAAAGAUUGUUGUUACUUUGGAGGGGAUGAACACCACAUCUUCAUUUGAUCACGUAUAAGAAUUAUAUGCAAGUUAAUUAUGUUGCCUUUGCCGGUGGUCAGAAAAUCAUCACUUGAUUCGGUAAUUAAGUUGACAUCGGCAAGUUUUUUUCCUUGGAUUUAGUUACAGAAUUACGAAUGUGCCGUGUUGGUACAAACAAAGACGUUAAUAACACUUGCUAAAAUUUCCAGCAUCAACAUGCGGGCAUGAUACUAGUUUAUAAUCAUUAUUGAUAACAGUGAGUGUCAUAAAAACUUAAGCUCAACACAUUAUUUUAUUGAUGAUUCGAUCAGUAAUCUGCUCGAUCUGUAACAAGGGCAAAAGAUGGAGGUCGAACACAUGCGGAAAGCAGCAACGAACAUAUGCAGAAGUAGCAACAGUAGACACACCGCGUCGGCUAGCUAUCCAUGUAGAGCCUGGUGUGAUGAUGCUGACCGAUAACUUAGUGAAUGCUGCAAACACACACAGACAAAAGCUCAACGAUUAGCCUCAGUACUUACUUACUAAUUAACGAUUAAAUGGCUAAUGAGUACUCCCUCUAUACGGAGCGUAGUGAUCUAAACGCUCAUACAUUUCGUUAUGCAGGGAGUAGAACAUAUUCUUUCAAGUUAGGAGUGGAGGAUGUAC